rnacentral:lncRNA from 1 species
AGUUGGGAAAACUACUCUUGCCUGCUAAUAUAGAUAUUCUGCCUUUAAAUAUUGGACUUCACCGUGACCCUCACUUUUGGGGAGAUGAUGUGCAUCAUUUUAAACCCGAGAGAUUCGCUGAAGGGAUUGCCAAAGCUACCAAUUACACCACGGCUGCAUUUUUUCCCUUCGGGUUGGGACCUCGAUCUUGUGUUGGUAUGACAUUUGCAACAAUAGAAACAAAGGUUGCUCUCUCCAUGAUUCUACAACGUUACACAAUUACCCUCUCCCCUGCCUAUGUCCACUCUCCAAUACCUAUUCUCACCCUUCGACCACAACAUGGAAUUCAGGUAAUACUUGAGCCGAUACAUAGUAAUGCUUGAAGUACAUAGCUGCUAAGAAAUAAGGGUUUAACAUGGUUCAUGUAUUUUAGUUUUAAAAGAUGACAUUUAAUAUGUAUAAGGUUCUAGCAUUUGCAACCCCUUCCCUCCUAUGGUGUGCCCACCUUCAUACAUAAUGAAAUGCAAGUAGCUACUUAUUUCCAAGAUGCUAAAACACACAAUCAAUAAAGAAGAAUAUGUCGAGGCAAGUUUUGGGAGCAGUGACUCGAGAAAUGACAACUGCGUUUGGCACGCGCAGGUCACAUAACUUUUAGCAUGUUUGAAAAAAAAUAUUUUGAUUACUUGCUUGCAUCUUUUUUAGGAUUUUGUGCAUCCAAUCUUGUGUUUAUUAUUUAAUUAAUCUCAGAUUGAUUUUUCUUAAACUAGUGGUUAUACUAAGGCUUGUUAGCGGAUUAAACUUUGUGCAAAACACUAUAGAUGUAGAUGUGUUUCCCGUGAUGGGAUUUGUAUCUACUAAAAAUAAAUUCCUACACUUGAAACCAAAAUUAAAUUUGUAGUAUAUAGAGUAGGGUUGAUCCCACAAAGGUUGAUCUAUCCAAAUUUCUAUUUCUUUAUAACUAGAACGUGUCCCGAGCAGUUUUUAUGCCCAUGACUUGUGCCAACCUAUACGAAAAACUAAGGGGAAUUAAAUCUGAAAAAUAAAUAAACAACAAAAAUAAAUUAAUAAUUAAAAUGAAGUAGAAAUAAGUAAAAUGAAAUUAAAAUUGAAUAAACCGAUAAAACAAAAGCUUUAGCUUCAAGCUCGAUUUUGACUUAGUCUUCAAACUGAUCACGGAGAAUGAAUUUUUUUUCCUUUAAUUAAUAAGUCAAUUAUAGAUGCCAAGGAACGAACCUCAAAGCACCUAAUUCUUCCAUAGUGGUAAAUUAAUUGCGGGAACAGCUCGACGGCUAAGCCUUAUCAAGUGAAUAACCUUGAAAGUAGCAUUGGUGAUUUAAUUCAUUGGUAGCCUUGCAAACUAAAAGAACCUGACUCAAAUCAACGGCCUCAAUUGUAUGAGUCAUUUAAACUUAAUUAUUAACUUCUUUGAUGGAUCCAACCACUCACGCCAUUUGUCAUGUCAAUUUGUAAUUCAGUGGAUCUAAUACAACAAUUACGGAUAGCAUCGAUUCUCUAACUUUAUGUCGUUCAACACUAAACCAAGGGACUCUUCUUGAUUUUGAUGCUAAAAUAACAUUGAGAAGUGAUCAAGUUUAUCUUUUAAAUUGGAGAAUUAACGAAUACCGAAAUGGAGAAUAUAAAUACGAUUUUAAAAGUUCACUGUUCAAAUAUUGGAUCAAUUAUCAAUCUAAAACUAGGUUAAAUUUAACAUCUCAUAAAUUAAAAAACAAGAAAAGAAAAUAGUUGAAGGAGAAUAUUUAAUUGAAAUUAAAAAAACACUAAAAUAAAAUCAAAACAAUAGUUAAAUGAUGAAGUUGCUUUGAAACUGGAGUUACCAUUUUCGUUGGAGGAGAUAACAGAGGCAGUGUGGAGUUGCGAUGAGUCGAAAGCAUCUGGGUCGGAUGGCUUUAAUAUGUGCUUUUUUAGAAAAUGUUGAGAUGUUGUAAAAGAGGAACUUUUUAGAAUGAUGUUAGACUUUUUUAGAUCUAGAAAGCUUGAGAGGAGCAUAAAUUCUUCAUUUAUUGCACUCAUAUCCAAAAUCGAAAAUCCAAAUAAAAUAUUAGAAUUUAGACCAAUUUUUUUGGUGAGCUUGUUGUACAAGAUAGUGGAAACGGUGUUAUCUCGAAGAAUUAGGGAGGUUGUUGGAGAGGUAGUGAGUGAAACACAAUGUAAAUUUACCAGAGGUAGACAAAUAUUCGAUGGAACUUUAAUUGUAAAUGAAAUUAUCCAUUCGAUUAAAAAGAAAGAUGGUAUUGGGGGGCAAUCUGAUUUUUAAACUAGAUUUUUCUAAAGCAUAUAUAUGAUUGUGUUUGUUGGGAUUUUUUGGAGUUAGUUUUACUCAAGAUGGGAUUUGGCGAGAAAUGGAUAGAAUGGAUUAUGGAGUGUGUAUCUAUGGCGAGAGUAGCAGUAAUUAUCAAUGGGUCAACCAAAAAUGAAUUCAGAUUCCGCCGAGGUCUCCAUCAAGGAUAUCCGUUAUCCCUAUUUUUAUUUAUCCUAGUGACGGAAGUGCUACAUUUCUCGAUGGAUAAAGCAGUGGAGAUGGGACUAAUUUAGGGCAUUCAAGAUGUUAUUCCCGUGUAGAUUUUUUCUCAUUUACUAUUCGCGAACGAUACUAUACUAUUCUUGAGAGCAGAUGAAGAUGAGGUGAGAAAUUCGAAGUAUAUUUUAUGGUGUUUUGAGAUCUUUUCAAGUCUUAGUAUCAAUUUCAAAAAAUCAUGUUUAGUAGGAUUUGAUGUGAAUGAAGAACUCUUAUAUCAAAUGGCUACAAUAUGUAAGUGUAAGAUAAGGUUUUUGCCUUUUAAUUAUCCAGGGAUUCUAUCGGGAGCAAAUCUGAGGAGAGUAUCCACUUGGGACGCAAUUGUAGAGAGAUUCAAGAAGAAAUUAUCGGGAUGGAAAUGUCGUCCGCUCUCAUGGGCUGCAAGGAUUGUAUUGAUUAAUGUUGUUUUGUCUGCCUUGCUAAUUUAUUUCAUGUCUAUAUUCCAAGCUCCAGUGACAGUUAUUAAAAGGAUCGACAAGAUAAGGAUAAAUUUUCUUUAGAGGAGUAUAAAUGGUAAAAGGAAGAUGGCAAAGGUAAGCUGGAAACAUAUAUGUAAGCCAAAGGAGAAGGGAGGAGCAGGAGUGGUGAAUCUCAUAAUUAAAAAUAGAGCUUAUUAGCAAAAUAGAGUUGGAGAUUCGCGGUUGAAAAAGACGCGCUGUGGCGAAAACUCAUCCUAGCAAGGUAUGGUUAGCGCACGCAACAGUGGCGCUUUAGGACGACUAAUCUAAAAAAUAUGUCGAUUGUAUGGAGAGGUAUUGUAGAAAAUUCUAAAGACGCUAAUUGUAAUACCCCUAACCCUUAUCCAUCACCAGAAUAGGGUUAUAAAGCUUUACCAGACUUUUCAAAAUCAAACACGAUCAUUUCAUAACAUUUAGUAUACAUAUUAAAAACUAUUCAUAUAAUACUCAUAUUGUCCCUUAUAUAGGCCCUCAAGGCCCAAAAUACACUUUAGAAGUGAGUCGGGAUUAAACCGGACACUCUAGAAAUUUUUCGCGAAAUGUCAAAAUUUUCCUUAGAAAUAAGGAACACACGCCCGUGUGGCCAAGCCGUGUGGCUCACAUGGCCUGAAGACAUGCCCAUGUCCUAAGCCGUGUGGGCAUUCAAUGUGAGGCACACGGCCGAGUCCCAGCCCGUAUCCUUACCCGUGUAAUUCUCUGACUUGUGUCACAUGGCCAACCACACGCCCUUGUGCUAGGCUGUGUGCAAAGUACAGGGGUCACAUGUCUGUGUGCUAGGUCGUGUGUAAAAACCUAGGCAUUCUGUUUUGAAAUUUCAAGGUGCAGGGGACACACGGCCAGAUCACAUGCCCAUGUGCCAAGCCGUGUGUCACACACGGCUGAGACACACGCCCGUGUCUCUGCCCGUUUGGACGAAAAUAGGCCAUUUUAAGGCCACUUUUCUCACCUUUUUUGACAUCAACCUAUAGACAGCAAUUCAAUAUACCAAAUAUCCCUAAUCAAGCAAUAAACACAAGCCAAAAAUCAUGUUUUAAGCAUAAUAAGCUAUCACGAAAUUCAAUUGUCUAAAUUUGCCAAACUAACUUCAUUCAUUGAUUUACCAAAACCUACUCCUAGCUAUAUACAUACAAACACACGCAUAUAUAUAUAAUUGUCAUUCAUAAUUAUACUCCAAGUAUAGCCUUUUUCAAUCCAUCCCUAUACAUGCCGUAUAAACCAUAAAAUGUACAACAAAAUCUACCGGAGUAAUCUAGAUAGUGUGACCCGAUGUGUUGAUUCGAACUUCUUGAAAAUCUACAAAGAACAUUAAACAACACAAGUAAUCUUAAUGAAGCUUAGUAAGUUCGUUGGCUUAAUACAUAAAUCUUACCGAACAUACCAUGACAAUUCAUUUAAGUAAAUCGUUCAUUACACAUUUCCUGCCAACUACAACUUUAAUCGAUGAAUUCGCUUCUUUGAGCUCAAUAUCAAUAAUAACCUAAAUUCUUCCACAUUAAUUCCAUAUAGCACUUGCCACUUCUUGUCAAUCAAAGAACGAUUUACGGAUUUGAGUACAUCGUAAACAAAAGCCCAAAGGUUGCACGAAAGAACAUAAGUGCUAAACUGAAACCUAUAAGGGUUGAACGAAAGCUCAUAAGAGCUAAAUGGAAACCCAUGAGGGUUAAACUGAAGCUCAAAAGAGCUGAACUAAAACUCAAAAGGGUUAUACUAAAGCUCAAAGAGCUAAACGGAAACCCAUUAAGGUUAAACGGUAACUUGUAUAAGUUAACUAAAGCUCAUGAGAGCUAAACGGAAAGUACACACGAAAUUUUGCAACAAAUGCUGAACCUUGAUUUACUUGGGUAAUUUACCGUCAAUUCCUCAUUUACACAGAACGACCUUACUCAAUCCGGCAUUCUGUUUGCUUCAAACAUUCAAUUCAAUUUCAUAACUUUAACAAUAAUAUUAUUUUCAACAAAUGACAUGAAUAAAUACAUAAUGUCAUUCAUCAAUUUAACAGUUAACAUUUAAAUUUAACCAUACGAACUUACUUGGGCUAAAUUGUAGAAUUCGUAGUAAUUCGGGGACUACUCAGCUAAUUUAUCUUUUUCACGAUUUUCUUCAGGCUCUUGAUCUAUAAUAUAAAAUUGUUCAUUUCUCAGUAUCUAAAUCAAUUCUAAUUCAUUUCAGAACUUAUGCCCUUUAAUUUUUGAAAUUACACAUUUGCCCCAACUUUUACAUUUUUUACAAUCUAGUCCCUCAUCAAUUUACCCAUCAAUUAAGCUAAUUUUUCUCAAUUAACACUUUAUCUAAUUAUUUUAAGUUACCAUAUACCCUUGAUAUUUAGAAUUUUAACACCAAACCCUAAUUCUUAACCUUUUUACAAUUUGGUCCUAAUAUCAAUAUCUAUCAAAAUUACUUAUUAAAAUCAUUAUAUAACAAAAUUAAAGCUUAAAUUCCAUGAUAAUUCAUCAUAAAAAUCCAUCAAUCAUCAAUGGUAACUUUUGAAAUUACCCAUAGAAUCAAAAACUAAUGAAAUAAGUAGUCGGACCUAAUUGUAAAAGUCUCAAAAACACAAAAAUUUCAAGAAAAGAGCAAGAAUUAAACUUACAUGAAGAUAAAAUAUGAAAACCAGCCUUGAGAGCUUUUCAAUGGUGUUUUUGGCUAAAGAAAAGUGAAGAAAUGUCUAGAGAUUCAAUUUAGUCCAAUUUUAACUAUUUAAUUUUAUUUCUUUUCCAAUUUUGCCCCUUGUUCACACUUAUCCUUUGAUUUUUUUCUGCUUGUACCGUCCAAGCCUUUCACUUUGGGCUAAUUUUCCCUUUUAGUCCUCCCUUAUUAAACACUUAAGUUAUUUAAUCAUUUUAGCAAAUUUUGCACAUUUUUCAAUUUAGUUCUUUUUAAUUAAUUAACCAUCAAAACGUUAAAAUUUUCUAACAAACUUUUGAUAGUAACUCAAUGACACUCCGUAAAUAUUUCUAAAAUUAUUUACAGCUCAGUUUAUAAAUUUUAGGCCUCGAUACCUCGUUUUCAAAACCACUUUUCUUAAAAUUCUUCUAAAACACAAACCACCAAAUCAAAAAUCUUUCUAAAAUCACACUUGACUCGUAAAUAAUAAUUAAUAAAAUUUUCAAACUCACUCGUCAGAUUUAGUGAUCUCGAAUCACUAUUUUUGACACCACUAAAAGUUGGACUGUUACACUAAUGUUUCUAAAUGGGUGGGGAACAAAGCUUUUAGAUGGAUGGUUGGGAAUGGAAGGAUGGCGAUGUUUUGAGAGGAUAUUUGGUGUUGUAAUCAACCACAAAAAAAAAAGAAUUUCCUAGAGUUUUUCGCUUAGCAAGAAAAAAGAAAGGUAUGGUAACAGAUUACUCGAGCAACAAUGGUUUCAGCAAUAUGAAUUACGGUGAAUUCUAACGAAGCUUUUAGAUGGAUGGUUGGGAAUGGAAGGAUGCGAUGUUUUGAGAGGAUAUUUGGUGUUGUAAUCAACCACAAAAAAAAAAGAAUUUCCUAGAGUGUUCCGCUUAGCAAGAAAAAAGAAAGGUAUGGUAACAGAUUACUCGAGCAACAAUGGUUUUAGCAAUGUGAAUUAUGGUUAAUUCUUUACACGAACAUUAUUGGAUAGAGAGGUUGUGAUGCUUCGUAGAUUGGAGGAUAUGGUGAAAAGCAUGGAGUUAGUUCUAGAGGUGAAGGAUCAGCUAAAUUGGGUGCAUGAUAGUAAUGGGGAGUUCACGGUAAAGAAGUUAUCUAACUUAUUAAUUAAGGUUGGAGGGGAAGACAUAAGUUUUGCUUUUGAAAAAAAUUGGAAGUUAAAGGUACCACCGAGAGUGCGAAGUUUUCUAUGGAUGCUUGCUAUUGAUAGAUUCCUACAAAUGAAUUUCUUGUUAAAAGAGGGGUAUAGCUUCAACACAUUUCAAUCAAAUGUGCAUAGUAUGAAAGAGUACCAGAGAGAGCAGAUAAUCUAUUCUUCAAAUGCAAAUAUAUUGAAGGGUUUUCGUAUAAAUUUUUCAAAUGGUGGGAGGUUGAAUGGAAAUCGGUAGAACGAUUUGCUAAUUUUAUUCUUUGUGUUAUAAUGUGAAAUUGUUAGGAAUCCGAAGAAUGUUAUGGUUGCUAUCAAUUUCGGCAGCUUGCUGGUCAGUGUGGACAGAAAGAAAUGAAAUUGUCUUCGAAAGAAAGGUGAUGACUAUGGAAGCUUUGAUAUUUCAAUCCAAGAUGAGGGCAAUGUUGUGGAUAAGGGUUGUAUAUGAUGAGUUAAUGGUGCAGGAGAGCUCUUGGUGGAUUUGUCCGAACAAGUGCAACUUUAAUACAAUUAAACCAGAUCCUCUUCGUCGAUAUGGCGCCUUCCUCCACAAGGCUAUCUGAAUUUCAAUGUAUGCGGGAUAGUAAAUGAGAAAGUUGCAGGUUGUGGUGGAGUACUAAGAGAUAUGGAGGGUGUUGCAAGAGCUUUAUUUUCGGGUCCUAUUGCAGCUAAUGACGCAGAUUCAGUAGAGGUAGAGGCAGUGUUUAUAGCAUUGGAUUUGUUGUUAUCCAUGGGAUGGAAGAUUAAUAGCUCUCUUAUUGUAGAAAUUAGUUCAAAAAUGGUGUACAAUUGGUGUCUGAACAAGAAUAUGAGACUGUGGUCGUUACAAACAACAUUUUCAGAUAUUGAAAGGAAAAUUGAGCAGGUUGGUAGUGUAGUAUUCUUGAUGGCAGAUCAAAAGGUAAUGAAAUGGCUUCAACCUUGGCGAUAGUAGGUAUUAAUCGUGGUGACAUGUUUAAAGCUUGUUAGUGAGUAUUAGCUUUGAUUUCGAAUAAUAGUUUUCAAUUGUAGGAAAUGUUUCAUUGUGGUAUUUUGUAAGUUGUACCUUUGAAUGUUGUUCUUGUUGUAUUUACAAUAGAUUAGUUUGAAUGAAGCAAAAAAAAAGUUGGUGGGUACCGUGUGCCCCCUCUCUUCACGCCUUACUAUAUAAUAAUAAUAAUAAUAAUAAUAAUAAUAAUAAUAAUAAUAAUAAUAAUAGACAAGCUUAAGAAUAUAAAAAGCCUUUACUCAUUGCCUAAGAUAAAAUUUAAUCCUCAUUAAUAUCUUAAAGAGAAAUCUUUCUAAAUAAUAAUAAUAAAAUAAUCCUAAAUUUUAAAUGUCUUGUAUGUCAACUUCUCAAUCCAACGAUAAAUUUACUUUUUUAUAUUGUACUCUAACACUUCGAACAUGCGCUAUAUUUAUAUAGAAAAUAGUCAAUAAAAUACCAAAGUAGUAACAUCCAUGUCCAAAAUUAAUCAGAAUAAAUCAUUAAAAAAAUGUCUAUUAAGAACAUUAUCAAAUCCCCCCUUAAUCAAUACUUGCCCUUAAACAUUUUAUGCAUUCAUCAUCUAAACAUAUCACAAUCAUCAAAGCCAAUUCAAUUUUCACAGUCCUUAGUUCAAUAAAAAAAAUAAGCACUAUCAAAAUUUUAACCCUACAACCGUCUCGCUCAAGCAAGCACAUAGAUUAACAAUUUAUGAUAAGUGCUAAAAGUAACAUAUUUUAACCUCGUUCUAUAACAUCUCAAAAUUGGGGGUUAGAAGUUUUGAGGUUUGUAGUGAGGGUCAGCGAGUAGGUCGAACAAUUGGUUUUAUUUUCGCUUUUUAAUAUCAAAAUGAGCUUGUUGGUUUGAUGGUAGAGUAUGUUACUAGUUUCCCUUGGACGAGUGUUUGAAUCCCAAUGUGAGAAUAAAGGAAGUUUUGUUUUAAUUUUAUUUAUAUUUUUUAUUUGAAAAAAAUAGAAGAAAAUCCUAAAAAUUUCUCACGUUCUCCACUUUCUCUUUCACAUCAGUCUCCCUCUUUCGGUAAAGAAAAAUUAUAGAUUCUGAUUUUCUUUCUUUUCUUUAUUGGGUUUCAAUACUUUUGUAAACCGCUGCCUUAAAAUCCUGGUGGUGCUUUUGUUCUUCGUUUGAUCAGACGUCGAAUAGGUUUAUUCGGUUAAUACUUGGUAAUUUGAUAUAAAUUUUAGGUCGAAAUUGUUUAUAGCUUUAGUAUGUUUGCAGAACUGAGUUUCAGGUCGUUAGAGUAAAGGCGAAGUGGUCGGUUCUUGGUGCUCUGGAACAUCAAUCAGGUGUGUGUUCUGAAAAUGUUUAAUUUUGGUAUCGAAUUGCUAUUGGAUUCUAUGGAAUUCAGCAGUUUCUAGUGUGUUUAUGAAAUUGUGUGAAUUCGGUAACGAAUUGUUGUUGGAUUUUAGGGAAAUAUGCAAAAUUCUGAUGUGUCUUGAAUGGUUAGCGAUUUGGGGUUUGUUUUGCUGUUGUGAAAUUGCAAUUUUAGCUUGUUUCGGUGUGGUUUCUUUACCACAUGGGCGUGUGCCGCACACGAGUAGUCCACACGGUCGUGUGACAUUGGAAAUUUGGGAUUUUGGACUUUUUUUAGUGCCACACGGUCGUGUGGCAGCUAUUUAGGGAUUUUUGUGUGCCUUGGACACACGGUCGUGUCCCUUAGCCAUACGGGCAUGUGAGAUUCCCACACAGCCCUGUUUACUUUGCUCCUUAUUUUGACAUUUUUGGACAGUGAGUGACAUUAAUUAUUCACACGACCAUGUAACUCGGUCGCACGGGUAUGUGUCUCCUCCACACGAGAGUGUACAGCUUGCACACGGGCGUGUAGACCACCACACGACCUAGUAGACCUCCACACAACCUAGGCACUACCACACAGCCGUAUGGCCCUGUUUUGCAAAUUUUUGUUCAGUGUUGAAAUUUUGCUCGUUUUGUGUUUCUGUAUAUUUCAACCCUUGGUUAAGUCUUGGUAACUGUAUUUGGGACUCCGCUGCAAUAUGGAUUUAAGUGUGUAUGUAUGUGUUCAGUUUAGGUAAUCAGGAAAUGUAUUAAUGGAUUAUGAUGAAUGAGCUUGAAUUGCUUACUUGUUGUCGUAAUUCUGAAAUAUGUACAAACGCUAUUGAUUUUGAAAUUGUUCGGCUGAAUGUGAGUGACGGUCUCUGUGAGUCUAUUAGCGUAUGUUGUGCAUUCAUGCAUUUGCAUAAAAUCGAGGUUUUUAGUUGCGAAGAGAAGGAAGGCUGAUUGGGUAGUUCAACUGCAAUAUUUUUGUACAGCAGUUUACCGUAAUGAUUUAUACAUUUGUCAGCUAAGCUACAUAUUGUUAUUCGAGUGGCUUAGUUCCACAAUAUGUGGUGUGUAGGGUAGAUGGGCCUAUCAUGGUCCUAUGUCGUGUGCAGGGUGGACGGGCUUGAUAUAGCUCAUAGGUGGUGUGCAGGGUGGUCGAAGUGGUCUUCAGAUGGUUGGGGUGGGUUUUUGACUCGUUACAUUCGCUACGCAUCUAAAUAUAUGUUUGUUUAUGUGAGCAUUGAGGUGUUGGAGAUAUGACCAUUAUAACUUGAUGUGUUUUAUCUAAUAUGUGGUUUGGUAUGCUUUAAAAGCACCAUGUUAUUGAAUUACCCAUUGAGAUUUCCAUUUAUGAUUUGUGCUCAUAUACUGUUUUGGAAUACUCGAUGUGUUACUCCGUUUUGUUGAUUGCUUUUGAUUUCAGACUCACAUUGAGCUCAAGUAGCUCACCUCACCUUAGUGUUUCAUUCUUCGAGGUACUUUUCGUGUUCGAAAGCUGGACUCGGCAUGCCGGAGGUUUCAGACUAUCGAGUAAAUUGAUUUUGGUUCAAAUGAUGCUACUUAAAAAUUCAGUUGUUAUUUUCAAAUGGUUCGUAGGAAAGAUUAUAAAAAAUGUGGUAUGAGUUAAGUCUGGAUUUUCGAUCAACUAGUUGUUACGGUUUUAAACAAUUUAUAUGUUCCGUUAUAUCAAGGUUUCGAAAUUUUGGUUUGUGAAUGACAAAUUUAUGCUUUCAGAACUGUCAAAUGAUUCCAUAAGAAUUACUUCCGACUUGCGUCGAAUGCCAUUUAAAUGAUUCCAUAUGAAUUACUUCCGACUUGCGUCGAAUGCCAUUUAAACUUUGUUUCAAAAUUUAAUUAAGUGUUAUCUAACUUUCUAAAAUUACAUGCUUGUGACAGAGUUUUUAUCUCAACCACUUUAGGUGGUCAAUGUGACCUCCGAGAUUCGGUCUAAACUUUUAGGUCGGGUUUUAGGGUGUUACACAUUCUUAGUGUGUUUUUGGGUGAUUAUUCAAUGUUAAUGGUGAAUUUUAUGCUUCUAAUCCUUCAAAUUCUUAUUUUUAUGCUUAAAAGGGCAUUUGGGAGUAAAACAAGCAAAAAUUGGAGUAAGGUACAAGAGACACACGGGUUGACCCCUUCCACACUUCCUGAUAUUUAAAAUAAUCUAGAAAUAUAACCGAUUUUGAAAUAAAAUUUAAACAGAUUCUGAAAAAAAUUUUAACAGAUUCCCUAAAAAUCGUGGUUUUUCGCAUUUCAAAGUGCAAUUCUGCAAAAUUGACAUGACCUGCCACAUUGAAGCUGAUUUUGAAGUAGAUUUCUGUCAAGAUUGAAGACUCCCAGUUGAUUUCUUUGGAGAUUAUCAUUUCUUUAUUUCUUUCGGUUAUAUUAUAUCUUUGAUGUUUUUAUUUUCAAGCAUGAACUAAUUUUCUAAAUACAUAGGGAGAUGAACCCUAGGAUGGAUUCUGUCGUUUGAUUUUUAUUUUGCUCAAUAAAUACUUAGAUCUUAAUUCUUGAUAUAAUAUUUCUAGAUUAUUUAUCCAUGUUUGGUGUGCUUAAAUCAGAGGAGGAAUAGACCCUGUUUAAGAGUAGAUCUUGCGUAAUUGAGUGGAUUUGCAUGCAAUCCUAGACAUAAGACAACAUAAAUCUAUCGAAUUAGAGUCAAAUCUAAUAAGGGAAUUCAUAGCACAAGUUAAUGCGAUAAUAGGGGUUUUAAUUAGAAAGAAAUUUCAAUUAAUCAAUCUUGAGUUAGUUGCUCUUAUUCUCGAAAGAAAUAUUUGUAUAAUCUAGGGAUUUUUACAAAUCAAGUUGCUAAGUAAAGAAAUUGCGUAACUUAGAUUGAUAACGACAGAUGAAACCUAGAUGAGUAUUGUUUCGCUUCUUGGUUGUUAAUCGCUUAUUUUUCUGAUAUAUUUUUUGUCACAUUCUUUAGUUAGUUAAUUUAGUUAAUUUUAAUUUUAAUCAAUCACUCAAAUUUAUCGGUUAAAUAAUAAAAAGACAGUAUUUACUAGUACUUUUAGUCUUCGUGGAAACGAUAUCUUUAUUCACCGUAACUAUAUUGUUAAUUGAUACGUACACUUACCUUAGUCAAAUUUUUAGUUGUUCACGACACAUCAAUUCAAUUAAGCAUACAAUUAUUAAAUUAUCUCAUAAUUAAGCUGCACAACAUUAACUUACGUUAAAUUGUCAAGACACCAAAAUUAACAACCAUUUGUCCCAUAUUUUUGUGUUCAUUUUUUUUUCUUUUAAAAGUUUAUCUAGAGUGUCACGAGAUCUUUUUCCAUGAAAAAGGAUGACAAUCCAAACACUCCACUCCGAUUAAUCAAUUCACCACAUGUUGACUAACUUUAGUCAAAAUUGUUAAGAUCAAUAGAAUAGCUGAAUAGCUUAGAAUGUCACUAAAUCUUUUGACGUGAAGACAAAUGACAACCUAAGCACUUGACUCAAGUUACUCAAUCGAUCACAAUUCUAAGACUUUACUCAUAAUUUAGGCAAUUAAUGAGUAUUUAUUAAAUUAUUUUAUUGAUUAUUUUUUUCAAUUUUUUUUUGUUCGAAUGCAAGAUGAAACAUGUUUUAAGAGUAUUAAUCUCGUUAAAAAUUGCGUGAGCCUAAUUUUUUUUUUUUUGGUGAGUGCUUCAGCUAAGUAAUUAAUAAUUAUUAUUAUUUACUUUAAAAUAAAAUAAAAUUCAUGUAAAAGAGUAGCAUAUAUAGGCAGAGUAUUUAAACAUGCUUAAUAGAAAAUAUUCUAUCAAUUUUUGAAUCGCUUAAACAAUAAAAUGAUAUCUAAAUUAUAUUAAUUUUUUAAAAUUGGUAUUUAAAUUUUUCUUAAGUCAAAAUGGUACCUAAACAAUUAAUCUAUUAUCUAUUUAAUUCAGCCAAUCAAUUGCCACGUAAAUAUCUAUUUAUUUUUUUCAAAAUAUUACUAAAAUUUGAUAAAUAAAAUUAAAAAUAGUUAAAAAUAAAACAUCAUAAAUUUAAUAAAAUUUAAACCUUACGAAAAAAACAUUUUACUGAUUGAAAAAACAUCAUAAAUUAAUGCUACCAACAACUCCUAGAAAGAGUAUCCACUAAUAACAAUAAACUUACAUGAGUGAGGGAUUUAUUGAAACAAUCAGCAACCAAUUUUGACACUUUUUACCAAUUAUUUUAUAUAUUUAUUUUUUAUUAUUAUUAAAAAAAUUAAUUUAACUCUUUAAAAAUUACAAAGAUAUAGACUAUUAAAAUGAUGAAAUUAUUUAUUAUUAUUAUAAAAAUAUACAAUUUAAUUUCGACCUCCCAAUAAAUAUUUCAAAAUCCGCCACACGAAUGAUCCAAAUAAAAAGACGACAGUCAAUACAAUUAAAUUUAAAUUCUCACUUAAAUCCAAAUUCAAAGUAAAACAAAUGUGACAGAAUGAAUCAAAUAGUGGGAGAAUGUUUUUCAAGAAGUAGAAAUGCAAAAAUAGCUUCAAAAUCUACUCUUACUAAAAAAAAAGAAAAAUAAGAAAGAAUUUAUUAUCUUUUAUACUAUUAAUCUCUCACAUAUACGGCCAAGCUACUCUGAACGUACAACGCACCCAUUUGCGUCAUUGCAAACGCAAUUUUGGUCCUUAUGCUAUAAUAAAGGGGGAAAUGAUUCUGGUUUAGACAAGAAAAAUGAAUGCGUUGAUGAAGCUUCUAAUUCUUGCUCCAUGUUGUUUCUUCUUCAUAGCUUUAAUAAAGUUACUUUAUGAUUACCUAUGGAUACCUCUCCGUAUUCAGCAUAUGCUGAAUUCACAGGGGAUCAAAGGACCUCCUUACAGAUUCAUCCAUGGCAACAACAUGGAAGUUACCAAAAUGAAACAAAAUGCUUUAAGCAAAUCUGUGGCCUUGACAGAUGAUCUAUUUCCCAAAGUACAUCCACAUAUUUACACCUGAACCAACAGAUAUGGUAAGAUCCAUGCUUGUUUUUUUCACUAUGAUUUAUAACUUGUAGUUCUAAGAAAAGGUAGACCCUUUUUCUUUUCAUGUUAUUAGGGAAGAAUUUUGUUUAUUGGAACGGUGCUCGAGCUGAAUUGGUGAUUUCAGAGCCUGAAUUAAUCAAAGAGGUUCUGGAAAAUAGUGAACAAAUUUUUCAGAAAAAGAAACCUUCAGAUAUUGGUGGGAAGUUCUUGGGGAAUGGUCUUCUAUUCAUUGAGGGGGAAAAAUAGCCAAAGCAUCGAAAGCUGGCCAAUCACACUUUCCAUGGGGAAAGCCUAAAGGUAAGUCUUCCAAAUAUAUAAACCAGGUGCAAUUAAUUUACAAGAAUUAUACAUAGACCACAAUAUUUUGGUAAAAUUUUGUAUUGUUAGCUAAGGAUAAGUUUAUUAUGGACGUUGAAAAAGUGUAGUAAAAACAUACUUUCGAAGAUUUUAACACCAUUUACUACUUAGGAGGUCAAUUUUAAACUUGAUGCUGUAAAAUAAAAGAUUGAAUCAGAGAUUUAAAAAAAGUAAUUUCAUUAAAAAGCACUCUUUUAGCUUUUAGACUUGGAUUAAAAUCUAGUUUGAAAUAAGAUUUAGUUUGAAAAGGUGUUUAUUUGUCAAAUUUUUUAAUUUAAAAUCAUGAUUUUGUGUUAAAAAGUGUUUUUCAGACUCCAAUUAUAUAUGUCACUAUUACUUACAUGUUGGAGGAUUCUUUGGGCAGAACAUGACUCCAGCAAUAAUUGCUAGUGUUGAAACAAUGCUAGAAAAGUGGAAAGGCCAAGAAGGCAAGGAGAUUGAAGUGUACCAAGAAUUUAGGUUAUUAACUUCAGAAGUGAUUUCCAGAACAACAUUUGGUAGCAAUUACAUGGAAGGGGAGAAGAUAUUUGCCAUCUUGAGCAAGUUGGCAGUAAUUAUGAGUCGAAAUGUUUCCACGACUAGAAUUCCUUUGAUCAGGUAUCUUCCCUCUAAGCUUAAUUAAUCCCAACUUUUACCUUGAUUUCAUGUAGCCUUUGAAUGCAACUUUUAGACUUUCAUUCCCCGUGGAUUUGGUUUUCUCAUAUAUAGCUGACCCUGGUUUGCUUUUGCAGCAAGUUGUGGAAAUCUGCUGAUUUGCUAGAGUCUGAAAAACUUUCAAAAGAAAUGAAAGAUCGUGUGAUGAAGAUUGUUAAGAAAAGAGAAGACAAAGUUGUGAAUGGAGAAGUCAAUAGCUUCCGCAGUGAUUUUCUUGGAUUACUUCUAAAUGCCUAUUAUGAUUCGGAUGCGAAAAACAGGCUUUCAUUGGAAGACGUGGUAGCUGAAUGCAAAACACUCUAUUUUGCUGGACAAGAAACUGUUAAUUCCUUACUUGCAUGGAUAGUCUUGCAUUUGGCAAUCCUUGGAGAUUGGCAAGAAAAAGCGAGAAGAGAGUUGGUUGACAUAUUUGGUAACCAAAAUCCACAUCUCGAAGGCAUCGCCAAACUCAAAAUAGUAAGAAAACUAUAAAACUGGGAAUUCAAAUAGCCAUCGACAUGAUGUAAUCUGACAUAUUAUUCUAUUUUCCAAACAGAUGACCAUGAUCAUCAAUGAAGCUCUAAGAUUGUAUGGUCCAACAAAUGUCCUCCAAAGAACAGGUACAAGAGAAAUUCAGUUGGGAAAGCUAAUCUUGCCUGCUAAUAUAGAUAUUCUGCCUUUAAGUAUUGGACUUCACCGGGACCCUCACUUUUGGGGAAAUGAUGUGCAUCAUUUUAAACCUGAGAGAUUCGCUGAAGGGAUUGCCAAAGCUACCAAUUACACCGCGGCUGCCUUUUUCCCCUUCGGAUUAGGACCUCGAUCUUGUGUUGGUAUGACAUUUGCAAUGAUAGAAACCAAGAUUGCUCUCUCCAUGAUUCUACAACGCUACACCAUUACCCUUUCCCCUGCCUAUGUCCACUCUCCAGUACUUAUUCUUACCCUUCAACCCCAAAAUGGAAUUCAAGUAAUACUUGAGCCGAUACAUAGUAAUGCUUGAAGUACAUAGCCGUUAAGAACUAGAGGUUUAACAUGGUUCGUGAAUUCUACUUUUAAGAGAUGAUAUUUAAUAUGUUUAAAGGUUCUAGCAUUUAUCACAAAGACAAACGACUCGUGGUCAUGUUUACUUUUCAUCUAUCAUGCAAUGUCGAUGAGAAGAUACCAUUUACCAAUUAGUUGGGUUAUGAAUUCUACUAUUUUGAAUGAUGUUACAUACUAUAGAAGUUGUGUAUCCAGUGCACCAACUUUUAAUGGUUCUUUAUCUUAGCCUUUUACUUGCAUCAAAGUAUACGAGCCAUGCAUGCAUAGUCCAUCAUCCACUCAAGAUUAAGGUAUAUCACACUAUGAACAUCACAAGUAAAUAGAUCCAUAAAUGGAUUUAGAAUCGAUUCUCCUUGGGUCUUAUCUGAUGUACUGUCAGUCCAGUCAAUCACAUCUAUGUUUUUAUCUUUUAGGAGUCAUCUGUUCCAUUUGAGACAAAGCUUCUCCACAAUUGGGCUUGAUAGACGACAUAUUAGUUUCUCAAUCGAUUUGCUCAUUUUCAAUUAGACUAAGGACAUAUUUAGGUUUAUCUACUAAUACAAGCUAUCUUUUCAUAUCACGAUCUGACCACGUGAUACCGCUUAGUAUUAAUUUAAACAUUAGAUAACCAAUGAGUCAACAUUUGCUUCCAUUUUGCUUUGCAUGCAAAAACAUUGAGGACAAUAUCCAAAGGGUAUUACUUUAAUUAAUAGAUAUUAUUAAACCAAUUUGUUUGAAAAAUACAAUUAUAUAAAACGAACAUAGUACACUUAGUGUACCAGAUCCAACAGUGGCCACUACAGCUAGCAUUGCCAUUAUAAGCAACAUAACUUGACAUUUUUGGAGUUGAAAUCUUUUCAGCAAAAUCAGUUGGGCAACGACUUAGAUGAUUUUGUGGACAUGUGUUGGCUCAUAUUUGAAGAUCCAUUUUGUGGAAUCAAUCUUUGAAUAUUAAAUCAAUCUGAAUCAAGCAAAUUGGAUCACUUAUUUUGUGGAGAUUGGCUUGACUUAUUUGAAAAUUUAUUUUCGAAAUCUUUGAUUUAUUCUUGACUUUGAGGAUAUUUGUAAAGUUUUUUUUUACAAGGCUAUUUUUUGUGGGAUAUUGAUUCUAAUUGAUCUUUUAUCUUUGCAAACAUUAAAUUCUUAUAUAUUAGAGGCUUGUAUAAGUUAAAAAAAGAUAGAGUUUUUAUAGCACUUAUUUUUUUCAUUGAGGAACUUGUAUUUGAUAGUGCAUUAAGAGUGUAAAUUAAGUUUGUUGCUUGGUUUUACAACCAAAAUUCUCAAGGGAAUUUAGUGGUGAGUGAUUUAGAUCUUUAGAUACAAAAGUGAGGUUGCUAUACCGAGUUGUGAUAGGACUUCAAUAACUUGUUGUCUUGGGAUUAAAAAUAAUGAAUUUACUCACUAAGUUAGGUUUCAUAGACAUAGAAAAAUCGAUAUGCGUAAACAAUCAUUUGUGUUCCAUUUUUUGUUGUUGUGUUCAUCAUAGUGGCAUCAAAGGUUGCCACUACAGCCAUCACUUUGGUCAUCAAUUACGCACUUUAUUUUUUUAAGCAAUUAUCAACUUUAUGCUCCAAGAGAAUGCUUGUUUCUAGUACAAUUGAUCAAUUUUGUAGGAAGCAUAAUGACAAAAAAGAAAAUGGUUACAAUCAACCCCUUCUGUAACAACUCCAUUUGUAUCUUUGCAUGUUAUAAAAAGGUGGUUGUUAUAUACUAUAACAACAUGUUGUUAUAAAAAGAUAAUUAUUGUAAACCUAAAAUAGAAUUUAUAUCGUGAAUUACUAUCAAAUAAAGAAAUUGAGAAUUAUAUUAAAAAAAGGAAAGUAGAAAUCAAAUCAACAAAAUUAAAAGAUGUAUAAUAGGUGCAUGCAUUAUUACCUUUAUAUUUUAUUUUACAUUUUUCACAUGAUUAAUUAUAAAAUUCAUCAAUCUAACAAAUAAUUAAUCGAUAUGAGUUUAAAUUAAAUUAAAUUAGUUAAUUUAUCAUGUGUUAUUAAAUACAAGUAAUUAAUUUAUAAGAUUAUGAUGUUCUAAAUUCAUAGUAAAUUAAUAUUUAAUUAGAGAACUUAAUAGUUUAUUGAAUUGAUAUCUUUAAUUCCACGAAGAUUUUUCAUGUCAAAUUUAAACAUUUUAUUAAAAUAAUAUUUUAGUUAAGAUCAUUUUUAUUUAAUAAAUUAGAAUUCAUAUAAGCAAUAUAAUUAAUCAUAAUAAAUUAUAAUUAAUAGGCUUGUAUAUCGGUCCAGUGUAAUUAAUAGACUUGCUUAAAUGAGUUUUAAAAUAUAUUUUUAAAUUUAAAAUUUUAUUUCUUGAAUAAUGAAUUGUUACCUGCUUAAUUUAUGAAAUAUCUUUAUUGACUUAUUUGAUUGCAUUGGUGAAACAAUUAUUUUAGUAUUUUUAAAUUUUAUGUAUAUAAAAUUUUUAAAAAAAUAAUAAUAAAUCUAAAAUGACACAUCGAAACAGCUGAAUAUUGGCACAUGCGAAUACCAAUAAAAAAAUCAACAUCCACCAAUUUACCCGUUACUUUUUGGUAUUAGGUAGUGGGAGAUUUGGUUUUUGCUUUUGUUUUUGAGAUGUUGAUAUGUUUCACAUCAUCCAUAAGAUGGGCUCUACCUCACCUUUUGUUUGUCUGUUUCCCAUGCUUUCCAUACAAAUCACUAAAAGAAUGGGCUAAAAUGUCAAAUAAACUCUUCAAAAAUAAUUUUUAAAAAACUUAAUUAAGUCUCUUAUAAUAAAGUGCACCAAAUUGAGCUUUUUUAAAUCACAAUUUGCACUUAAUUAAUCCCCUUGAAUUCAUUUUCCCAUUGAAUCCCUUUACGUUCAGUUAACUGCUGACGGGGCAGGUGAUGUGGAAAAAUGAUGGUGUGUUAAUUAGUUUAUAUGGCAAGCUAACAUGGAGGGCUUAAAUGAUUUUUUAUUAUUUUACAAGGGUUUAAUUAAUUAUUUAAAUAAAAAUUAUUAAAAUUUUAAAAAAUCUAAUUUUAAAAUAUAAAUUAUAAAAAUCAUAAAAAAUAUUUUAAAAAUAUUAAAAAUGAUAGAAAAUUUUUAAAUGUUAUAAAUAGUUUAUAAAAACACAGGAAAUUUAUUAAAACAUCGUUAAAUAUAAAUACAUUAUCAUAAAAAUAGCAUAAAAUUUUAGAAAUUAUUAAAAAAUACAAAGAAAUACGAGUAAGUUAGAGAAAAUUAUUAAAAAUACAAAAAAUAUUAAAAAUUAGUAGUAACUUUUAUAAAAAUUAUUAAAUAGAUUUUUUUAUUGGUUUGGAGUGUUUGGCAUUUUCAAUUUUAUUUUUUUGGACAUUAGAGUCUUUGGUUUUAGUAAUAAGGAAAUGGGGAGAUUGAAGUGCGAUGAUCAAACUUGUGAGGGGUUUGAGUGACCAUGGGUUUAGUACUUGAUGGCUUAAAGUGAGCGAUCAAUAGAGGUGUUCAUGGACCGAUCCUGUUCAAAAAAUAAAAAAAAUGUUAAAGAAAGCUUUUCUAAAUAUUUUAUAUAUCUUAUAAUUAAGUUAAAAAUAUAUUUUUAUUAUUUUUAAAAUGGCGAAACGAAUCAUUUUGGCGAGCUAGGUCUAGUUGGGCUCAAGCCUAGAAAGUUUUAUGAAAUUAGGCUUAAGCUCCACCCAACUCAUGAAUACCUCUAGUGAUAUAUAAUGAUGUUGUAUUUGAGGAAAGAUGAUGCGAGGGACAUUAAUAAGGAAGGGUUGAUAUAUGAUGUAUGACAAUGCGUGAGAGAAAACAAAAAUGUGUAAUAAUUUUAAAUUUUUUAUAACUUUUUCUUUAAUUUUUAUAUUUCUUUAUAGUAUUUGAAUAGUUUUAAUAAAUUUUAUAUAUUUUUUCUAAAAAAAUUUAUAACAUUUUAUAUUUUUCUAUAUUUUAAUGUCUUAUAAUUGUUUAUAAAUUUAUAAUAAUUUUUAUGAAUUUUUAAUUUAUAUUUAAAAACUAGAUUUUUUUUUUAGAAUUUAAAAAUCGAAACAAUUGAAUAGGUGGAAUCGCUUCUUUAAAAAAUAUUUUUUUAUAUUUUUAUGAAAUUUUAAUUAUUUAUUUAAUCGUUGUUAGUUUAAGAGCCGAUUGAAUUAAGAAUCGAGAAUUUUAGACAUUGUGUCCUAACUUACGGGACGUGAUUCUUCUUCUGGAUUAACGUAGAAAUAUGCUUCUCUCUUUAAAGUUUAUUUUUCAAAAUUUUGAUAAAGGAUCGUAUUUUGAAUCUUUUUCAAGUUUUCAAUAUUCGACACUAAGACAUUAAUUAAUCAACUAGGUAUCAAUUUUGGGCGUUACGAGGGUGCUAAUCCUUCCUCGUGCGUAACCGACUCCCGAACUUAUUUUUCUAAAUUUCGUAGACCAAAACCGUUGUUUUAAUAAAAUCAAAUCGUUUAUUAAAAACAACUACUUUUCGAGGUGACCCGAUCACACCUCAUAAAAAAAAAGGAUUGGUGGGGACAUUUGUUUUCGUUUUCAAAAUCCAAGUCAAGCCCGUUUUAUCAAAAAAAUGGUUACUAGCUUUAGUCAAAAUUGUUAAGAUCAAUAGAAUAAGCGAAUAGCUUAGAAUGUCACUAAAUCUUUUGACGUGAAGACAAAUGACAACCUAAACACUUGACUCCAGUUACUCAGUCGAUCAGAAUUCUAAGACUUUACUCAUAAUUUAGCAAUUAGUGAGUAUUUAUUAAAUUAUUUUAUUGAUUAUUUUUCAAUUUUUUUCUUUUGUGAUCGAAUACAAGAUGAAACAUACUUUAAGAGUGUCAAUCUCGUUAAAGAUUGUGUGAGCCUAAUCGUUUUUUUUUUUUUUGUGAGUGCUUCAGCUAAGUAAUUAAUAAUUAUUAUUAUUUACUUUAAAAUAAUAAUAAAAUUCAUGUAAAAGAGUAGCAAUGGCAUAGUAUUGAAACAUGCUUAAUAGAAAAUAUUCUAUCAAUUUUUGAAUGGUUUAAACAAUAAAAUGAUAUCUAAAUUAUAUUAAUUUUUUAAAAUUGGUAUUUAAAUUUUUCUUUAGUCAAAAUGGUAUCUAAACAAUUAAUCUGUUAUCUAUUUAAUUCAGCCAAUCAUUUGCCACGUAAAAUAUUUAUUUAUUUUUUUCAAAAUAUUACUAAAAUUCGAUAAAUAAAAUUAAAAAUAGUUAAAAAUAAAACAUCAUAAAUUUAAUAAAAUUUAAACAUUAAGGGAAAACAUUUUACUGAUUGAAAAUACCCUUAAUCAGAUUUUACUAACAAUCCCUAUUUUUUUCAAACAAAUCACAAACUCUUUUAGUUCAAAAAAUUGCAAAUCAUCUUUUUACAACCUUCAUUAAUCCUUUGUGGAAUUGAUAGAAGGGUACGUUUGAAGAAUUAAUUUGUUUUUCUUGAAACCCUUGUUUGUCAAUUUCAUUGAUGAAACCUUUCUAAUUUCAUCAGUAUUUGAUUUUUAUUUUAGGUUAAUCGUAAAACUUUAAUUGAUUUGGGCAAACCGAAGGAGUUGUAAAAAGGUUGAAAGGUAUGAUUUAGGCUUAAGGGUUCUUUUAUAGUUAAUAUGUAGAAUCGAAUGUAUGUGACUUUUGGCAAGUUGUCGGUUCUUGAAAUUUUAUAUUGAGAAAGUAGAACACACCUUUUAAGGGGAAGUUCUUUGUUUGACUCGAGAUUAUUAGUCUGUUGACAAAAAGCCAAAAAAAUGUGCCAUUUGCUUUGAAGUUAUUUAUGAUUGUUUACGAUAAAUUGAGGGUUUUUAAUGGUGUUUAUAUAUGUAUUUUGUUAAGAUACAUAAUGAUACAACUAGAGUUUGUGAUAUGUUUUGAGAUGAUAGGCUUCUCGAUUAUGUGAUUUAUUGUCCUUAGCUAAUUCAAAUAUAGAUUAAUGAGGUUGGUUUAAUAUAUGUUGUAGGGAACAACGAAAAUGGGGAAAUAUUAAAUAUUACCCUAAAACAAAUUGAUAAUUAAUAUAGUUAAAUUAAAUCCAUUUUGUUUUGGCAAAUGAAAACCAUUGGUUUUUAAAGGUUUGAGAAUUGAGGAACCUUUGCAAAACAUAAUGCAAUAUCAUCACUAAAACACUGUUUAUAGGAGCUGAGUAUAAAUACUCUUUUCAUGUCUUUGUUGUUGGGUUUUUUAGGUCUUUUUGUGACAAUUAUCAGUCCUCUCAUUUCAAUAUUUAUGAUAAUAAUACCUGUAAAGCAUGUUGGUCAUGUCUUAUUUUUACUAUACUAAAAUUUGUACUAUUGUAGUACUUAUUAUUAAAGUUCUAGUCCCGUGACAAUUGGUAUUGGACUAAGAUUUGCAGCUUUCUGUUGAGAUGAGGAAAGGAGUAGAAGAGCAGAUUGAACCCAGAGAGACCCAUGGGAGGGGCAGGAACUAUUUAUAUAUUUUUGAGAUGUUGAUAUCUUCCAGAGCCUUUUAUGACCACACACGAUAAUGGGUAAGAUAGGGUCCUACCUGACUUUUGGUUUAUCUGUUUUGAAGGGGAAAAUGGUUCUGGUUUAGAGAAGAAAAAUGAAUGCGUUGAUGAAGCUUCUAAUUCUUGCUCCAUGUUGUUUCUUCUUCAUAGCUUUAAUAAAGUUACUUUAUGAUUACCUAUGGAUACCUCUCCGUAUUCAGCAUAUGCUGAAUUCACAGGGGAUCAAAGGACCUCCUUACAGAUUCAUCCAUGGCAACAACAACGAAGUUACCAAAAUGAAACAAAAUGCUUUAAGUAAAUCUGUGGGUUUGACUGAUGAUUUAUUUCCCAAAGUACAGCCACAUAUUUACACCUGGAUCAACAGAUAUGGUAAGAUCCAUGCUUGUUUUCUUCACUAAGAUUUACGACUUGUAGUUCUGAGAAAAGGUAGACCCUGUUGGUGCUGUAACUGAAACUAACAGACUCAGCACAGACUUGUCGAGCAAGUCUCGAGACUUGCUGAGCAAACAAGAGAAUUCGAGCAAAAGAAAGGAAGAAAAGCUAAGAAAAAAUGAAUAGGAAAAUUGAUGAACAAAACUGAACUAUAUUCAUAAAAUUGAAUAAUGGCAUAAUGCCAAUACAUAAAUCAAGCACUAAGCUUGUCAAAAACAGCAAGUAAUUACCUAAACAUCACCUACUCCCACUAAUUACAUGGAAACUUGAAAUUUUAGCUUGUAAACCUAUACAAAGUUGUGUUUACAGCUCAUACAUAAGCUAAUUACAUCAGUCAACAACCUAACUUAGUUAGAAAUGAACUAAGAUUACAUUUCAUUGACUAGAAAUUACAAAAUAAACAAAAUAAGCUUGCAUCAGCAGCUCCUGUAUGUCUUGGUCUUCAUGGCCUGCAUGCUGUCGAGUUUGUUGCAUGCUGAACCAACUUCAUCACUCCUCCUUGGUUUGCAUGGAGCAAACACCUAGCUUCUUUCUUAGACAUUCGAACCUUGUGACACUAAGGGCUUUGGUUAAAAUGUCUGCAAGUUGAUCCUCUGAAUUACAGUGGAUCAGCUUUACUUCCUGAGCUUGCUCCAUUUCUCGAACAACAUGCAGCUUGAUGCUGAAAUGCUUUGUUCUUCCGUAGAACACUGGAUUUUUAGCAAUUGCUACAGCAGAUUGGUUGUCACAGAAGAUCUCAGUAGCUUCCUCUUGAUGCAUAUUCAAGUCAGCUAAGAUUUUCCUUAGCCAUAUGGCUUGGUUGACAGCACUUGCUGCGGCCACAUACUCUGCUUCAGCAGUAGAUUGAGCCACUAGACUUUGCUUCUUCGAGCUCCAGCAAAACAUGGCUAAACUAAGAUUAAAAGCAUACCCUGAGGUGCUUUUCAUGUCAUCUAUCGAGCCAGCCCAGUCACUAUCAGUGUAGCCAACCAGCUUCAGAUUUCCUUCUUUGCUAUACUUCAAACCAUAGUUCAAAGUGCCUUUGACAUAUCUCAGCACUCUCUUUGCAGCUUGGAAAUGCUUCUCAUUGCAGCAAUGCAGGAAUCUUGAGAGCAAUCCUAUAGCAUACAUGAUGUCUGGUUUAGUGGCAGUCAAGUAUAGCAAACAACCAACUAGACUCCUGUAGGUUGUUUCACAUACCUUCUCAAAAACACCUUGGCUCGAUAGUUUUUCUCUAACAGCAACAGGUGUUUUAGUUGCCUUGUUGUUUUGCAUGGAAAACUUGGUCAGAAUCUUUGUGGCAAAGCUUCUCUGGCUUAGAAAUAUCUCAUUCUGUACUUGAGACACCUCCAUUCCAAGAAAAUAGGACAUCUCCCCAAGAUCAGACAUUUCAAACACUUCCUGCAUCUUGGUCUUGAAAUCAGCCAGCACUGCUCGAUCUCCUCCUGUCACCAGAAGGUCAUCAACAUACAGGGACACAAUGAGUUGUGUUUGUGUCCAUUGUUUCUUGACAUACAGUGUUGGCUCACUCUUGCUUCGAUCGAAUCCCAGAUCAGUCAAGUAGCCAUCGAUUCUGCUGUACCAGGCCCUUGGAGCCUGUUUUAAUCCAUAUAGGGCUUUCUUCAGUUUGUAGACCAUAUGCUCUUUGCCAGCUAUUUCAAACCCUUGUGGUUGUUCAACAUAGAUGUUUUCAUCUAGGAAACCAUUCAGAAAGGCUGAUUUUACAUCGAGCUGAUGGAUCUUCCACUCGAGCUGUACUGCUAAGCCAAUCAGUAGUCUGAUGGUGUCGAGCCUGGCCACUGGUGCAAAGGUCUCCAAGUAGUCCAGGCCAUAUCUCUGACUGAACCCCUUGACUACUAGCCUUGCUUUCAGCUUAUUCAAGGUACCAUCAGCAUUCUGUUUGGCUUUGUACACCCAUUUCACCCCAAUCACCUUCCUUUUGACUGGCCUUUCAACCAAUUCCCAGGUCUGGUUCUUCUCAAUCAUGUUGAUCUCCUCAGCCAUUGCCUGCUUCCACCCUUGCUGAGCCUCAGCCUCUUCAAAGUUGCUUGGUUCAGCUAUGGCUACAUGAGCCCUUUCAUAAAUCUCAGUCAAUGGCCUUGUUCCUCUGACUGGUUCAUCAUCAAUGUCCAUUUCUGGAACAUUUUGGUCUGGCUCAGCUUGGUCUGUUGCUAGUUCUUCAGAAACUUCUUCAGGUUCAUGUCUUUCCCAGUUCCAACAUGACCUUUCAUCAAAUACCACAUCCCUACUAACUGACACUUUGUUUGUUGAAGGAUCCAAGAUCCUAUAGCCCUUCUUAACAGUGCUGUAGCCCACCAGUACAGCAGGUUGAGCCCUUUCAGACAAUUUGUCCCUUUUAACAGCAGGUACAUGUGCAUAACAAAUGCAUCCAAAGACUUUCAGAUGAGCCAGUGAUGGCUUGAAGCCAAAUCAGGCCUCGAAUGGGGUCUUCUGAUCCAAGGCCUUUGUUGGUAGUCUAUUUUGAAUGUAUGUUGCAGUGUUAACUGCUUCUGCCCAUAGUAUUCUAGGCAAAUUCUUCUGAAUCAUUAAGCAUCUGGCCAUAUCCAUCAAACUCCUGUUCUUCCUUUCACUUACACUAUUCUGCUGAGGUGUAUAUGUGUUGGUAAGUUGAUGUUUGAUGCCUGCCUUAUCACAGAAGGCUUGGAACUGAGCUGAGGUGUACUCAGUCCCAUUAUCAGACCUUAUGGUCUUCAGCUUGCAGCCUAUUUCAGUCUCAGAAGCAGUCUUGAACUUCCAAAACACUGAGGCCACCUCUGAUUUUUGUUUUAAGAAGUAAAUCCAACAAUAUCUUGAAAAAUCAUCAAUGACCAGUAUAAAAUACCUAUUUCCACUUAAUGACUCAGUCUUCAUAGGGCCACACACAUCAGUAUGCACCAGUUGGAGUUUUUCAGAGGCUCUCCAGGCUUGAUUCGAGGGAAAUGGGAGUCUGGCCUGCUUUCCUAGCUGACAUACUCCACAUACAUCAUCAUGGUCCACUGAGUUGAUGAAGUUUUUAGCCAGGUCUUCUCUGACCAUUCGGGCCAUCGAUCUGAAGUUGGCAUGUCCCAGCCUUUGAUGCCACAACUUGGAUUCAUCUGAUGUGGCUGUGUAGGCAAUGUCUGACUUCUUUGUCCAGUCAACCACAAAGCUCUUAUCAGCCAUAGGGACUGCCAUCAGUUUGGAUCCACUUGGAUCACUGAUUUGGCACUGGUUGUCUUUGAACACAACAGAAUACCCUUUCUCCAGCAAUUGAGCUAUGCUAAGCAGGUUUCUGUCAAUUUCAGGCACCAAGAGCACAUUUGAAAUCACUUUGGCACCUGUAGAAGUGCAUAUCAGCACAUCACUCUUGCCUUCAGCUUGAAUGAAAUGACCAUUUCCUAUUUUGACCUUAGUUCUGCAGCUUCUGUCUAAAGACUUGAAGAUUGCAGCAUCAGGUGUCAUGUGGUUGGUGCAUCCACUGUCUAGGAGCCAACCAGAUGAGAACCUUUCCUGAGCAGCUGAGCAUGACAUAGUAAAAACUUGCUCCUCUUAGUCACUGUCCUCCUUAGCUACUCGAGCCUCAGCUUUCAUCUGUUGAAACUGAUUGUGCCUUGAUUUGGCCUUGCUCUUGCAAACUCUCUCAACAUGACCCUUCUUCUUACAAUGCUGACAUACAGUUUCUGGAUUAAACUAGCACUUUUCUUCUAGAUGACCAACCCUUCUGCAGUGCUUGCAAGUCUGACCUUCUCUCCUUGCAGCAUCAUUCUUUGGCUUGUCUCUCCAGGCCUUCUUGCCUUUAUAGGCAGUGUUUAUUCUUUCCUGAAAGGCACCUUCUUGAUGCUCCUCCAGCCUGCUUGCUCUCCUCUACUCUUGAGCAUAUAGAGCAUUGAUCAACUCUGUCAGGGAGAUGGUGGACAGAUCCCUUGAGUCCUCGAGAGAUGAGAUUUUUGCCUCAUACCUCUCAGGCAGAGUUGCUAUAACCUUCUCCACUAUCCUAGCUUCAUUGAACUGCUCUCUAAGGAGCCUGAUGCUGUUAACCACAGCCAUAAUCCUGUCAGAAUAUUGCUUGACAGUUUCUUCUUCCUUCAUCUUCAAAUUCUCGAAAUCUCUCCUCAAGUUCAACAACUGUUGCUGCCUUGUCAUCUCUGUCCCUUGAAACUCUUCCUGCAACUUGUCCCAGGUCUGUUUUGGUGAUUCACAGGCCAUAAUCCUUGUGAAAAUCACAUCAGACACUGAGUUCUAGAUGCGAGACAUGGCUUUGUGCCUCUUGGUCCUCUCAUCAGCAUGCUGCCUGAUCUGAGCCACUGUUGGAUUGCCUCUAAGUGGUUCUGGUUCAACAUCUGAGUUGACCACCUCCCACAGAUCGUAUGCCUGCAGGUAGGUCUUCAUUUUGACCACCCAUAUGUGAUAGCCUUCUCCAUUGAAUACUUGAGGUGCAGCUGGUGAAAAGCUUGAUGAAGCCAUGUAUUUGUAUAACAGAUCCCUUAAGAAAUAGGCUCUAGAUACCAAUUGUUGGUGCUGUAACUGAAACUAACAGACUCAGCACAGACUUGUCGAGCAAGUCUCGAGACUUGCUGAGCAAACAAGAGAAUUCGAGCAAAAGAAAGGAAGAAAAGCUAAGAAAAAAUGAAUAGGAAAAUUGAUGAACAAAAAAGAACUAUAUUCAUAAAAUUGAAUAAUGGCAUAAUGCCAAUACAUAAACCAAGCACUAAGCUUGUCAAAAACAGCAAGUAAUUACCUAAACAUCACCUACUCCCACUAAUUACAUGGAAACUUGAAAUUUUAGCUUGUAAACCUAUACAAAGUUGUGUUUACAGCUCAUACAUAAGCUAAUUACAUCAGUCAACAACCUAACUUAGUUAGAAAUGAACUAAGAUUACAUUUCAUUGACUAGAAAUUACAAAAUAAACAAAAUAAGCUUCCAUCAGCAGCUCCUGCAUGUCUUGGUCUUCAUGGCCUGCAUGCUGUCGAGUUUGCUGCAUGCUGAACCAACUUCAUCAGACCCUUUUUCUUUUCAUGUUAUUAGGGAAGAAUUUUGUUUAUUGGAAGGGUGCUCGAGCAGAAUUGGUGAUUUCAGAGCCUGAAUUAGUCAAAGAGGUUCUGAAAAAUAGUGAACAAAUUUUUCAGAAAAAGAAACUUUCAGAUAUUGGUAGGAAGUUCUUGGGGGAAUGGUCUUAUUUUCAUUGAGGGGGAAAAAUGGGCAAAGCAUCGAAAGCUGGCCAAUCACACUUUCCAUGGGGAAAGCCUAAAGGUAAGUCUUCUAAAUAUAUAAACUAGGUGUAAUUAAUUUACAAGAAUUAUACAUAGACUACAAUAUUUUGGUAAAAUUGUGUAUUGUUAGCUAAGGAUAAGUUUAUUAUGGGCGUUGAAAAAGUGUAGUAAAAACAUACUUUUGAAAAAUUUAACACCAUUUACUACUUAGGAGGUCAAUUUUAAACUUGAUGUUCUAAAAUAAAAGAUUGAAUCAGAAAUUUUAAAAAAAAAGUAAUUUCAUUAAAAAGCACUCUUUUAGCUUUUUGACUUGGAUUAAAAUCUAGUUUGAAAAGGUGUUUAUUUGUCAAAUUGUUUAAUUUGAAAUCAUGAUUUUGUGUUGAAAAGUGUUUUUCUGACUCCAAUUAUAUAUGUCACUACUACUUACAUAUAGGAGGAUUGUUUGGGCAGAACAUGACUCCAGCAAUAAUUGCUAGUGUUGAAACAAUGCUAGAAAAGUGGAAAGGCCAAUAAGGCAAAGAGAUUGAACUGUACCAAGAAUUUAGGUUAUUAACUUCAGAAGUGAUUUCCAGAACAACAUUUGGUAGCAAUUACAUGGAAGGGGAGAAGAUUUUUGCCAUGUUAGACAAGUCGACAAUAAUUGUGAGUCAAAAUCUUUCUAAGACUAGAAUUCCUUUGAUCAGGUAUCUUCCCUCUAAGCUUAAUUAAUCCCAACUUUUACCUUGAUUUCAACUAGCUUUUGAAUGCAACUUUUAGACUUUCAUUCCCCCUGGAUUUGGUUUUCUCCUUAUAUAUAGCUGACCCUGGUUUGCUUUUGCAGCAAGUUGUGGAAAUCUGCUGAUUUGCUAGAGUCUGAAAAACUUUCAAAAGAAAUAAAAGAUCGUCUGAUGAAGAUUGUUAAGAAAAGAGAAGACAAAGUUGUGAAUGGAGAAGUCAAUAGCUUCCGCAGUGAUUUUUUUGGAUUACUUCUAAAUACCUAUCAUGAUUCGGAUGAGAAAAACAGGAUUUCAUUGGAAGACUUGGUAGCUGAAUGCAAAACAUUCUAUUUUGCUGGACAAGAAACUGUUAAUUCCUUACUUGCAUGGAGAUUGGCAAGAAAAAGCGAGAAGAGAGGUGGUUGACAUAUUUGGUAACCAAAAUCCACAUCUCGAAGGCAUCGCCAAACUCAAAAUAGUAAGAAAACUAUCUAACUGGGAAUUCAAAUAGCCAUCGACAUGAUGUAAUCUGACAUAUUUUUCUAUUUUCCAAACAGAUGACCAUGAUCAUCAAUGAAACUCUAAGAUUGUAUGGUCCAACAGGUGUCCUCCAAAGAACAGUUACAAGAGAAAUUCAGUUGGGAAAGCUACUCUUGCCUGCUAAUAUAGAUAUUCUGCCUUUAAAUAUUGGACUUCACCGUGACCCUCACUUUUGGGGAAAUGAUGUGCACCAUUUUAAACCUGAGAGAUUCGCUGAAGGGAUUGCCAAAGCUACCAAUUACACCGCGGCUGCCUUUUUCCCCUUCGGAUUAGGACCUCGAUCUUGUGUUGGUAUGACAUUUGCAAUGAUAGAAACCAAGAUUGCUCUCUCCAUGAUUCUACAACGCUACACCAUUACCCUUUCCCCUGCCUAUGUCCACUCUCCAAUACUUAUUCUCACCCUUCGACCCCAAAAUGGAAUUCAGGUAAUACUUGAGCCGAUACAUAGUAAUGCUUGAAGUACAUAGCCGUUAAGAACUAGAGGUUUAACAUGGUUCGUGUAUUGAACUUUUAAGAGAUGGUAUUUAAUAUGUUUAAAGGUUCUAGCAUUUAUCACAAAGACAAAUGACUCGUGGCCAUGUUUAAUUUUCAUCUAUCGUGCAAUGUUGAUGAGAAGAUAUCAUUUACUCAUUAGUUGGGUUAUGAAUUUCACUAUUUUGAAUAAUGUUACAUACUAUAGAAGUUGUAUAUCCAAUGCACCAACUUUCGGUAGUUCUUUAUCUUUUUGAACUUAGCCUUUCACUUGCAUCAAAGUAUACAAGUCAUGCAUGUAUAGUCCAUCAUCCACUCAAGAUUAAGGUAUAUCACGCUAUGAGCAUCAAAAGUAAAUAGAUCCAUAAAUGGAUUUAGAAUCUAUUCUACUUGGGUCUUAUCUGAUGUACUGUUAGUCCAGUCAAUCACAUCUAUGUCUCUCUCUUUUAGGAGUCAUCUGUUCCAUUCGAGACAAAACAUUUCCACAAUUGGGCUUGAUAGACGACAUAUUAGUUUUUCAAUCGAUUUGCUCAUUUUCGAUUAGACUAAGGACAUAUUUAGGUUUAUUUACUAAUACAAGCUAUCUUUCCAUAUCUAAUUCAAAUAUAGAUGAAUGAGAUUGGUUUAAUAUAUGUUGUAGGGAACAACGAAAAUGGGGAAAAAUUAAAUAUUACCCUAAAAUAAAUUGAUAAUUAAUAUAGUUAAAUUAAAUCCAUUUUGUUUAGGCAAAUGAAAACCAUUGGUUUAAAAGGUUUGAGAAUUGAGGAACCUUUGCAAAACAUAAUGCGAUAUCAUCACUAAAACACUGUUUAUAGGAGCUGAGAAUAAAUACUCUCUUUUCAUGUCUUUGUUGCUGGGUUUUUUAGGUCUUUUUGUAAUUAUCAUUCCUCUCAUUUCAAUAUUUAUGAUAAUAAUACCUGUAAAACAUGUUCGUCAUGUCUUGUUUUUACUAUUUAUGUAAACAUGAUUCCGGUAUAAACUAUACUAAAAUUUGUACUAUUGUAGUACUUAUUAUUAAAGUUAAGAAAUUAUUUAAGGUCGUGCGAUUUGUAAAAUUAAAGUUCUAGUCCCGUAAUAAUUGGUAUUGAACUAAGAUUUGAAGCUACCAGUUGAGAUGAGGAAAGGAGUAGAAGAGCAGAUUGAACCCAGAGAGACCCAUGGGAGGGGCAGGAGCUAUUUAUAUAUUUUUGAGAUGUUGAUAUCUUCAGGAGCCUUUUAUGACCACACACGAUAAUGGGAAAGAUAGGGUCCUACCUGACUUUUGGUUUAUCUGUUUUGAAGGGGAAAAUGGUUCUGGUUUAGAGAAGAAAAAUGAAUGCGUUGAUGGAGCUUCUAAUUCUUGCUCCAUGUUGUUUCUUCUUCAUAGCUUUAAUAAAGUUACUUUAUGAUUACCUAUGGAUACCUCUCUGUAUUCAGCAUAUGCUGAAUUUAGAGGUGAUCAUGAGUUGGGCGCCCUGGCCCAGCCUGACGGCCCGCCUGAAAAAUGAGAGGGUUUGGGUAAAAAAAAGAGACCCGUUUAAAAAAUAGGCCAAGCCUCAGGUAAAAUUUUUUUGGCCCCGGCCCAGCCCGAAAUAUAUAUUAAAUAUAUUUUUUUAAUCAUAUAUAUAUAUUAAAUAUAUACUUUUUUGGUGUUGUAAAAUUUAAUAUGGGCCAGGCCGGGCAGGGCUUAGCAAUUUUUUUCAGGUCGAGCUUGGACAAAUUUUUAGGCCCAUAUCUUGGGCCGGAUCAAGCCCGGGCUUAGAAAACGGGCCUAAAAUUUUAUCUUGGGCCGGUCCUGCCUGGCCAAUGAUCAUCUCUAGCUAAAUUCACAGGGUAUCAAAGGACCUCCUUACAGAUUCAUCCAUGGCAACAACAAGGAAGUUAUACUUUAAUUAUUAUUAUUUAUUUAAUUAUUAUUGGUCUAGUAGUCGAACCGAUUGAAUAAGAAAUCAAUAGUUUUAUCUUUUAACUGAUACUGUGAGAUUGUAGCACAUCAUCACCUAAAAAUUUAUAUAAUUUUUUUAAUUUUCAAGUGAUACAUAUGAUCAUGUCACAUCAUCAAACUUUUAAAAUUUUCAUGUUCAAAGAUUAAAAUAGACCUAAUUGUUAAAUUCAAAUGACAAAGUGGGCCAAAAAAAUCCUAAUAGCCAAUAAUAGAAAAAAUAUAUUAUUUAAAAAAAUAAAAAUAUUAAAGAAGACCCACGUGGUGAUAUUUCUCUUUUUCCAUAGUUCCCGACAAUAUUGUUGCCGUCUAUAUGUCGUAAAUAUGCUGCAACCAGCAAAAUUUGUUUUCUAAUAUUUGGCAACUUUUACUUGCAAGACAACGAAGAAAAACACUUAAAUAAUUAGUUCAGUCCUCCUCAAUAAUGGGAGAAUGUUUUUCAAGGCAAAAAUAGCUUCAAAAUCUACUCUUACUAAAAAAAAAAAAUUAUUAUCUUUUGUCCAUUUAAUUCAUCCACUAUUUAUAAUUAAAUAAUUAAAUUUCAAUUGAUAAUACCAAUUCCUUCAAUUCAAUCAUGUGUUGUUUUUUUUUAAAAAAAAAAACCUUACACGAAAUUCAUAUAAGAUAUAUAUGUAUAUAUCGAUUUUCAUUCUAUCUUUUUAAAAUAGAUUUGAAGAAUCUUACAAUUCGAGAAUUAAUAUUUUCAUUUGCUUAUUUGACUUUCCACGUGUAUGUAUUAGCUAGAUGAGUAUGAUUUUUUAUUUCGUAAGUGCCAAAUAAAUAUUACUUUAACAAAGGUUUUUUUUUUAUUACAAUGUUAUGAAUUGAAUUUCAAAAGUGCAAAUGAUACAGGGAGUGAAAGCAUAGUUAGACCUAAAAGAAACUAAGAAGUCAGUUGUUAUUGAGAAACGUCCUAAAUCCACUAUAUAAAAACAAAAGGACCAUCUGGAUUCAGUGUUAAGAGAAGAAACAUGAGUGAUUUGAUGGAGCUUGUGAUACAGCAUAUGCUGAAUUCAUAGGGAAUCAAAGGACCUCUUUACACAUUCAUCCACGGCAACAACAAGCAAAUUACCUAAAUGAAAAAGAAAGCAUUAAACAAUCCUGGCGUUGCAGUGGAACAGAUUAAAGCUACAAAUUAUGGUAGUGGAGCAGAUUAGAGCUACCAGCCUUAUCUCCCUGAAGUUGUAGCGGAGCAGACUGAAGAUAGAGAAUCUUAUUUCCCUAGCGUUGCAGUGGAACAGAUUAAAACUACAAGUUAUGGCGGAUCUUAUCUUCCUAAAUUUGCAAUGGAGCAGAUUAAAGCCACCAGCCUUAUCUCAUUGAAGUUCCAGCGGAGUAGAUCAAAGCUACAAGUCUCUUCUCCCUAAAAUUACAUUGGAGCAUAUCAAAACACCAAUUCCUAUACCCCUGAAGAUGCGAUGAAAUGGAAUGAGACUACUUGAAAGAAAGAAGCACCAUAAAGUCAAGAUUCGGCAAGACCAGGCAAAAUUAGCCUCUUUAAAGUCUUUCUACCAUUCUCAUUACACGAGAAUGAGCAAAGAGGGACAGUUGUAAUAGGCCAAUUUUGGCCCAGGCUCAAAACCAAAUAAAUAAAACCAAAACCUGAGAGAUUCGCUGAAGGGAUUGCCAAAGCUACCAAUUACACCGCGGCUGCCUUUUUCCCCUUCGGAUUAGGACCUCGAUCUUGUGUUGGUAUGACAUUUGCAAUGAUAGAAACCAAGAUUGCUCUCUCCAUGAUUCUACAACGCUACACCAUUACCCUUUCCCCUGCCUAUGUCCACUCUCCAAUACUUAUUCUCACCCUUCGACCCCAAAAUGGAAUUCAAGUAAUACUUGAGGCGAUACAUAGUAAUGCUUGAAGUACAUAGCCGUUAAGAACUAGAGGUUUAACAUGGUUCGUGUAUUUUACUUUUAAGAGAUGAUAUUUAAUAUGUUUAAAGGUUCUAGCAUUUCACAAAGACAAACGACUCAUGGCCAUGUUUACUUUUUAUCUAUCAUGCAAUGUCGAUAAGAAGAUACCAUUUACCCAUUAGUUUGGCUAUGAAUUUCACUAUUUUGAAUGAUGUUACAUACUAUAGAAGUUGUAUAUCCAGUGCACCAACUUUCGGUUCUUUAUCUAUUUGAACUUAGCCUUUUACUUGCAUCAAAGUAUACGAGUCAUGCAUGCAUAGUCUAUCAUCCUCUCAAAAUUAAGGUAUAUCACACUAUGAACGUCACAAGUAAAUAGAUCCAUAAAUGGAUUUAGAAUCUAUUCUACUUGGGUCUUAUCUGAUGUACUGUCAAUCCAGUCAGUCACAUCUAUAUUUUUAUCUUUUAGGAGUCAUCUGUUCCAUUCGAGACAAAGCAUCUCCACAAUUGGGCUUGAUAGACAACAUAUUAUUUUUUAAUUGAUUUGCUCAUUUUCAAUUAGACUAAGGACAUAUUUAGGUUUAUCUUCUAAUACAAGCUAUCUUUUCAUAUCACGAUCUGACCACGUAAUACCGCUUAGUAUUAAUUUAAACAUUAGAUAACUAACGAGCCAUUAUUUGCUUCCAUUUUGCUUUGCAUGCAAAAAUAUUGAGGACAAUAUCGAAAGGGUAUUAAUGUAAUUAAUAGAUAUUAUUAAACCAAUUUGUUUGAAAAAUACAAUUAUAUAAAACGAAUAUAGUACACUUAGUGUACCAAAUCCAACAGUGGCCACUACAGCUAGCAUUGCCAUAAGCAACAUAACUUGACAUUUUUGGAGUUGAAAUCAUUUUAACAAAAUCAUUUGGGCAACGACUUAGAUGGUUUUGUGGACAUGUGCUGUCUCAUAUUUGAAGAUCCAUUUUAUGGAGCAAUCAAUCUUUGAAGACUAAAUCAAUUUGAAUCAAGCAAGUCAGAUCACUUAUUUUAUGGAGAUUGGCUUGACUUUUUGAAAAUUUGUUUUCGAAAUAUUUGAUUUAUUCUUGACUUUGAGGAUAUUUGUAAAGUUUUUUUUUACGAGGCUAUUUUUUGUGGGAUAUUGAUUCUAAUUGAUCUUUUAUCUUUGCAAACAUUAAAUUCUUAUAUAUUAGAGGCUUGUGUAAGUUAAAAUAAGGUAGAGUUUCUAUAGCACUUAUUUUUUCAUUGAGGAACUUGUAUUUGAUAGUGCAUUAAGAGUGUAAAAUAAGUUUGUUGCUUAGUUUUUCAACCAAAAUUCUCAAGGAAAGAACUUAGUGGUGAGUUGUGAUAGGACUUAAAUAACUUGUUGUCUUAGGAUUAAAAAUAAUGGAUUUACUCACUAAGUUGGGUUCCAUAGACAUAGAAAAAUCGAUAUGCGUAAAUAAUCAUUUGUGCUCUAUUUUUUUGUUGUUGUGUUCAUCAUAGUGGCAUCUAAGGUUGCCAUUACAACCAUCACUUUGGUCAUCAAUUACGCACUUUAUUUUUUUUCAGCAAUUAUCAACUUUAUGCGCCAAGAGAAUGCUUGUUUCUAGUACCAUUGAUCAAUUUUGUAGGAAACAUAAUGACCAAAAAGAAAAUGAUUACAGUCAACCCCUUCUGUAACAACUCUAUUUAUUUGUUAAGAUUUUGCAAGUUAUAAAAAGGUGGUUGUUAUAUACUAUUACAACAUGUUAUAAAAAGAUAAUUAUUGUAAACCUAAAAUAGAAUUUAUAUCGUGAAUUACUAUCAAAUAAAGAAAGUGAGAAUUAUAUUAAAAAAAGGAAAGUAGAAAUCAAAUCAACAAAAUUAAAAGAUGUAUAAUAGGUGCAUGCAUUAUUACCUUUAUAUUUUAUUUUACAUUUUUCACAUGAUUAAUUAUGAAAUUCAUCAAUCUAACAAAUAGUUAAUCGAUAUGAGUUUAAAUUAAAUUAAUUAAUUUAUCAUGUGUUAUUAAAUUCAAAAUGGUACCUAAACAAUUAAUCUGUUAUCUAUUUAAUACAGCCAAUCAUUUGCCACGUAAAAUAUCUAUUUAUUUUCUUUUAAAAUAUUACUAAAAUUCGAUAAAUAAAAUUAAAAAUAGUUAAAAAAUAAAACAUCAUAAAUUUAAUAAAAUUUAAACGUUAAGGAAAAACAUUUUACUGAUUGAAAAUACCCUUAAUCAGAUUUUACUAACAAUCCCUAUUUUUUUCAAACAAAUCACAAACUCUUUUUGUUCAAAAAAUUUCAAAUCAUCUUUUUACAACCUUUAAUCCUUUGUGGAAUUGAUAGAAGGGUACGUUUGAAGAAUUAAUUUUUUUUCUUGAAACCCUUGUUUGUCAAUUUCAUUGUUGAAACCUUUCUAAUUUCAUCAUUAUUUGAUUUUUAUUUUAGGUUAAUCGUAAAACUUCAAUUGAUUCGGGCAAAUCGAAGGAGUUGUAAAAAGGUUGAAAGGUAUGAUUUAGGCUUAAGUUAACACCAUUUGUAAAGGGUUCUUUUAUAGUUAAUAUGUAGAAUCUAAUGUAUGUGACUUUUGGCAGGUUGUGGGUUCUUGAAAUUUUAUAUUGAGAAAGUAGAACACACCUUUUAAGAGGGAAGUUCUUUGUGACUCGAGAUUAUUAGUCUGGUGACAAAAAGCCAAAAAAUGUACCAUUUGCUUUGAAGUUAUUUAUGAUUGUUAAUGAUAAACUUAGGAUUUUUAAUGGUGUUUAUAUAUGUAUUUUGUUAAGAUACAUAAUGAUAAAACUAGAGUUUGUGAUAUGUUUUGAGAUGAUAGGCUUCACGAAUAUGUGAUUUAUUGUCCUUAGCUAAUUCAAAUAUAGAUUAAUGGUGCCACUGCCACAGGCAGCACAACUCCCCUUAUAAUGGGGGGACCAUUCGGCUGGUGGGUGGAAAAGAAAAGGAGAGGGAAAGAAAUGGAAAGGAGAAGAAAGAAAGAAAAGGAAAGGAGAACACUACACCAGAACAGGCUUUUAGCGGCAUAUUUUGUGGCGUUUUGAUAACAAACGCCGCUAAAAAUCAAGCAUUAGCGGCGCAAAGAAUAAAACGCCACUAAAGAUCUAGCAUUAGUGGCGCUUCUUAUAAAACGCUGCUAAAGAACAUAAUUCGCGGCGUUUACCACACAGCGCCGCAAAAUCUCAAGACCAACACGCAGCGUUCUGGUCUUGAUGUAUAUUAGCAUUAGUGGUGCUUACGAACAAACGCCGGUAAUGUAUAGUAUUAGCGGCGCUUAGCGGAAGCGCCGCAAAAGAUGUUAACCAAAACGCAGAGUUUGGUCUUGAUGUAUAUUGCAAUUAGUGGCGCUAAUGUAUAGUAUUAGCGGCACCGAGCGUUAAACGCCGCAAGACAUCUUAAUCAAAACGCAGCGUUUUGGUAUUGAUGUAUACUAUAAUUAGUGGCUUUUAAGGAAAACGCCAGUAAAGGAUAGUUAUAGCAGUGUUUGGUGGUAAGAUCCUCAAAAUAUCUUAACCAAAACGCAGAGUUUGGUCUUGAGGUGUAUUAGAAUUAGUGGCGCUUGCUGAAAAACGCCGCUAAAGUAUAGUAUUAGUGGCGCUUGUGGAACGCGCCGCAAAGUGUCUUAACCAAAACACAGCGUUUAGUUCUUGAUGUAUACUGGAAUUAGUGGCGCACAUGGGAAAACGCCAUUGAAGCAUAGUAUUAGCGGCGCUUGUACCGAAACGCCACAAAAAACCUAAGCCAGACGGCAUCGUUUCGAAACUUUUUAGUGCUUUAGCGGCGUUUUUCCUUAAAGCGCCACAAAUCAUUUUAUAUGUUUUUUAUAUUUAAUUUGUUUAUUUAUAUUAAUUAAAAUUUAAUUUAUUUUUAAUUGAAUAUUUGUUAAAAAUGGAAAACUUGAAAUAGUAUUAUUUAAAAUAAUUUUAAAAAAUGUUAGGUACAUGACUGAUUGAUUUGUAAUUUAUAUAUUAAAUAAUUUCAUAUAUAAUUAUAAAAGAUAGUUUUUAAAAUAUUUAAUUAUUUAUCAUUAUAGUUUAGGGUUUAAUAUAUAUGCAGUUUAGGGUAUACGGUUAAUUUAAGAUUUAAGGUCGGUUUAAGAGCUACAAUUUUAACGUUUAUAUAGAUUAUGGAAUUAUGGAUUCUGGUUAAUUUAAGGGUUGUAAUUUAGGGGUUAUAGAUUAAGAGUUAGGGAUUUAAGGUUUAUGGAUUCGGUGUCAGGUUAGGCUUUAGGGUUUAGAUUAAUUAGUGUGUUUUAAUUUUUAUAAAAUAUGGUUUAAGGGUUAGGGGGUAGGGGGUAGGGAUUUGGGUUAGGAUUUAGGGUUUUGAUUAAUUAAUAUUUUUUAAUUUAUGUAUUAAAUAAGGUUUAGGGUUAGUACAAGUUAGGGUCGGGGUUAGUGGUUUAAGGGUUAGAAGAUAAGAGUUAGUGAUUUAGGGUUUAAAAAUUCGGGGUCAGGUUAGGCCUAUUGGGAACUUUAGUGGCGCUGCAAAAUUUUUAUUUUAUUUAAGGGUUUACGUUAUAGAAUAUAUGAUUUAAUGUCCAUGGUUUAGAGUUUUAGGGAUUACAGUUUAAUGUUUAUUAUUUUGGGUUAAUAGUUUAUGUGUUAGAGUUUGUGUUUAGGGUUUAAGGAUGCUGUUUAAAAAUUGAAGAACAUUUAGAUUUUACUAAAGAUUCAUGCAAUUUAAUAUAUGAAUAUAAAAUAUAUGUUUUGUACAGUAACAUUGGCCACGCAAUUACCCUAAAAUAUGGUUUAGGAAUAUUACGGUUUGGGACUUUUGGUUUUGACUUUUACUGUUUGGGGCUUUAGGGUUUGGGGUUUGAGGUUUGGGGUUUUUGGUUUGGGGUUUGGGGUUUGGUUUUUGAGGUUUAAGGUUUAGAAAUUAUAAUUUAAGCAGGUUUAAAACGCGAAUUUAUUUUCUUUAAAUGUAUUACUCUCUCAUUUUUUUAUUAUUAAUUUUUCCAUUUUAUAACUUUGGUUUUAAUUUUGGAUCAAUUUAACUUCAAUCUUGGAUGACACUAUUUUGACAACUCACGUGCUAGUAUAUUUGUAUUCUAUUCUUAGCGUAUAUAUAAUUUAAAAUAAAUUAUAAAUAUUUUUAAAUUUUGUAGAAAUUUUAAACUUUUUUUGCAAUGAAAGCCGUUAGAGGCAUUUAUCUCAAAACGCUGGAAAGAUUAUUUAACGUUAAGUAAAACUGCAUCGUUUCCUGUCACUGGGAAGGGGAACGGCGCCGUUUUGUUCAUCCGUAUUCGCGGCACUUUGAAAAAUGCCGCCAAGUUGGAUUAGGAGCUAAUGAAACUGCGUCGUUUUACGUUGCUAUUAGUGGCGCUUUCCAUGAAACGCCGCAAAAUUGUAUUUAUGUUUAUUGAAAUGUUGUCGUUUUUGUCUAUUGUAUUAGUGGCAUUUUUCGGAAACGCCACAACAUUGGGUAAACUGUUGGGGAAACGGCUUCGUUUUGACUUAUAGUUAGUGGCGCUUUACUUGAAACGCCGCAAAAUUGUUCUAACAUUUGUUGAAACGUUGCCGUUUUGUAAAUGUAAUUAGUGGCGUUUUUGAGAAAACGCCAGGGGUUUGAGGUAAGUGUUGAUGAAGCGACCGCGUUUUGAGUUAUUGUUAGUGGCGCUUAGUUUAAAACGCCGCAAAGUUUUGACCUAUAUUUUAUGGCGCUUUGCUUAAAACGCCGCAAAAAUGUUUUUCAAUGUUUGAUUCGAUGCCGUUUAUCUAUAUUAUUAGUGGCGUUUAUAGGGAAACGCCACAUUUUUCAGCUGUUUGUUGAUGAAACGACCGCUUUUCAAUUAAAUUUAGUGGCACUUUGAUGUAAACGUCGCAAAUGGAUAUUUUUUUAGAUGAGAACGGCGUCGUAUUUUUUCCAUCAGUCUGACCAAAUAUUACACCCGAUAUUUCUCCAUCACUUAUCCCCCAAAUACUCAUUCUCCCCCAAAUCCCUAAAAUUUCCCCUAAUCCCUAACAGCCCCCCAAACCCGACCACCUGCUACUCUGCCAUCUUCUGUGCUGCAUCACUCCGUCCGUCCGUUUCUGGCGCCGCAACCAUCGGUAAGUUUGAGUACUUCGUUCUUCGUUCUUUUUCUUCAUGCGUUAAUGUCUCUCUGUUGCUUCUUCAUUGCUGUUGUUUUGACUCCUUCCUCAUAGCAACCCACGCUUUCAAUCUUUCAACUUUCCCAGAAACUCCAAGACUGAAACCGAGGAGAAGACGCUGCACUUAGUAAUUUCGGAUUCCAUCUUCAGUUUUGGGCAAUACCCUUUCCAAGGUAUAACGCUGUCGGUAUUAAUUUCAUCAUUUAAAAUUAGUGGCUUUGGGUCCUUAGUUCUGAUAUGGUUACUUUUAUUGGACUCGUUGAUGCUCAAAAAUCGGUCCUUUAUGCGUAAAUGGGUCGAUGCUUUUGAUUAGUUUGAUAGUGGGUUUAGGGUACCACGUGUUUCUUUUAUGUGAAAUGCCUUUAGUUUGCUAUAUAUAUAUGGCGUGGAAAAGUUAUUGGCAUCUGUUAUAUCUAAUGAAUUUCUUUUAAAAACUUUUCAAUGGGAAUCUUUUUUGUUAAAGAAAAACCAUUCUUCUGUUUGAUUAUAAUGAAUAUAUAUAGGCUUCCUUUUAUCAUUUCUGAUUUGGUUUGAUUUUGUUGUAACUUGUUAUAACCAAACUGAAAUCCGAAUUCAAUUGCUAUAAGUGCCUAACUGUUAUUUUGUAGUAAUGGAUUUAGAGUUAAAGUGUUUUAUUUUUUUCCUGUUUAUUUGGGUGUAAUUUUCAUAUGUUUUCCUUUUUUUUUGUAGUAUUUACUCCUAUUUUAAAUUUAUUUUGCAUGCAUUCCAAUUUUAGAUGAAGUGGUUGUAUGUUUGAAAUCGAAGUCAAUAUUUACUUUCAUAUUUCUUUCAUGCCAUUCCCAUCAAUCAUUUCAGCACUAGGCAUGAAUUCAAAAUUGUUCAGGUAUCCUGCAAAUGGCAUUGUUGAUAAGGAUGCAAAAUUUGUUUUCUGAUGUUAAUAUAGCCUUGAUUUUUCUCAUGUAUAGUUGUCAGUUGUUAUGGGUAAAUUUUAUAUAAUUUUAUUUAAUUUUAUAAUUAUUCGAAUAUAUAUUCAUAAUUAUACUGUAUUUAUAAUUAUCGAUUUUCAAUUUAUCAAUUUACAAUUUUAUUUCAAUUAAUAAAUGUUUAAUAAUCAAUUAAUAAAUUGAUCGAUUAAUUGAUUGAAUGUCAAUGAAUUAUCAAUUUUGGUUAGUUAAUUGAUUGAAUGUUUAAUAAAUUCAUUAUAUAAUGAAUUCUCAAAAAAUUAUUACUUGAUUGCAUGUUUAAUAUAAAUAACUUAUUAUGAUAUAUAUUUUAAAGUUAAUAUAUAAUUUCAAUAUUUAUUAUAUUUUUAAAUAUAUUUUUACAAUUUAAUUUAACUUAUUGAUAAUAUAUAUAUUGUUAAGUAAUAUUUUUUUAAAAUUGAUAUCUUACAUUACUUAAAUAUAUAUUUUUAAGUAUAUUCUACAUGACUUACAUAUUACUUACUAAAACAUAUUUUUUACUAAAAUUUACUUUAAUAUAUUACUUGAAUAUAUUACUUAAAUAAUUUACUUAAAUACAUUACUUACUAAAAUUUUUUUAAAUUUUAAAUACAUUACUUGUUUAAUAUAUUACUUACUAAAAUUUAAGUAUAUAUUACAUUCCUUACAUAACUUGUUAAAAUAUAUUAUAAUUUCAAUAUUUAUUAUAUUUUUAAAUAUAUUUUUACAAUUUAAUUUAACUUAUUAAUAAUAUAUAUAUAUUCUUAAGUAAUAAUUUUUUAAAAUUUAUAUCUUACAUUACUUAAAUGUAUAUUUUUAAGUAUAUUUUACAUGACUUACAUUACUUACUAAAACAUAUUUUUUACUAAAAUUUACUUGAAUAUAUUACUUAAAUAAUUUACUUAAAUACAUUACUUACUAAAAUUUGUUUAAAUUUUAAAUACAUUACUUAAAUAUAUAUUACUUACUAAAAUUUAAGUAUAUAUUACAUUACUUACAUAACUUGUUAAAAUAUAUUAUAAUUUCAAUAUUUAUUAUAAAUAAGAUACAUAAAAGUGACUGACUAUUAAUAUUUACUUACAUAAUUUAAUUUUGUAUUUACAAGAACUUACAUAACUUAUUAAUAUUCAAUAAACUUAUAUAACUAUCACACAUACACUUAUUAAACUUACAUAAUACAUGACUUAUAUAAAAUUCUCAAAUAAACUUACAUAAUACAUUAGUUAUAUAAUAACUUAUAUAAACUUACAUAAUACACAUUACUUACAUAGCAUACAUAACUUACAUAAUACACAACUUAAAUAGCUUACUUAAUACAUAACUUACAUAACUUAGACACGUACAUAACUUACAUAAUUUACUUAAUACAUAAAUAUAUAUCAUAUGAUAUAUAUUUAAAAAAACUCAUUUGUAGUUACCACUGAACAACUUACCCUUGUAAUUUCUGGUGAAAAUCAAACAUCAAGAAAUAAGAAAUGGACCGGUCUUGGAUGAAUUUGUCAAGGGUAAGCGACGGUUAUCGAAAUGGAGUACAGACUUUUCUAAAUUUUGCAUUUCAAUAUGCAAGCCAGGAGAACAUGAUUCUUUGCCCAUGUAAGAAGUGUGUCAACAUAAACUGGCAUUAUCGUGAAGUUGUAUACGAGUAUCUAAUUGUUGAUGGGUUUGUUCGGGGUUAUAAACAAUGGCUUUUUCAUGGAGAAUGCCCGCCUAGUACUUCCUCUUCAAGGAUGGAUGUAUCUUAUGACAGUACUACUUACCACCAGUCUGUUAGAGGGGAUGACAUGGAAGGGAUGUUGCGGGAAGCAUUUAAUAUUCACAAUCAUGGUUUACAGUCGUUCCCAGCCGACUUUGUUGCAUCUGAUGAUUGUAAUAUUGGUGGAAAUGCUUUUACCGAACCUGGAAGAAGUGUACAUCAUGAAGAGCCGAAUGGAGAAGCGGUGAAGUUCUACGCGCUACUUAAUGACAUGAAUGAAGAACUGUUUGAGGGAUCAAAAUUCUCAAAAUUAUCUUUUUGUAUUCGUCUUUUCCAGUUAAAGUGUUUGGGAGGGUGGACCGGGAACUCUUUAACAAUGCUGUUAGAGUUUUUGAGAGAGAUGUUUCCGUUUGCAAAAAUCCCUUAAUCAUGCAAAGAUAUGAAGACUAUGAUAAAAGACUUAGGUCUUGGGUACACCAAAAUCCAUAGUUGCCUGAAUGACUGCAUGUUGUAUUGGGGCGAUCGAAGAAACCAGUAGUGCUGUCACAUAUACGGCCAAUCACGUUGGAUAAAUAGAAACACAGAAGAUAGGAACGACGAUGAAAAUGAUGCACAGCCAAGAAAGAAGCCGGUCAAGAUUUUACGGUAUUUUUCGCUCAUACCAAGGGUUCAAAGGCUUUUCAUGUCGUCGAAGAUAGCGGAGUCUAUGACGUAGCACCAUGAUGGACGAACCGAUGAUGGGAAGAUGAGGCAUCCGGCAGAUUCUUUAGCUUGGAAAUCAUUUGACAAUAAAUUUCCAAGCUUUGCAAGUGAUCCUAGGAGUGUAAGGCUUGGCUUAGCAUCUGAUGGAUUUAAUCCGUACAAGAUCAUGAGUACUGCGUACAGUACUUGGCCAGUAGUGCUUGUUCCUUACAAUCUGCCUCCGUGGAUUUGCAUGAAGCAAUCUUCCCUUAUCUUAUCUAUGAUUAUCCCUGGAGAGAAAGGGCCCGGGAAUGAUAUCGACAUUUAUCUACAGCCACUUAUUGAAGAGUUAAAACAAUUGUGGACUGGUGUCGAGACAUACGAUGUGCUGAGAAAGGAGAACUUUAAUUUACGUGCAGCUUUGAUGUAGACCAUUAAUGACUUUCCCGCUUAUGCCAAUUUAUCUGGUUGGAGUACCAAGGGUCGUUAUGCGUGUCCUUGUUGUGCUGCACAAACAUGUUCGCAAUGGUUGUACAAUGGGAAGAAGUUCUCUUACAUGGGGCACCGUUGGUGGUUACCGAAAAAUCAUAGAUUUAGAUUUCAGAGUUCUGUAUUUGACGGCACUGAAGAGUUCAGAGAAGCUCAUUCGCAGACCAGUGGCUCUGAAAUCUUGUUCAUGUUGGAAUAUAUGAAUUUCAUUUAUGGGAAGAUGAACCAACCGUCAGACACGCAAAGAAAUAGAAGAUCCAAUGAUGAAGCUGAUGAUGACUCUGAUGAAGAGGACGAUCCUAAUGAGGCGGACUUGUGGAAAAAAAGAAGUAUUUUUUUUGAGUUGCCUUAUUGGGAGCAUCACCUUCUACGACACAAUCUUGAUGUUAUGCACCUUGAGAAAAAUGUCUGCGAGAACAUUGUGGGUACAGUUUUGAAUGUCGACGGAAAAUCAAAAGACAAUCUUCAAAGUCGACUUGAUUUAGUCCAAAUGGGAAUCUGACCUGAUCUUCAUCCCAAUCCACUUCCGAAUGGGAAAUAUCGGUUGUCACCUUCUAUAUUUUCAAUGUCCAAGACGGAAAAAGAAGUGUUCUGCAAGGUGUUGAAGGAUAUAAAGGUUCCAGAUGCGUAUGCAUCGAAUAUAUCUCGAUGUGUUAGUGUUAAAGAUCGAAGAUUAUAUUCGCUAAAAUCACAUGACUAUCACAUCUUGAUGCAAGAUUUACUGCCAGUGGCUCUACGAUGUUGUAUGUCCAAGAAGGUGACGUCUUGUAUAAUUGAACUAUCCAACAUAAUGAAAGCCAUUUGUGGUAAAGUUUUGGACGUUCAAGAACUUCAGAAGGUACAGGAUCGAGCCGCUUUGACUUUAUGCAACCUGGAGAAAAUCUUCCCACCUUCCUUCUUCACUGUUAUGGUUCACUUGAUAAUCCAUCUCCCGCACGAAGCAAUUCUUGGCGGACCCGUUUUCUAUCGAUGGAUGUAUCCCAUAGAAAGGUGUUAAUUAAAAAAGUAUAAGUUUUCCUUCAUUCACCUCUAUGCCUUUACUUUCAAUAAUUAAGAAAUGUUGUAUAUUCUGUUUAGGUUUCUAUCCAAAUUAAAGUNNNNNNNNNNNNNNNNNNNNNNNNNNNNNNNNNNNNNNNNNNNNNNNNNNNNNNNNNNNNNNNNNNNNNNNNNNNNNNNNNNNNNNNNNNNNNNNNNNNNNNNNNNNNNNNNNNNNNNNNNNNNNNNNNNNNNNNNNNNNNNNNNNNNNNNNNNNNNNNNNNNNNNNNNNNNNNNNNNNNNNNNNNNNNNNNNNNNNNNNNNNNNNNNNNNNNNNNNNNNNNNNNNNNNNNNNNNNNNNNNNNNNNNNNNNNNNNNNNNNNNNNNNNNNNNNNNNNNNNNNNNNNNNNNNNNNNNNNNNNNNNNNNNNNNNNNNNNNNNNNNNNNNNNNNNNNNNNNNNNNNNNNNNNNNNNNNNNNNNNNNNNNNNNNNNNNNNNNNNNNNNNNNNNNNNNNNNNNNNNNNNNNNNNNNNNNNNNNNNNNNNNNNNNNNNNNNNNNNNNNNNNNNNNNNNNAUCUUUUUAUGAAUGGUUAAGCCAAACGGUAUGCAGUUCGAGCUUCCGCUUACAAAUAAUAAUGUUUUCUCAUAACAUUUUUAAUUACUCAGUUUACUUUCCAUUCAAUAGGUUUGGAGUGGGAAGAACGUAAACGACGAUGUUAAAUGGCUCUCCCAAGGUCCAAAUCGAGUGGUUAAAAGAUAUAGUGCGUUCCUCAUCAACGGAUUCAGAUUUCAUACAAAAUAUCACGAGAGGUUGAGGAGAACGCAAAAUUGUGGAAUAGUUGUCAAUUCUGCAAUUACAAGUUAUGCUAGUGCUAGGGACAAUAAUCUUGUCGAGGGAAAUGUGGAAUAUUUCAGACAUCUUACUGACAUAAUUGAGUUGGAUUACUACGGCAAAUGGAAAGUUGUCUUAUUUCGUGGUGAUUGGGCCGAUGUUAAUACAGCUCGUGGAAUUAAGCAAGAUCAAUUUGGUUUUACAAUGGUGAACUUUGACCUAUUGAUUCACACAGGACAACAACUGAUAAAUGAGCCGUAUGUAUUCCCAUCUCAAGUCAAACAAGGUUUUUACUCAAAAGAUCCAACUGAUGAGGGUUGGUACGUUGUACUCUAUAACAUCCCUAGAGACUUGUUUGACAUGGGCAGUGGAACUAGAGAUAACAUCGACAACAGAUCAGUAACUUUGCCCUUUCCAGAACAAAACUUAAACGAUAAUAUCCCUAGUACUAGUGCACAAUUUCAAUGGGUUCGUCAGGAUACCGAUGCAGAUAUUUACGAAUAAUGAUGUAGUAAGAUUUUACGAUUGUUUAAUUAUAUGUAAUAUCAUAAUUUAAAUCUUGGUCUUAUUAUAUAUUUCAACUAUUUUAUAUGUGCUGUUAUUGUUGUAAUUAGUUAUCCCGUUGUCAACUAUUUUAUGUGUAUUGCAGAUAAAAUGCCUAGAAGAAAAAUUCUAAGGGGAAGCAUUGUUCAAAAUAAUCCAAACUCGACAGAAACAAAUAGUACUGAACAACAGACAGCAGUUGGAUCUUCGAAUGCUCCGAUUACAGCUGAGGAUCCUACAGAAGUUCAAAGUAAGUUUACAUUUAAUUUACAUGCGUGUUGACUUAUAGUUGAUUUAUUUUUCAAAUUCUUAUGUUAUAAUAUACCAUUUGUAGCUGAAAAUGGUGGGACGCGCAGAGGUCGAGGACAUACGCUACUUAGAGAGUUAUAUGAGUUAGAUCCAGUCGAGCGUGUCAAAGUUGGACGAAACAGUUUUGGUCAACCUGUUGGAUCAGAAGCUCGACUUUUAGCAGGAUACAUGGGCAUUUUAGCACGAAAUCCGAAUAUGUUGCCUAUCAACUACGAGUCAUGGCAUCAAAUGCCCGAUAGCAACAAAAACCAAGCCCUCGAUAAUAUUAAGGUAACAAAAUAUUAAUGCCAUCUGUAAUGCUUGGGAAAUAGUUUCAUUUAUAUUUACUUUAUUAACUUGUGUUUUUUGUUUUUUGUAGGUGAGGUUUGCUUUAGAGGUCUCGGAUGAUUACGUAAAGAAGGCAUUGGGAAAAAUAUGGAGAGACAAUAAAAGUACUUUGAAGAAAAAUUAUUAUAAAACAAAAACAACCCUCGAUGAGAAAUUGCAAAAUGUCCCGCCGGGUAUGUUGAGGUACCAAUGGGAAGAUGCGGUUAGAUUUUGGCAUUCGAAGAAAGGCGAGGUAUGACGUACUUCCAAACUAUUGUAAUUAUUUUGGUUUAUAGUAUUUUCUAUUUACGUACUAAAAUUUUGAUAAUGUAGGAUCAUGAAAAAGUUGGAAAAAGCAGCAGGCAGAAACAAAAAUUCACCCACACAGCCGGGUCAAGAAGUUUUGCAUGUGUAGCUGAGGCGGAGGUAUUUUUAAUUUAUUUAAUAUUGUCGAAUAUGUAUAACAUUCUAUUAAAUAAUAUUUAUACUACCAUAUUGUAGGAACUGUCGUCCGGUCAAAAAGUUGGACGCCUUCAACUUUUUGAAAUUACACAUAGGAAGAAAGAUGGAUCUCCCAUGACUCCUGAAGCCGGUGAAAUAAUGGUACGUUUACUUAAUACGAUUUGACUUAUUUUAGUUAUUUUUAGUGUUUAUUUUCUAAUGGUUUAAUUCAUUGCUUGUAAUGCGACUAUUGUUAUGUUGCAUAUGUUUUUUAAUAUAUAAUAUUGCGUUCCUAACUAUGUGAUUUAUUUAUUAGGAAAAACUAAAGGAUAAAAAGGCGGAGUACGAAGCGAUUGCUUCUAGUGAUAGUUCUAUUCAUCUUGAAGACAUUGAUAACCGAAUUAUUACUGAAGUUUUGGGUCCUGAAAGGUAUGGUCGGGUUCGAUUUCAAGGAUCUUUUGUUAGCCCAACCCAAUAUUUUGGAUCCAGCUCCCACCAAUACAUGGCUUCGGGGAGUCAGGCUCAAGCUGAAGUUCAGAGGUUGAAAGACCAGAUGGCUGAGAUGCAAGCGACCACAGUUGAGGUUCAAAGGAAAUAUGAAGAACUCCAGCUACAACUUAAAGCAGAGGCGGCAGCGAGGGAAGCAGAGGCCGCAGCGAGGGAAGCAGAGGCUGCAGCCAGACAAGCAGAGCAGACCAAAAAGUACGACGAACUCCAGCAACAGCUUCAGACUGUGAUGAAGAUGUUUCAGUCGUAACUUCCGCCUUCAUAGUGUAUGACAUAAAUAUUUUUAUCAUUUUAACAUUUAAAAUUUUUGCAAAAAUACUAUGAAUUCACUUUUAUUUAUUGAUAUUAAUAUUAUAUAAAUUCACUGUGAUGAAUUCACUUUUAGCGGCGUUUUUUUUCUAAGCGCUGCUAAAGAACAUGGUCUUUACCGGCGUUUUUGUUUGUAAACGCUGCAAACGUUUGCGACGUUUUCGUUAGCGGCCUUUUUUGCGGCGCUUAGUGGCGUUAAAAAGCGCCGCUAAAGGCCUAAAAAAACGCCGCUAAAGACCUGUUUUGGUGUAGUGGAAGAAAGAAAAAGAAAGAAAGAAAAGGAAAGGAGAAGAAAGAAAAAAAAAAAGGAGAAGAAGAGGGAAGGAAGGAAAAAGAAAGGAAAAAAGAAGUAAAGGUAAUUUUUUUGUAUUAAUUUUUUUUUGUAAUAUUUGUGUAAAAAAUGUAUGUGUUUUAUUAUUUUAUUUAGAAUAUAUAUUUUAUGAAAUUUAUUUAGCAUGAAAAAAUCCAUGUUAUAUACAUUCUAUGUUGAUUAGAAUUUUUUUUGUGAAAUUUAUUUAGGAUGUUGUAAUUAGUUUUUUUUAGGAAAAUAGCAUUAAAAAUAAAAUUAUAAAAAAAUAUGUUUAAGAAAACAUAAAAUACGAAAAGAAAAAAAACGGAAAUUGUAUAUUCAACGAAAGUAAUAAAAUCCGAAAAAAAUUGUAUAUUUAAAAAACACACUAAAUUAAUAAAUUUCAAACAUAAUGUACUAAAAUAAUGUAAAAUAAUAAAAUUAAAAAAUAUGAUUUUUUUAAAGUAAUAAAACACGGGAGAAAAAUACGAACAAAGGGCCGAAGUAGGGGUUUUUUACUAAAUUUUAAAAAAAUAAAAAAAAAAUUAAUACAUUUCAAACAUAAUGUACUAAAAUAAUGUAAAAAAUAAAAUACAAAAAUAAUAUAUUUUAUUAAAAGUAAAAAUAGGGAAAAAAAAUACGAGCAAAUGGCCGAAAUAAGGUUUUUUUUAAAUUUAUUUAAAAACACAUUAAAUUUAUUUAAAUUUCAAACAUAAUGUACUAAAAUAAUUUAAAAUAAUAAAAUUAGAAAAUAUGAUAUAUUUUAAAGUAAUAAAAUUCGGGAAAAAAUACGAACAAAGGGCUAAAAUAAGGGUUUUUUAUUAAAUUAAAAAAAGAAAUAAUUAAUACAUUUCAAGCAUAAUGUACUAAGAUAAAUUAAAAUAAUAAAAUAUGAAAAUAAUAUAUUUUUAUUGAAAGUAAUAAAAAUCGGGAAAAAAUAUGAGCAAAGGGCCGAAAUAAGGGUUUUUUAAUUUAUUUAAGAAACACACUAAAUUUAUUUAAAUUUAAAACAUAAUGUACUAAAAUAAUAUAAAAUAAUAAAAUUAUAAAAUAUAAUAUUUUUUUAAAGUAAUCAAAUUCGGGAAAAAAAUACGAACAAAGGGCCGAAAUAAGGAUUUUUUACUAAAUUUUUUUAAAAAAGAAUUAAUUAAUACAUUUAAAACAUAAUGUACUAAGAUAAAGUAAAAUAAUAAAAUACAAAAAUAAUAUAUUUUUAUUUAAAGUAAUAAAAUUCGGGAAAAAGUUCCGAGCAAAGGGCCAAAAUAACGGUUUUUUUUAAAUUUAUUUAAAAAACACACUAAAUUUAUUUAAAUUUCAAACAUAAUGUACUAAAAUAAUGUAAAAUAAUAAAAUUAGAAAAUAUGAUAUUUUUUUUAAAGUAAUAAAAUUCGAGCAAAAAAUACGAACAAAGGGCCGAAAUAAGGGUUUUUUUAAAUUUAUUUAAAAAACACACUAAAUUUAUUUAAAUUUCAAACAUAAUGUACUAAAAUAAUUUAAAAUAAUAAAAUUAGAAAAUAUGAUAUUUUUUAAAGUAACAAAAUUCGGGAAAAAAUACGAACAAAUGGCCGAAAUAAGGUUCGUUUACUAAUUUUUUUUUGAAGUUGCAGGCAUCGCAAUGGCUUCAUUGAUUAGCAGGGAUACACACAUCUGAUGCGGCUAAUGAGAUGGUAAUAUAUUAUUAUUUGUUAAUCACGGGUUCUAUUAAAAAAGGAUAUAAGUAAUAUAUAGAAAUAAAUCAUGGUAUCCUAAUUGUUUCUGUAAUUUAACACUAUCAGGACUCGUAUCGAGUAAUAAGGGGUCGGGUGAAUGGUUUAAAGCAUCCCCCGAAUUCACUAUUGAUGUCGUACUUGGAGCAAGCCUGAUUUGGGUCAGCAGCAUUGAUCCGGACGUUCGACUUGCGGUAUGAUUUAUUAUCUGCGAUAGUGGAGCGGUGGCGCCCGGACACCCACACUUUUCAUUUUCUGUGUGGGGAGUGCACGGUGACCUUAGAGGAUGUUACGCUGCAGCUUGGACUCCCAAUCGACGGAAGUCCCGUAAAGAGAGUAAGUUCAUUUACUGAUCCAGCUGCACUAUGUAAUCAGCUAAUAGAAGACUCGCCAAACGACGAUGACGAAAAUUUUACGAGCUUGAAAUUUACAUGGCUGAAAGCCAAAUUUGGACAGUUAUCAACGAAUGCCACUGAAGGUGAGUUGAUGUGCACUGCUCGAGCGUACAUCAUGCAUAUCCUAGGGGGAGUACUGAUGCCCGAUGCAAACAACAACAAGGUGCAUAUGAUGUACUUGCCCCUAUUAGCUGAUUUGUCCAAUGUUCGCUCGUAUAGCUGGGGCUCCGCCGUUCUAGCAGUGUUAUAUCGGAAGCUUUGUCGGACGACAAAGCCUUCUGUUGUAGACAUGGGCGGAUGCCUUACAUUGCUGCUGUCCUGAGCGCUCCAUCGGAUGCCAUUUUUGGCAUCGGUUACUCACCAACCGUAUGUUUAUCCACUAGUGAACAGGUGAUAAAAUAUAGCUUGUCAUUAUUUGUAGUCAUAGUAUAUUGAAUGAUGUUACCAACCCUAAACCCUAUAUUUCUUUUUGUAGGUGAAGUAUUUAUCCGGGUAUUGGGAGGUCGCACACUAUCCCGAUAUACCGACUCAUGAUCAAAUAGCAUGCCGGGAAAGGGGUAAGCUAUUCUAAUAUUAGUCUAUUUACCUUACUCACACCGUGUUAAAUUUAUAUGGAUGCCAUAUAUGGAUGCAGUUUAUAUGGAUGCCAUAUCGUCGCCCGAAAAUUACAGCUGUGAUACCCUCGUCUGCACACGUUCAUUCUGAAAUGUGGUGCACUAAUGCACCAAUUAUAAAUUUCAAUGUAGUCGAGUGGUAUCACGGGGAUCGGGUGCUACGACAGUUUGGUUGCAUCCAAUAUAUAUCCUGGAUCCACCAUGCGAGGUGGGGGCGGUUCACGGCAUGAAUAGGAGAGGAAAACCACAGUUGGAUUGGGGGUUAAGCACUAAAAAUUUAUUGCGCUGUGGAACGAUCGGAUAGUUCGAAGACCUCAGAUGGUUUUGGCAUAUUCAUUGCAACCAUUAUUAGAGUACAUACAAUGGUACUAUAAUUGCGGAAAGCAAUAUAUACUUGGAGGCCAGUCGACUGUAGCCCCCCGCACAUGCAGCUACCUGGGGGAUCGUGAUCCUGAACCAGAUCCCGAGCCGUAGCCCGAGCCAGAUCCCGAGCAGUCACAUUCACAUAGGGAUUCACAAUCCUAUCAUCCGAAUUUGGUGGGCGAUGAGUAUAUUCCGAGCUUCUUAGGGGGUGAAUACGCAUACGAGUUUGAUCUCUUUGGAUCCUACCCGCCGCAGUACGACACUCCCAGCCCGUACCUACAGCAUCAUGGGACUUCUUUAGGUUCAAGUUCAUCGAUGCCGAUUGAGCCACAUGAUUUUUCUUCUAUGUUUACCAUACCCCCUGCGCCAAAUGAGGACGUUGGUCGUCGCCAACACCCAGAACGUGACCGUCGACCUCCGCAUAGGUAUACCCCUAGGACCACACCAUCAAACCCUCAGUUCUAAGGGUUUAUUGCACUUUUUUGUACAUUACAAAGUUUGUACUUAUUGUAUAAAUUUAAUUACUUAAUUUAUUACACUUUUUAUAACUUAAAUUGGAUACAAUUUAAGCAUAAGCAUAAGCUGAAUAAUUUUAAUUAUUCCAAAUGAAUCAUGUUUUUAAUACCUUAAUUUGGAUACAAUUUAAGCAUAAGUAUAAGUUGAAUAAUUUUAAUUAUUCCAAAUGAAUUAUACUUUUUACAACAUUAGGUCAAUUCUGACCCGAUCCUGAUGACUGUCCGACAUGAUAGUUUCGCUGAGGGCAUUUAUUUUGACUAUGACCACUUAACCUGCAUAAUCCACAACGCUUACCGUCGAAUUUCUCCCUAAUGUCCAUUUCAUUAUGGAUUCUGGUUGAUUGCGAACGACCUCUUGGAUUCCUGCGUAGCCCUCUGUCUAGGAUAAACUUGAAAGUCGUUAGAGGCAACUCUCACGUAGACAGGUCAGGCAAGACGGGGAACUCAUUUUCCUAGACACGUAAUGUGCGCUCGAGCGUGUACACAUCAUCGACAUAUUUUUCAACAUUAAGGUUCACUUUAGCACACGCUGCCACGACAUGCGCACAUGGAUAAUGAAGUGUUUCGAACUCCUGCACUCGCACCUUCUGUUCCAGAUAUCAACUCCAUAAGACCUAGGUGGUAUACCAGGUCGACGACCGAUGGUCUCAGUAACUCGAAACGUUUCCAGACGUCGUGAAUAUAUUUCUACAUUCAUGGACCUCGCCAUCCGACGGUUUGCAACCAUUGCAUCCCUGACAUCUUCGACAAACACAUGUCCUGCCUCCAUCUAGUCAACUUGUUGCUGACUCAUUCUUGGCAUCAAGGUAGCCAACCUGUAGAAUAUAGCAGAGAAGACAGAUGCAAUCGGAUGAUGACGUGUUUUUAACAAUACAUCGUUUACCCCCUCCACUAAGUUUGUGGUCAUUUUUCCAUAACGAAAGCCCUCGUCAAAACAUUAAGCCCAUUGCCAACCCAGAAAGAUGUGUUUAUUUGCCCCUCUAUGUCACUCUCAAGUCGAAUCAUGCUUUGGCGGAAAAUAUGUGGCUCUAACUCGUACGCUGUAUAUAGGGGUGAGCAUUCGAUCGAAUCAAAUCGAAUCGAAUCGAAAAUUUUCGAGUUAAUCGAGUUUUCGAAUAUCAUUUUAUCAUCCUAACUUUAUUUGAAGUUUUAUCGAAUCGAAUCGAGUGAGAUGGAGAUCGAAUCGAAUCGAAUUAUUUGUUCGAGUUAAGUUUAAAAAUAAAAUAAAAUUAUUGUUGUUUAUUUUUAUGUAAUUUUUUAAAAAAUAAUUUUCUUUAAAGUUUUUAAACAUAAUCAUACAACAAAAAAUUGAAGUAAAUAAGUGAAUAAAUAAAAGUAACACAACAUCAACCCAAAUAAACAACAUGAUUCCAAAUAAACAACAAAAAUAAUACAAAAAGAUUAUAAUAAAAAACAUACGUAAAAAUCCAAGUAAAUAGCAUGAGUCAAAAUAAACUAAAUUAGAAAGAACAACAAUAAAUCUGCAGCUUCAAAAUGAUGGCUAUAGUUUGAUGAUGAUUGGUGCAUACAAAAAUAAUUGACUGCAAACUUAAGAACUAAAAGAUUCUUAUUUUUUGUGUUGGUUAUGUUUAGUACCAGAGAUGAUAUCAGUUCUUUCUCACCACCCCCACAAGAAAAGCUUAAGAACUAAACAAUAAGUAGUGAAAAUAAAAGGGAAUUCCACUCUCUCCCUGCAAACUUAAAGAAAACUCAAGCCUGCUCUGCUUUGAUAUACCUUAGAAAUCAAAAAAAUGGAAAAACAGUAGCUCUACUGAACUUUGUAACUAGUUGUUAAAACAGUGUUUUAAUGUUCAAAUAGUUAUUUAUAAGCACUUGAUUAGGUAAAAAAUGCCAAAUACAAAGAUGUGAAAUAUGUAUAGAAAUGAUAUUAAAUACACAAUUGAAAACUGCUCCCACUUUCCAUUACGUGUGGCCUAAGUUCUCAAAUUCCACAGAUAAUAUAGAUGGUAUUGCCCUAGGGUUUAUGAAUUAAAAUUGAAAAACAACCUAUCACAAAAUGAAGAUGAAAAUCAUGAACACACACACAUAUACAAACCUCCUAAAUUCAAUCACUAAAAUAGUAAAGUCCAUAGCUAGAAUGAACUAAAGAAAAAAAGAUUAAAAAAGAACCCUCUGAUAUCUACUUAAAAUCCCAUUUUUUCAUGGAAAGAAGUAACAAAUAAUAAUUAUUAAAAAUAACCCUUCAAUAUCUAUUUAAAUCCCAUUUUCCCCCAUGAAACAAAACACCCAAUGAUCAUUCAAUCAAAAGAAAUACGAAAUAAAACAAGAAUUAACACCAAGAGAGAAACAAAAAAAGGGGUAUAGAGGUAUACCUUAUGUGAAGAAUCUCAGAUCCUGAAAGCCUGAAUCCAAAAACAAACAGCAAAAAANNNNNNNNNNNNNNNNNNNNNNNNNNNNNNNNNNNNNNNNNNNNNNNNNNNNNNNNNNNNNNNNNNNNNNNNNNNNNNNNNNNNNNNNNNNNNNNNNNNNAAUAGGUUUAAGUUCAGGAAAGAAGAAACCUGUGGCAAAAGAAAGGUAUUUUGGGUGAUGGGUUUAAAGGAACUGAUUUUGCUUUGUUAAGUAGAGCUACUGUUUUUCCAUUUUCUUAAGAUUAUACUUGGGUUGUUUUCAGGCUUUGGUUUAUUUUUGUAUUGUUAUGGGGAAGAAAAGAUAUUACCAAACUGAACAUGUUAAAGAAAAUACAGUGUAAGGAAAGGAAUAAAAGUUAAUAUACCUUAGAAAUCCAAGGUAGAAGACGUAAAAGCACUGGCGGUGGAGCAGUCAGCCGUGGAGGACCCUGGACUGGAGGUGGAUCGGUGGAGAAGGGUGGACGGAGGUGAAGAUUUUUGAAUUGGGAAAAAAGGGAGGAGGGAGGGCACGAGCUUAGUUAGGGAUUUUGGAAGUGAUUUUGUUUUAAAUGUAGUGUAUUUUAAAAAUAAAAAAUAUAUGUAGUAUAUUUUAAAAAUAAAAAAUAUAGUUUUUAUUCGAAUUAUUCGAAUUAUUCGAGUUAUUCGAAUUCGAAAAUUCAACUCGAUUCGAACUCGAAAUUCGAAAGAAAAAAUUUGAAUUGAUUCGAUUAAUUCGAUUAACUCGAUUCGAAUAAUUCGAAAUUCGAAUUUUUUUCGAUUUUUUCGAAUCGAAUCGAAUUUUGCUCACCCCUAGCUGUAUACGUAUUAAGAAAAAAUAAGUUCCAGUAACUCGAUAACAUAAAACAUUACAACUUAUAUUGAAAAGAUAAGUUUAUCAUUUAGCCAUUGCCACGACUUGUCUCUUCCAGUCUGCAUUCUUAUAAUCUUUAUGGAAGUUGGACGCAAUGUGAUGGAUGCCGUAAAUGGAUCUCUAUGGCACACCUAAACGCCUAAUUGCUACAAUUAAACCUUUCCCUCUAUCGGAGAUGAUGCAAAUGUUAUCGUUGCUAAUAACAUACCUCCACAGGUUAGUGAGGAAGAAUUCCCAAGAUUUCAAGUUCUCCUUAUCUACGAUGGCAAAUGCUAUUGGGAGCAUGUUUCUAUUACCGUCCUGAGCAACUGCAAGAAGUAGGAUCUGUGUAUAUUUUCCAUAUAGCCUGGUCCCAUCCACCUGCACAAGUAGCUUGUAGUAGGGAAAUGCCCGCACACAUGAAUCAAAUGUCUAGAACAUCUGAUGGAAAAUCUUUUUUCCCUACUGUAACUGGUCGUCCGGGCCGUAAUAAGGCUUUGUCUGUAACUCAAUCACAGUCCCCAGUACGUACUCCCGCAUAGUAGCUAUCCAUCCUUGUAGCUCGUUAUACGACGAAUCAUAAUUCCCAUACAAUUGCUCCAAUGCCAUCUGUUUAGCUAUCCACGUCUUUCGAUAUGAUACUCGAUAUUGGAAUCGUGCUUGCAUUUUGGCAAUCAGCACCGAAACUUUAAUGGUCAGCAUGUCCUUCACCAUUGGCAUGAUACACAUAUAGAUAGUUUUCGAAUCAAGUUUUCCAUGAUCUUCUGUCAUACGUGUUGAUGUGCAUGUAUGAGGACCAACAAAUUAAGAAAUUGAAAGGAAUUUUCAAAAUGAAAGAAACUGGGGGAGGUGAGGAAGGAAGAAACAUAGAAAUAAAAAUUGUUUCCAAAGGGGAGGGGCUAACCAGAAAUAGGGGAUCGAAGAAAAUACUUCUUCUUCCCUUUUUUCGGAGGAAAAGGUGGGUCCAAGUAAAAUCGAUGAAACAGAAAAACUACGAGUAACUAGAAAGAAAAAAAAUAAAAUUAAGAGUGAACUCAACUUUCGUUUUAAAGAGACAUACUAUAAAAAUAGACCAGUUUAUGAAACUUUUUAUCUGGAUGAGAAUUAAAAAAAAUUGAAGUUAGAAAUAAAAAAAAGAUAAAUAUUUAUAGUAUGGGAUUAUGUGAAUACAAAAUUUGAAAUUAUUUAAUUUUUCAAGAUUCAUGAUUCUCCGUCUCAACAACAUCGUUUUUAAAAAUUCAUGUAUAAAUUCUCUCUCAAAAUGUGAUAUAACUUAUCACGGCAUCCCGUAUUUAUUAGUAUCUUUAAUUAAUAUUUAAUAUUUAUAAACACUAUUUAAGAAAAAAACCAAAUAAUAAUAAUAAUAAUAAUAAUAGUAAUAAUAAUAAUAAUAAGGGUCUCAAUCAUACCAUUUGUGGAAUGACUGUCUUUUUACUAGUAGACAGUGGCACAUUAAGCCUCUCCCAUCAUUCAUGGCAAUGCACUAACUAGCUUAAAAGCUAAAAAACCAAGAGCAGUCACAUUAUUAAAAUUUCAUUUAAUAAUUUAAUUGAUUUAUUGAGUCACUUAUAAAAAUUAUAUAAUUUUCUUUCAUUUUCAAACUAAAGACUCUUUUAAAUAAAAGAAAUAAUUGAUUUUUUAUUUGAAUAAUGAAAAUUUUUAAAUGAGAAAAAUAUAUCAAUUAUUUGAUUUUAUUGUUCUAGAAAGCAUGUAAAAUAAUUUGUGUUUAACAAUUCAAUUUUUCUUUUUAUAUAAUACUUGAAACUAUCCAUAAUUUCUUCUCAAUCGUAAAUAAGAGGACAAAUGCGCUUAAACUCACGUCCUCCUAUUCUGACAAUAAUACCAGUACCAAAUGGACAAUUCAAUUUAAAGACGAAAAUAAAUUUUAAUAAUUCACGUACUUGAAUAAUUUUUUUUAACAUUUCCAUAUUUAAAAUAUUAUAUAUAUAUAUUAAUCAUGUUAAUUAAUAGUUCAUAUUUUAUGCUAUACUUUAAUUAUUUAUGCAAGGUUUAUAUAGUAUAAUUGUAUCUAUCGAGGUGGAUUCUCGUUAGGGCCUAGAAGUUUCUAAAAAUUUUAUUUAAAUCUAUUAAAAUUUUUGAAGAUUUUCACUAAAAUUUGUUGUUCCUCAUACAUGCACAUCAACACGUAUGACAGAAGAUCAUGGAAAACUUGAUUCGAAAACUAUCUAUACGUGUAUCAUGCCAAUGGUGAAGGACAUGCCGACCAUUAAAGUUUCGGUACAGAUUGCCGAAAUGCAAGCACGAUUCCAGUAUCGAAUAUCAUAUCGAAAGGCGUGGAUAGCUAAACAGAUGACAUUGGAGUAAUUGUAUGGGGAUUAUGAUUCGUCGUAUAAGGAGAUUGUAAUAAGCCCAAUUUACCCGGGCCCUUACAAAACAAAAAAUAAGCAGUCUAAGUUUUUACAGGCCCAAACCCCAACAGCCCACUAACUAAAUUCCAACAGGAACCCUAGCAGCAUACAACCUUCAACCCUAGCCGCCGCACAUCAGCCCCGCACCACCACCCUUUGCGCACGUACGUGUCCCACGUACAUCUCCAGUUGGCCGAAUCUGCGCAACAAACGGCAAAACAGACGCAAAGAACAAGUAAACGAAAGAGAAAAACGCAAAAAAAAGAGAGAAUAACGGAAAUACAACUGCGUUGUGUUAUUUCUUUGAUUUUUCUUCAUCUUUCGACUAUAAAAAGUCGAGGAAAAUCUGUAAAAAGGAGGGGGAUUUCACGAAUCAAAUAAAAAACAGAAAAGAAAUUGAUAUCAAGAAGAGAUUUUAGAUUGAAGAUAGAUAUUUGUUUUUUUUUUCUCUUUUUUUUUGUUUUGACUUUUUUUAAAAAAAACUAGUAAGUAAUAAGAAAAAGAAAGGAAAGGACUUACCGGAGGUCCGUGGUCUUCUCGUUGGCCAAAGAUUGCCGUCCUUGGCGGAGCAGUGGCGAAGGAGCGGCGGCACGGCGACAUAAAGAUGCUAGGGUCAAAACCCUAGCAGAGAGAAAGGGGGCAACGGUUUUUUUGUUGUUUUAGAAAGUGGGCUGUCAAAUGAUUUUUAAAACAGAAAAUUUUGUUUAAAUAAUAAGGCAAUACGGUGUCGUUUCAUUAGGCCCCCUAGACGCCCAAAACGGCGUCGUUUUGGGGGCCAACCCAUGCACCGACCCGAUCUGGUCCCAAAUCCGCGUGUUUUGUAGCAUGGGGGAAUUUGCGCAAUUGGUCCCCCUAUUUUUGCAGUGUGUUUAAAUUAAAUUUCUGAUUUCUUUUAAAUUUCACUGCACAUUCUAUUUUUACUUCAAAUCAGUCCCUAUUACUGUGCAGCGUUUUAGGGAGGCGGAUUAUUUCUCUUUUGGUCCUCCACCCUUGCGCGCGCAUUCAAUGUGAUCCUGUUUUCAAAUUUACUUCGAAUUUAGUUUUUUUUAAGUUCAAUUUAACCCUUUUAUAAACUAUUUUAUUCAUUUUUUAUAAUUAUGUUAUACUAUGACAUUAUUAUUAUUAUUAUUAUUAUUAUUAUUAUUAUUAUUAUUAUUAUAUACGCUUGUUUUAAAAUAAUACAUAUACAUUUUUUUUAAAAAGCUUUUAAUACAUACAUAUAUUUUUGUAUAUACAAACAUUUUUUUUUACUUUUUUAAAUAUGAAUAUACGUAUUUUUUAUAUUAUCCUUCAUAGAUUUUUUUACAAACGUAUGUAUAUAUGUAUACCUACAUAUUUUAAUACAUAUUUUAAUACAUUCAUUUUCUAUAGUAUAAAUAUAUAUGUUUUUUGUUUUAAAUUAUUAUAAACAUUUUUAUUAUUUUAUAUAUGCUCCAUUAUUUUAUAUACAUAUUGUACAUAUUUUUAUAUUUUUACUUUAUUUACACAAUUCUCAUAUACAUAUAUGCAUGCAUUUUUAGAAAUUAUUAUAAGUUUUUAUGUAUUUCAUUCCCUUUUUAUAUGUAUACUUAUAUAUGUGUUUUAUAUAUGCAUUAACAUUUUAGCAUGUUUUUAAAGAAAAUAUAUUUUGGUUUCGUCAAAGCAUUAAAAUCGUUUUAUUUUUCUUAAUUUUUUUUAAAUAUUUGGCAAUCGUGAUUCUCGAGAAAGAUCGUGUCCUAACUUACUGGAUUGCGAUUAUUUUUUUUGAUGAAUUUAGAAAACCAAGUAUUUAUUUUGCAAUAAAUUCAUGAAAUUUUCAAAUAAAAGCUUAUUCUCAAGAAUCCAAAAAUGUCGGGUCCUAACUUACUGGUCAUGACAUUCUGGCAUCUCGAAAUAAGAAUUUUCAAAAGCAAAAGGCAAUAUUCUGGUAUUUUGAAGAUUUAAAAAUAUUGUGCCCUAACUCAUUGGGUGUGGUGUUUUAUUUCUUUGAAAUAAGAAUGUCUUAUUAUUUUGAUUCAUUCAUGAGAUAAAAAGUUUCCUUUUAAAAUCUUUUCAAUUUUUCAACACCAAGACAUUAAAGAAUCAAUUUGGUACCAAUUUUGGGGAGUUACGAGGGUGCUAAUCCUUCCUCAUGCGUAACUGACUCCCGGACUCAUUUUCUUAAAUUUCGUAGACCAGAAUCAUUUUAAGGUGAGCCGAUCACACCUUAAUAAAGGAUCGAUGGCGUCUCCAGUUUUUGUUUUUUUUAAGUCGACAACUAAAAUUUUUGUUUACAAAAAAUGGUUUCGACAGCUUGGCGACUCCGCUGGGGACACUAGAGAGUCGAGCUAGAAAUUGAUUCAUUUUUGUCUUGUGAUCAAAAAAUUAAAUUUGGGUUUUAAAAUCAUGAUUUCCCUUCGCAUUCAUUGAUUUUCAUCAUGAUAUGUUUGUUCGAUUGGCCUAAGUCUGUUCGUAUUUGCAUUUUGCAUUGCAUAAGUUGGUCAAAUUUACCCUCUAAGUGGGAGCGAGAAACUAGUCCUUCGUGAGGUUUUCACCUCCGUGCAGGGUAGUGGACCGCUUCCGGGAUACAUCUGUACCUAUGUCUUCGUGAGAUUUUCAUCUCCAUGCAGCCAUAGGGAAAUGUAUCCCCCUGAACUGAACUCGAUUCAUAUGAGCCUAUAAUGGGCGAGGAUCGAGGAAUCUGCUGGUUCGGGUACCCUUACUCUAGAAACUAAACCUCAUAUAGUGAGCUUUAGGAACUUGCCCUAGGUAGAACUAUUCCAAAACCCUAGUGGAUUCUGAAAUAAGUGUUCUUGCUAUUUCAUGUUUGUAUUGGAUUAUAUCUUUAUGUGUGAUACUAACUUGGGUUUGUUUUUGUUUUGACUGCAUGGCAUUUCAUUAUAGAAAAGAGAUGUUGAUUCACGUUUGGUUGUUAAUAGAGAACUUGCCAUGAAAAACGGGUUUCUUGAUAAGGUGGAAGAUAAUAUGGUUGUUCGAGUAUAGUCUAAGAAAAUGUGACACGAAAGGUAAUAGCCUAACAAGAGGAGUAUACGACUUUGCUGCAUGACCUGAGGAUUCAAAUUGUCAAAGUUUAUUCAAAAGUCAUCAAAGGUCCUAAUCUUUUAAAGAAGCUAAUGAACGUGAGUGAGCAAGGAGUUACGACCUAGAUCAAACAAAAAGGAGCUCAAAUUCGCGAGAUGCAUCUUAAAAUCCGAAUGAUCGAUGACUUCUCUUGGAGUACGAGGGUGAAGCCGUAUAGAUAUAGCCGCUUUAUGUAAAGAGAUUUGUUUUCUAGUGAAGUUUUCUAGUAAAGAAUUGAACAUGAAUCAACGUCUCUUUUCGCAUUCAUUUCAUGCAUUUGCAUUACAUUACAUCAUAUGCAUCAAACACCUCUAAAUGAUCCUAAUUAAUUAAAAUCACUGCUCAGUUAACCUGGAAACCAACCAACCAAUCAAACACCAUUAUGGCACUCGAGCAAAGAUUAAAGACAUGGAUCAGAGAUUGGAAAAGCUCGAACAGCACCAGAAAGAAAUGCAAGACCAACUCCAGUUACAAGUGCAGGAGCGGUUAGACAAGAUGCAACAGGAUAUGUCAGAGAAGAUACAGGAAUCCCAAAAUAAUAUGAUGGCAAAGUUAACCCAACUGUUGAAUGGAGGAGGUGAUAAGGGAAAGGGUCCCAUGGCUGAUGUCGAAGAGGGAAAAGAGGAUGAAUCACUCUAUCCUCCAGGCUUUACUCCUUCACAUGUGCGAAGUCAAGCUGAAUAUCUGCACAAAUCUACUGUCACAAUCAGGCCUCAGCAGUUUCGGGCUAGUGUUUCAAACUUCUAAGCUGGAUCGGGUUUUAAUCCCGGAAAUAACCCUAUUAACUCUGCCAUUCCUGACUUUGAUGAAGUGGCUAAAAAAGAAAGAAUAAAGGAAGAGUUACCAAAGCAGUUAGAAGAAAGGUGCAAAUGGCUCGAGGAGAAAUUAAAGGUGAUGGAGGUCACUGAAAGUUAUCGAGGAAUUGAUGCUAAAUAGCUGAGUUUAGUUCCGAAUUUGGUACUCCCUCAGGGUUUUUUACCCAAAUAGGAUAGAAAAAAAAUACUGAAAUGGGAUGUCAGAAAAAAAAUUUACCAANNNNNNNNNNNNNNNNNNNNNNNNNNNNNNNNNNNNNNNNNNNNNNNNNNNNNNNNNNNNNNNNNNNNNNNNNNNNNNNNNNNNNNNNNNNNNNNNNNNNUAUUGUAAUAUUGUAAUUUUGUAUGAAUAUUAUAAUUUUUUAUGAAUAUUGUAAUGUUGUAUGAAUAUUGUAAUAUUAUAAUUUUGUAUGAAUAUUGCAAUUUUUUUGUAUGAAUAUUGUAAUAUUGUAAUUUUGUAUGAAUAUUAUAAUGUGGGGAUAUAUUGUAAUAUUGUAAUUUUUUGUAUGAAUAUUGUAAUUAUUUUAUAAUUAAUUUGUUAGUAAUUUGGGAAAAAUUCACAAUAUUUUGUUCACCAUUGGCGCCUCCCAAAUAGGCACCACCAUUGGCGCCUCCCAAAUAGGCACCACCAUUGGCGCCUUCCAGAUAGGCGCCAAUACUAUGUAUUAUACGGGUUAUAUACUAACCCGGAAAAGUAUAAAUUAUAUUUUAAUCAAAAAAAUUAUUAUUAUUAUUUUAUUCAUUGGCGCCUACCAAAUAGGCUCCAAUGAAAAAGUAACCUAUUUUGGUAAAAAAAUUUUCUGACAUACUAUUUCACUAAAUUUUUUUUUCUAUCCUAAUUAGGUAAAAAACCCAACUCCCUCAUAAGUUUAAGAUGCCAGAAUUCGAGAAGUACAAUGGGACGACUUGCCCAGAGGCUCAUAUCACCAUGUUCUGCAGGCGAAUGGCUGGAUACAUUAACAAUGACCAGCUAUUAAUACACUGUUUCCAAGAUAGCCUAGCAGGGGCAGCAUCUAAGUGGUACAAUCAGCUGAGCCGUACCACAAUUGGUUCAUGAAGGGACUUGGCACAAGCAUUCAUGAAACAGUAUAGUCAUGUGACAGACAUAGCUCCUGAUAGAAUUACCCUUCAAAACAUGGAGAAGAAGUCGAGCGAAAGCUUUAGGCAGUACACACAAAGUUGGAGGGAAGUCGUAGUCCAAGUUCAACCACCGCUCUUAGAGAAAGAAAUGACGAUGCUUUUUAUAAAUACAUUGAAAGCCCCGUUCAUCACACAUAUGUUAGGAAGUGCCACAAAAAGCUUUUCUGACAUAGUCAUGAAUGGUGAAAUGAUUGAAAGCGUCAUAAGGAGCGGGAAAAUUGAUGCAGAGGAGAGUAACAAGAGGUCAAUCUCAAGGAAAGAGAAAAUGAGGUGAACAACACGAGUUACUCUAAACCAGUUAUUGUGAGUCAGCCAAGAAAGGUGGCUACUAACCAACAAAGUUUAUUAAGACAAUAAUCUAGAGUGAAACCAGGUACUGAGAAGCUCCAAUUCACACCAAUUCCGAUGUCAUAUAAGGAUCUGUAUCAAAGCUUGUUUGAUGCGCAUGUUGUUGCUCCUCAUUACUUAAAACCUCCACAACCUCCGUAUCCUAAGUGGUAUGAUGCGAACGCGCAAUGUGACUACCACGCGAGAAUUAUGGGGAACUCAAUAGAGAAUUGCAUUACCUUCAAAAAGCUAGUUGAAAAAUUCAUCAACAUGGGUAUUGUCAAGUUGGGUGACUCAUCAACUGCAGAAAAUCCUUUACCCAAUCAUGAUUGAGGAUGGAGGGACUGCAAUGUAUGAAGAGGUGGUGAGGUUUUCAUAUCGAUGCCAUAUAUGCAGCCACAAAUAAAAAGGUCCUUGUUAGAUAUUCGCCUGGGAGGUGUUAUAAGUAAUGGGACUGCAGAGGAAACCCCUAUAUUAUUUAGAGUUUGUUAGAGUAAUGUUCAGAACACACUUGUUGCUUUUAGCCUAGAAGCAAUAAGAACUUCUUUGUGAAAUAGGCUCAUGUCUGAACAUUAUUAUUUUAAUAAAAUACAUCAGUGCAAUCAUCUUUGAGCAAAUGUUCUUUCAUUCUUUACGAUUCUUUCAUUCUUUUGGAUUUUCUGCCAAACUAUUCUUUCAUUCAUUCAUAAUCAUAUUAUCUAUAAAUCCAUACAUUCUUUGUGUAUUCUUUAACACCUACAAUAGGUCCCUGGAUAUCAAUGACAUGAGUGACGCUGCUACAGACUCAAAAUCUCCUUUUUGAGUGAGCCAUGUGUUUAGAGAGAUCUCACAACUUUGAAGAGGACAUGGAUUGUAGCUUAUCUCCAGACUUGAUGAGGAUGGUAAAAUAAGAGGAUAGACAAAUCCAACCUCACAAAGAAUCAUUAAAAGUUGUGAGCUUGGUAUAGAUUGGAAUUGACAUGACCGAAAAAACAAAGCAAUACGUUGUUGGGUUACUUCAAGCAUUCAAAGAUGCCUUCGCAUGGUCAUACUAGGAUGUGCCCGGUUUAAGUGUUGUCACUGCAAUCUAAACAACAGCACGAUACCAAAAUUUUACAGUAUGGUCAAGGUGAAUAUCAUGAAUGGUGCAAUGAAAACUCUACCAGGGCAAUGCCACUUUUUUCAGUUUAUCACAUUUUUUUCAUUGAAGUUGAAAUUCUUUCUCUUCGAGUUUUGGCUAAGCUGAAGUAGGAUGAAGAUCCAAUCCCGAUACAAUUAGUUGAACCUAGUUGAAGAAAAAGGCUAGAAACUAUUCAUCAGGGGCAGAUGUACCAAGAAAUGAAUGAUGCGAGCCUAUAGCAAAAGGUUUGUCCCAGAGAAUUCCACGAUGGCGACCUAAUGCUGAAGAAGAUCCUCACUCUACAAAAAAUAUAACGGAUGCCAAAUUGGGAAGAACCUUAUGUUAUAGAGAAGGUCAUUUCCAGAGGAGCUUUGAUUUUGAGGGAGAUGGAUGAUAAACCUGCAAAGUCCUGUAAACUCAGGUUCAGUCAGGAAAUACUCAGCUUAAAGAAUGAGAUGACCAAGGUAAAAACCCGUAAAUGGCACUUUGAGUUGUAAAAAAUGACGAGAUGGAAAAUGAAAAAGUGAAAAUGAAAUUUGAAAAUGGAAAAGUAAAAUGGAGAGGCUAAGGUGAAAAUCCGCAAAGGGCGCCUUAGACCAAAGGGGAUUUGAGUUGAAAACCCGAAAAGGGCGGCUCAAAUAUUGAUCAGAAUGUGGCAUGAGAUUAUCAGAGUAGCUCAAAUACUAAUCAGCAUGGGGCAUGCAGUGGUCUUGCUAUACCUGAAUCAGCAGGAAAGGGUAGGCGACAUCUUGGGGCAUCAACAAAGUACUGUAGAUCUCCUAAACACAUGUUAAACUCAGAAUGGUCUUCAGAAAGUUUGUACAGAGAAGUUCAAGCUGAGAUAUCUGGGGCGCCUAAUCCUUAUACUCUUUCUUGUUAUUCUUGGAACACUUCAUUCAUUUCCAAGAUAUGCAUUCCUAAAUCAAUUUCUUUAUUAUCCAUCUUUACUAUCUUUGAUAUUUUAUUCAUUUCGAGCUAUGCUCAGAACCAACUUUCUUCUUAUCCAUGAUCUUUUUGCAAGUAUGUUGCAUUAGAAUAAUGAUUAAUAGACUAAUAAAAUUUUCACAAGGGAAGUUAUGCUUAUUACUCUAGAAUUUUUUAAAUAAUAUAGGAACCUCAAACAGGACUAUUGUUUAGAACGCACCAGGUUGGAAAUCCGAUAAAGAAGAGUCUAAAUUAAGACUAUCCCUUUGAAUUUUCUUGUCUAAAGUAUUAAUUAAACAAAAUGGCAAGAUGUCGUGUUGGUGUCAAAGCUUCAAUGAACAAGCAAGCAAUGAUCACCGAAUAAUAAGAAGAAGUUGUUCUUGGACAAGAUUUAUUCAUUUGUGUAUGAGCAUUUCGUACAACACCUUGGGAAUGGUGUAAGAGACCAAAAAGUUUCACAUCCUGUAUCCUUGAAUUGUGAUAACAAAGGAUUGAGAAAAGGCCAAAUCUUUUACUCUUGGGUUACAACGGGAAAAGAUGAUACAAAUUUUGCAUCCCAGUGGAUCAAACUUGGAGGUUUACAGUGGGGGCAAUCUGGUCAAGUGCUUAUUGGGAUCGCCAGUUGAGCAUAAAGGCGCUAUAGUACAUUAAGUGAUAAGACCUUAAUAAACUUGGAGUAAUGAUAACUCAGGCGUUAAAAUAUCAUUUUCAUGACAUUCUACAUUCAUUCAAAUGUCAUUCAUACAUGUCUAGUUAGGAGCAUUUGAUUCAUUUUGAUCAUGCCAUCCUAAUCAUUAGGCAUAAUUAGGUUCAUUAUACAGGUUCUGUUCUCCAGAGAACAGAUCAGCGAAAAUAGCAGAUCUUGCCUUCCUGCAUUGACAGCGAAGCAGAUCGAAGAUACCAGCCUUGCCUCCCUCGAUUGCAGUGGAGCAGGUUGAUGGUGGAUUUUACCUCCCUGAGGUUACAGUGGAGUACAUUGAAACCAGUAAUUCUAUCUCCCUGGGCAAUAGUGGAAUAGAUCAAAGAUUACAGGUCUUAUCUCCCUAAGCAGUAGUGGAGCAGAUCAAAGAUGGUGGAUUUUACCUCCCUGAGGUUACAAUGGAGUACAUUGAAACCAGUAAUUCUAUCUCCCUGGGCAGCAGUGGAAUAGAUCGAAGAUUACAGGUCUUAUCUCCCUAAGCAGUAGUGGAGCAGAUCAAAGAUGGUGGAUUUUACCUCCCUGAGGUUAUAGUGGAGUACAUUGAAACCAGUAAUUCUAUCUCUCUGGGCAACAGUGGAAUAGAUUGAAGAUUACAGAUCUUAUCUCCCUAAGCAAUAGUGGAGCAGAUCAAAGCUGGCAAAAUCUACCUCCCUGAGGUUGCAGUGGAGUAUAUUGAAGCCAGUAAUUCUAUCUCCCUGGUCGGCGGUGGAAUCAAUUGAAGAAAUCAGAUCUUGUCUUCAUGUAUUGGCGUGAAGUAGAUCAAAGAUAGCAGAUCUUGUCUCCCCAUACUAGUGGCAAAGUAGAUCGAAGAAAGUAGAUCUUGUCUUCAUGUAUUACCGUGAAGUAGAUCGAAGAUAGCAGAUCUUAUCUUCCUAUACUGGUGGCGAAGUAGAUCGAAGAAAGCAGAUCUUGUCUUCAUGCACUGGCGUGAAGUAGAUCAAAGAUAGCAGAUUUUGUCUUCCCAUACUGGUGGCGAAGUAGAUUGAAGAAAGCAGAUCUUGUCUUCAUGUAUUGGCGUGAAGUAGAUCAAAGAAAGCAGAUCUUGUCUUCAUGUACUAGCGUGAAGUAGAUCAAAGAAAGCAGAUCUUGUCUUCAUGUACUGGCGUGAAGUAGAUCAAAGAUAGCAGAUCUUGUCUUCCCAUACUGGUGGCGAAGUAGAUCGAAGAAAGCAGAUCUUGUCUUCAUGUACUGGCGUGAAGUAGAUCAAAGAUAGCAGAUCUUGUCUUCCCAUACUAGUGGCGAAGUAGAUUGAAGAAAGCAGAUCUUGUCUUCAUGUAUUGGCGUGAAGUAGAUCAAAGAUAGCAGAUCUUGUCUUCCCAUACUGGUGGCGAAGUAGAUCGAAGAAAGCAGAUCUUGUCUUCCCAUACUGGUGGCGAAGUAGAUCGAAGAUACAAGUCUUAUCUCCCUGAAGUUGCAGUGGAGUAGACAGAAGAAAAUAAUCCUAUCUCCCUGAAGUUGCAGUGGAGCGGAUUAAAACCAUAGAUCUUAUCUCCCUGAAGUUACAGUGGAGUAGACAGAAGAAAAUAAUCCUAUCUCCCUGAAGUUGCAGUGGAGCAGAUUAAAACCAUAGAUCUUAUCUCCCUGAGUUGCAGUGGAGUAGACAGAAGAAAAUAAUCCUAUCUCCCUGAAGUUGCAGUGGAACAGAUUAAAACCACAGAUCUUAUCUCUCUGAAGUUGCAGUAGAGCAGAUCGCAUCAGAUUUAUCUUUAAGUUGUAGCAGAACAAGUUGAAGCUCUAAGUCUUAUCUCCCUGAAGUUGUAGUGGAGCAGAUUAAAGAUAGCAAAUUUUGUUCUUUUGAGAAGCUACAACGUAUGAAUUCUAUCUCCCCGAUAUUGCAGUAGAGUAGAUUGAAGCACCAGUUCCUAUACCUCUGAAGAUGCAGCAGGAAGGAUUGAGGCUACUUGAAAAAGAAAAGCACCGAAGAAGCCGAGGCUUAGUAAGACUGGGUACAAUUGGGCUUUUCAGUCUUUGCUCUGUUCUCGUUACACGACAACAAGCAAAAAGGGGCAACUGUAAUAAGCCAAAUUUACCCGGGCCCUUACAAAACAAAAAAUAAGCAGUCCAAGUUUUUACAGGCCCAAACCCCAACAGCCCACUAACUAAAUUCCAACAGCAACCCUAGCAGCAUACAACCUUCAACCCUACCCGCCGCACAUCAGCCCCGCACCACCACCCUUUGCGCACGUACGUGUCCCACGUACAUCUCCAGUUGGCCGAAUCUGCGCAGCAAACGGCAAAACAGACGCAAAGAACAAGUAAACGGAAGAGAAAAACACAAAAAAAAAGAGAGAAUAACAAAAAUACAACUGUGUUGUGUUAUUUCUUUGAUUUUUCUUCAUCUUUCGACUAUAAAAAGUCGAGGAAAAUUUGUAAAAAGGAGGGGGAUUUCACGAAUCAAAUAAAAAACAGAAAAGAAAUUGAUAUCAAGAAGAGAUUUUAGAUUGAAGGUAGAUAUUUGUUUUUUUUUUCUCUUUUUUUGUUUUGACUUUUUUUAAAAAAAAUAGUAAGUAAUAAGAAAAAGAAAGGAAAGGGCUUACCGGAGGUCCGUGGUCUUCUCAUUGGCCAAAGAUCGCCGUCCUUGGCGGAGCAGUGGCGAAGGAGCGGCAGCACGACGACAUAAAGAUGCUAGGGUCAAAACCCUAGCAGAGCAAAAGGGGGCAACAGUUUUUUUUUUUUGUUGUUUUAGAAAGUGGGCUGUCAAAUGAUUUUUAAAACAGAAAAUUUUGUUUAAAUAAUAAGGCAAUACGGCGCCAUUUCAUUAGGCCCCCUGGACGCCCAAAACGGCGUCGUUUUGGGGGCCAACCCGUGCACCGACCCGAUCUGGUCCCAAAUCCGCGUGUUUUGUAGCAUGGGGGAAUUUGCGCAAUUGGUCCCCCUAUUUUUGCAGUGUGUUUAAAUUAAAUUUCUGAUUUCUUUUAAAUUUCACUGCACAUUCUAUUUUUACUUUAAAUCAGUCCCUAUUACUGUGCAGCGUUUUAGGGAGGCGGAUUAUUUCUCUUUUGGUCCUCCACCCUUGCGCGCGCAUUCAAUGUGAUCCUGUUUUCAAAUUUACUUCGAAUUUAGUUUUUUUUAAGUUCAAUUUAACCCUUUUAUUAACUAUUUUAUUCAUUUUUUUUAUAAUUAUGUUAUAUUAUUAUUAUUAUUAUUAUUAUUAUUAUUAUUAUUAUUAUCAUCAUCAUCAUUAUUAUUAUUAUUCCUACUAUAUAUAUAUACGCAUGUUUUAAAAUAAUACAUAUACAUACAUUUUUUUUAAAAAGCUUUUAAUACAUACAUAUAUUUUUGCAUAUACAAACAUUUUUUUUUACUUUUGUAAAUAUGAAUAUACGUAUUUUUUAUAUUAUCCUUCAUAGAUUUUUUUACAAACGUAUGUAUAUAUGUAUACCUACAUAUUUUAAUACAUAUUUUAAUACAUUCAUUUUCUAUAGUAUAAAUAUAUAUGUUUUUUGUUUUAAAUUAUUAUAAACAUUUUAUUAUUUUAUAUAUGCUCCAUUAUUUUAUAUACAUAUUGCACAUAUUUUUUUUAUAUUUUUACUUUAUUUACACAAUUCUCAUAUACAUAUAUACAUGCAUUUUUAGAAAUUAUUAUAAGUUUUUAUGUAUUUCAUUCCCUUUUUAUAUGUAUACUUAUAUAUGUGUUUUAUAUAUGCAUUAACAUUUUAUCAUAUUUUUAAAGAAAAUAUAUUUUGGUUUCGUCAAAGCAUUAAAAUCGUUUUAUUUUUUUAAAAUUUUUUUUAAAUAUUUGGCAAUUAUGAUUCUCGAGAAAGAUCGUGUCCUAACUUACUGGAUUGCGAUUAUUUUUUUUGAUGAAUUUAGAAAACCAAGUAUUUAUUUUGCAAUAAAUUCAUGAAAUUUUCAAAUAAAAGCUUAUUCUCAAGAAUCUAAAAAUGUCGGGUCCUAACUUACUGGUCAUGACAUUUUGGCAUCUCGAAAUAAGAAUUUUCAAAAGCAAAAGGCAAUAUUCUGGUAUUUUGAAGAUUUAAAAAUAUUGUGCCCUAACUCACUGGGUGUGGUGUUUUAUUUCUUUGAAAUAAGAAUGUCUUAUUAUUUUGAUUCAUUCAUGAGAUAAAAAGUUUCCUUUUAAAAUCUUUUCAAUUUUUCAACACCAAGACAUUAACGAAUCAAUUUGGUACCGAUUUUGGGGCGUUACGAGGGUGCUAAUCCUUCCUCGUGCGUAACUGACUCCCGGACUCAUUUUCUCAAAUUUUGUAGACCAAAAUCAUUUUAAGGUGAGCCGAUCACACCUUAAUAAAGGAUCGGUGGUGACUCCAAUUUUUGUUUUUUUUUAAGUCGACAACUAAAAUUUUUGUUUACAAAAAAUGGUUUCGACAGAGCUACAAGGAUGGAUAGCUGCUAUGCGGGAGUACGUACCGUGGACUGUGAUUGAGUUAUAGACAAAACCUUAUUACGGCCUGGACGACCAGUUACAGCCAGGAAAAAGGAUUUUCCAUCGGAUGUUCUGGACGUUUGAUCCAUCUAGAGCCAAACACAUAUUUUCGACAAUGGUUGGGUACAAUAGAGCCGUGGCAAUGUGCUCAAAGUUUUGACGAGGGCUUUCGUUAUGGACAAAUGACCACAAACUUAAUGGAGGGGGUAAAUGCUGUAUUGUUGAAAACAUGUUAUCUUCCAAUUGCAUCUGUCUUCUCUACUACAUUCUACAGGUUGGCUACCUUGAUACCAAGAAUGAGUCAGCAACAAGUCGACCAGAUGGAGGCGGGACACGUGUUUGUCGAAGAUGUCAGGGAUGUAAUCAAACCGUCGGAUGGCGAUGUCCAUGAAUGUAGAAAUAUAUUCACGACGUCUGGAAACAUUUUGAGUUACUGAGACCAUCGGUCGUCGACCUAGUAUACCACCUACGUCUUAUGGAGUUGAUCUCCGAAAUAGACGGUACGAGUGUAGGAGGUUCAAAACACUUCAUUAACUAUGUGCGCAUGUCGUGGCAGCGUGUGCUAAAGUGAACCUUAAUGUUGAACAAUAUGUCGAUGAUGUGUACACGCUCGAGCGCACAUUGCGUAUCUGGGAAAAUGAGUUCCCUAUCCUACCUGACCUGUCUACGUGAGAUGUGCCUCCGAAGACUUUUGAGCUUUUCCCAGACAAAGGGCUACGCAAUAAUUCAAGAGGUCGUCAGCAAUCAACUAGAAUCCGUAAUGAAAUGGACAUUAGGGAGAAAUUCGACGGUAAGUAUUGUGGAUUAUGCAGGUUAAGUGGUCAUAGUCGGAAUAAAUGCCCUCAGCGAAACUAUCAUGUCUGACAGUCAUCAGGAUCGGGUCGAAAUUGACCUAAUGCUGUCAAAUUGUUAUGUGUAAUGUUGUAAAAAGUAUAAUUCAUUUGGAAUAAUUAAAAUUAUUCAGCUUAUGCUUAUGCUUAAAUUGCAUCCAAAUUAAGGUAUUAAAAACAUGAUUCAUUUGGAAUAAUUAAAAUUAUUCUGCUUAUGCUUAUGCUUAAAUUGUAUCCAAAUUAAGGUAUUAAAAACAUGAUUCAUUUGGAAUAAUUAAAAUUAUUCAGCUUAUGCUUAUGCUUAAAUUGUAUCCAAAUUAAGGUAUUAAAAACAUGAUUCAUUUGGAAUAAUUAAAAUUAUUCUGCUUAUGCUUAUGCUUAAAUUGUAUCCAAAUUAAGGUAUUAAAAACAUGAUUCAUUUGGAAUAAUUAAAAUUAUUCAGCUUAUGCUUAUGCUUAAGUUGUAUCCAAAUUAAGGUAUUAAAAACAUGAUUCAUUUGGAAUAAUUAAAAUUGUAUCCAAUUUAAGUUAUAAAAGGUGCAACAAAUUAAGUAAUUAAAUUUAUACAAUAAGUACAAACUUUGUAAUGUACAAAAAUAUGCAAUAAACCCCUAAAAAUGAUGGUUCGAUGGUGUGGUCCUAGGGGUAUACCUAUGCGGAGGUCGACGGUCACGUUCUGGGUGUUGGCGACGACCAACUUCCUUAUUUGGCGCAGGUGGGGGUGUGGUAAACAUAGAGGAAAAAAUCAUGUGACUCAAUCGGCAUCAUGAACUUGAACCUGAAGGGGUCCCAUGAUGCUGUAGGUACGAGCCGAGAGUGUCGUACUGCGGCGGGUAUGAUCCAAAGAGAUCAAACUCGUUUGCGUAUUCGCCCGCUGAGAAGCUUGGAAUAUAGUCAUCGCCUGCCAAAUCCGAAUGAUAGGAUUAUGAAUCCCAUGUGAAUGUAACUGCUUAGGAUCUAGCUCAGGCUCCGGGUCGGGUUUCGGCUUGGGCUCUGGUUCGGGAUCAUGAUCUGUUGCAGGCUCUACCUCUAUCGGGGUCGCUGGGUACAAUCCCCCAGAUAGCUGCAUGUGCGGGGGGAAUACAGUCGACUGGCCUCCAAGUAUAUAUGGUUUUCCGCAACUAUAGUACCAUUGUAUGUACUCUAAUGAUGGUUGCAAUGAUUAUGUCAUAACCAUCUGAGGUUUGCGACCCAUCUGAUCGUUCCAUAGCGUAACAAAUUUUCGAUGCUUAACCCGCUAAUCCAACUACAGUUUUCCCCUCCUAUUCAUGCCGUGAACCGCCCCCACUUCGCGUGGUGGAUCCGGGAUAUAUUGGAUGUAACCAAACUGUCUGCACCCGAUCCCCGUGAUACCACUCGACUACAUUGAAAUUUAUAAUUGGUGCGUUAGUGCACCACAUUUCAAAAUGAACAUAUGCAGACGAAGGUAUCACAGCUAUAAUUUUCAGGCGACGAUAUGGCAUCCAUAUAAACUGCAUGAUUAAUAACAUGGUUAUAAUUUAACACGGUGUGAGUAAGAUAUAGAAAGUAAAUGAACUAAUAUUAGAAUAGCUUACCCCUUAUCCGGCAUGUUGUUCGAUCAUGAGUCAGUAUAUUGGGACAGUGUACGACCUCUCGAUACCCGGAUAAAUACUCCACCUACAAAAAGAAAUAUAGGGUUUAUGGUUGGUAACAUCAGUCAAUAUACUAUGACUACAAAUAAUGACAAGUUAUAUUUUAUCACCUGUUCACUAGUGGAUAAACAUACGGUUGGUGAGUAGCCGAUGCCAAAAAUAACAUCCGAUAGAGCGCCCAGGACUACAGCAAUGUAAGGCAUCUGCCCAUGUCUACAACAGAAGGUUUUGUCGUCCGAUAAAGCUCCCGAUAUAACACUGCUAGAAUGGCGAAGCCCCAGCUAUAGGAGCGGACAUUGGACAAAUCAGCUAAUAGGGGCAAGUACAUCAUAUGCACAUUGUUGUUGUUUGCAACGGGCACCAGUACUCUCCCUAGGAUAUGUAUGAUGUACGCUUGAGCAGCGCACAUCAAUUCACCUUCAGUGGCAUUUGCUGAUAACUGUCCAAAUUUGGCUUUCAGCCAUGUAAAUUUCAAGCUCGUAAAAUUUUUCUCAUCGUCAUUUGGCGAGUCUUCUAGUAGCUGAUUACAUAGUGCAGCCGGAUCAGUAAAUGAACUUACUCCCGUUAUAGGACUUGCGUCGAUUGGGAGCUCAAGCUACAGGGCAACAUCCUUUAAAGUCACCAUGCACUCCCCACACGAAAAAUGAAAAGUGUGGGUCUCUGGGCGCCACCGCUUCACUAGCGCAGAUAAUAAAUCAUACCGCAAGUCGAACGUCUGGAUCAAUACUGCUGACCCAAAUCUGACUUGCUCCAAGUAUGGCAUCAAUCGUGAAUUCGGGGGAUGCUUUAAACCAUUCACCCGGCCCCUUAUUACUCAGUACGAGUCCUGAUAGUGUUAAAUUACAGAAAAAAAUUAGGAUAACAUGAUUUAUUUCUAUAUAUUACGUAUAUCCUUUUUUAAUAGAACCCGUGAUUAACAAAUAAUAAUAUAUUACCAUCUCAUUAGCCGCAUCAGAUAUGUGUGUAUCCCUACUAAUCAAUGAAGCCAUUGCGAUGCCUGCAACUUCAAAAAAAAUUUAGUAAAAAACUCUUAUUUCGGCCCUGUGUUCGUAUUUUUUUCUGAAUUUUAUUACUUUAAAAAUUAUCAUAUUUUCUAAUUUUAUUAUUUUACAUUAUUUUAGUACAUUAUGUUUGAAAUUUAAAUAAAUUUAGUGUGUUUUUUAAAUAAAUUUAAAAAAAACCCUUAUUUGGUCAUUUGCUCGUAUUUUUUUCUCGAAUUUUUUUACUUUCAAUAAAAAUAUAUUAUUUUGGUAUUUUAUUAUUUAACUUUAUCUUAGUACAGUAUGUUUUAAAUGUAUUAAUUAAUUCUGUUUUUUUUAAAUUUAGUAAAAAAACCCUUAUUUCGGCCCUUUCUUAGUAUUUUUUACUUUAAAAAAAAUCAUAUUUUCUAAUUUUAUUAUUUUACAUUAUUUUAGUACAUUAUGCUUGAAAUUUAAAUAAAUUUAGUGUGUUUUUUAAAUAAAUUAAAAAAACCCUUAUUUCGGCCCUUUGCUUGUAUUUUUUCCCGAUUUUUAUUACUUUCAAUAAAAAUAUAUUAUUUUUGUAUUUUAUUAUUUUACUUUAUCUUAGUACAUUAUGCUUGAAAUGUAUUAAUUAUUUCUGUUUUUUUUUAAUUUAGUAAAAAACCCUUAUUUCGGCCCUUAGUUCGUAUUUUUUUCCCAAAUUUUAUUACUUUAAAAAAUAUCAUAUUUUGUAAUUUUAUUAUUUUACAUUAUUUUAGUACAUUAUGUUUGAAAUUUAAAUAAAUUUAGUGUGUUUUUAAAAUAAAUUUAAAAAAACCCUUAUUUCGGCCCUUUACUCGUAUUUUUUCCAAUUUUUAUUACUUGCAAUAAAAAUAUAUUAUUUUCGUAUUUUAUUUUUUACAUUAUUUUAGUACAUCAUGUUUGAAAUGUAUUAAUUUUUUCUUUUUUUAAAUUUAGUAAAAAACUCUUACUUCAGCCCUUUGUUCGUAUUUUUUUUCUCUGCAUUUUAUUACUUUAAAAAAUAUAAUGUUUUCUAAUUUUAUUAUUUUACAUUAUUUUAUUUCAUUAUGUUUGAAAUUUAUUAAUUUAGUGUGUUUUUUAAAUAUACAAUUUUUUGAAUUUUAUUACUUUCAGUGAAUAUACAAUUUCCUUUUUUUUCUUUUCGUAUUUUAUGUUUUCUUAAACAUGUUUUUUUAUAAUUUUUUUAAUGUUAGUUUCCUAAAAAAAUAAUUACAACAUCCUAAAUUAAUUUCAUAAAAAAAAUUUUAAUCAACAUAGAAUGUACAUAACAUGAAUUUUUUCAUGCUAAAUAAAUUUCAUAAAAUAUAUAUACUAAAUAAAAUAAUAAAACACAUACAAUAUACAUAACAUAAAUUUUUUACACAAAUAUUACAAAAAAAAUUAAAUUAAUACAAAAAAAUUACCUUUACUUCUUUUUUUCCUUUCUUUUUCCUUCCUUCCCUUUUCUUCUUCUCCUUUUUUUUUCUCUUUCUUCUCCUUCCUUUUCUUUCUUUCUUUCCUCUCCUUUCCUUCUCCUUUUCUUCUCCACCCACCGGGCUGAAUGGUCCCCCCAUUAUAAGGGAAGUGGUGCCGCCUGUGGUAGUGGCACCAUCGGUGCCGCCUCUGCCAUUGGCACCAAUGGUGCCGCCUAUGGCAGCCCCUUCACCAGGGUGCUAUCACAUCCCUGUAGCUUUUUUUUAAAACUUUUUUUUGUAUUAUUUUGAUAAAUAAAAAAAGUUAAUAUUAUUUUAAUAUUUUUUUAUUUUAUUUUUAAUAUUUUAGUAAAAUACCCCAUGUUGCUUAUCCAACCUACUCUGACGUAUGACGCACCCAUUGCGUCACUGCAAACGCAAUUUUGGUCCUUCUACAUGCUAUAAUAAAGGGGGCAAUGGUUCUGGUUUAGACAAGAAAACUGAAUGCGUUGAUGAAGCUUCUAAUUCUUGCUCCAUGUUGUUUGUUCUUCAUAGCUUUAAUAAAAUUACUUUAUGAUUACCUAUGGAUACCUCUCCGUAUUCAGCAUAUGCUGAAUUCACAGGGGAUCAAAGGACCUCCUUACAGAUUCAUCCAUGGCAACAACAAGGAAGUUACCAAAAUGAAACAAAAAGCUUUAAGUAAAUCUGUGGGCUUGACGGAUGAUUUAUUUCCCAAAGUACAGCCACAUGUUUACACCUGGACCAACAGAUAUGGUAAGAUCCAUGCUUGUUUUUUUCACUAUGAUUUAUAACUUGUAGUUCUAAGAAAAGGUAGACCCUUUUUCUUUUCACGUUAUUAGGGAAGAAUUUUGUUUAUUGGAACGGUGCUCGAGCUGAAUUGGUGAUUUCAGAGCCUGAAUUAAUCAAAGAGGUUCUGAAAAAUAGUGAACAAAUUUUUCAGAAAAAGGAACUUUCAGAUAUUGGUAGAAAGUUCUUGGGGAAUGGUCUUAUAUUCAUUGAGGGGGAAAAAUGGGCAAAGCAUCGAAAGCUGGCCAAUCACACUUUCCAUGGGGAAAGUCUAAAGGUAAGGCUUCCAAAUAUAUAAACCAGGUGUAAUUAAUUUACAAGAAUUAUACAUAGACUACAAUAUUUUGGUAAAAUUUUGUAUUGUUAGCUAAAGAUAAGUUUAUUAUGGACGUUGAAAAAGUGUAGUAAAAACAUACUUUCGAAAAUUUUAACACCAUUUACUACUUAGGAGGUCAAUUUUAAACUUGAUGCUGCAAAAUAAAAGAUUGAAUCAGAGAUUUAAAAAAAGUAAUUUCAUUAAAAAGCACUCUUUUAGCUUUUAGACUUGGAUUAAAAUCUAGUUUGAAAUAAGAUUUAAUUUGAAAAGGUGUUUAUUUGUCAAAUUUUUUAAUUUGAAAUCAUGAUUUUGUGUUGAAAAGUGUUUUCCAGACUCCAAUUAUAUAUGUCACUACUACUUACAUAUUGGAGGAUUGUUUGGGCAGAACAUGACUCCAGCAAUAAUUGCUAGUGUUGAAACAAUGCUAGAAAAGUGGAAAGGCCAAGAAGGCAAAGAGAUUGAAGUGUACCAAGAAUUUAGGUUAUUAACUUCAGAAGUGAUUUCCAGAACAGCAUUUGGUAGCAAUUACAUGGAAGGGGAGAAGAUAUUUGCCAUCUUGAGAAAGUUGACAGUAAUUAUGAGUCGAAAUCUUUCCAAGACUAGAAUUCCUUUGAUCAGGUAUCUUCCCUCUAAGCUUAAUUAAUCCCAACUUUUUCCUUGAUUUCAUGUAGCUUUUGAAUGCAACUUUUAGACUUUCAUUCCCCAUGGAUUUGGUUUUCUCAUAUAUAGCUGACCCUGGUUUGCUUUUGCAGCAAGUUGUGGAAAUCUGCUGAUUUGCUAGAGUCUGAAAAACUUUCAAAAGAAAUAAAAGAUCGUGUGAUGAAGAUUGUUAAGAAAAGAGAAGACAAAGUUGUGAAUGGAGAAGUCAAUAGCUUCCGCAGUGAUUUUCUUGGAUUACUUCUAAAUGCCUAUCAUGAUUCGGAUGCGAAAAACAGGCUUUCAUUGGAAGACGUGGUAGCUGAAUGCAAAACAUUCUAUUUUGCUGGACAAGAAACUGUUAAUUCCUUACUUGCAUGGAUAGUCUUGCAUUUGGCAAUCCAUGGAGAUUGGCAAGAAAAAGCGAGAAGAGAGGUGGUUGACAUAUUUGGUAACCAAAAUCCACAUCUCGAAGGCAUCGCCAAACUCAAAAUAGUAAGAAAACUAUCUAACUGGGAAUUCAAAUAGCCAUCGACAUGAUGUAAUCUGACAUAUUUUUCUAUUUUCCAAACAGAUGACUAUGAUCAUCAAUGAAACUCUAAGAUUGUAUGGUCCAACAAGUGUCCUCCAAAGAACAGGUACAAGAGAAAUUCAGUUGGGAAAGCUACUCUUGCCCGCUAAUAUAGAUAUUCUGCCUUUAAAUAUUGGACUUCACCGGGACCCUCACUUUUGGGGAAAUGAUGUGCAUCAUUUUAAACCUGAGAGAUUCGCUGAAGGGAUUGCCAAAGCUACCAAUUACACCGCGGCUGCCUUUUUCCCCUUCGGAUUAGGACCUCGAUCUUGUGUUGGUAUGACAUUUGCAAUGAUAGAAACCAAGAUUGCUCUCUCCAUGGUUCUACAACGCUACACCAUUACCCUUUCCCCUGCCUAUGUCCACUCUCCAAUACUUAUUCUUACCCUUCAACCCCAAAAUGGAAUUCAAGUAAUACUUGAGCCGAUACAUAGUAAUGCAUGAAGUACAUAGCCGUUAAGAACUAGAGGUUUAACAUGGUUCGUGAAUUCUACUUUUAAGAGAUGAUAUUUAAUAUGUUUAAAGGUUCUAGCAUUUAUCACAAAGACAAACGACUUGUGAUAAUGUUUACUUUUCAUCUAUCAUGCAAUGUCGAUGAGAAGAUACCAUUUACCAAUUAGUUGGGUUAUGAAUUCCACUAUUUUGAAUGAUGUUACAUACUAUAGAAGUUGUGUAUCCAGUGCACCAACUUUUGGUUCUUUAUCUUAGCCUUUUACUUGCAUCAAAGUAUACGAGCCAUGCAUGCAUAGUCCAUCAUCUACUCAAGAUUAAGGUAUAUCACACUAUGAACGUCACAAGUAAAUAGAUCCAUAAAUGGAUUUAGAAUCUAUUCUCCUUAGGUCUUAUCUAAUGUACUGUCAGUCUAAUCAAUCACAUCUAUGUUUUUAUCUUUUAAGAGUCAUCUGUUCCAUUCAAGACAAAGUUUCUCCACAAUUGGGCUUGAUAGAUGACAUAUUAGUUUCUCAAUCGAUUUGCUCAUUUUCAAUUAGACUAAGGACAUAUUAUGGUUUAUCUACUAAUACAAGCUAUUUUUUCAUAUCACGAUCUGACCACGUGAUACCGCUUAGUAUUAAUUUAAACAUUAGAUAACCAAUGAGUCAACAUUUGCUUCCAUUUUGCUUUGCAUGCAAAAACAUUGAGGACAAUAUCCAAAGGGUAUUAAUUUAAUUAAUAGAUAUUAUUAAACCAAUUUGUUUAAAAAAUAUAAUUAUAUAAAACGAACAUAGUACACUUAGUGUACCAGAUCCAACAGUGGUCACUACAGCUAGCAUUGCUAUAAGCAACAUAACUUGACAUUUUUGGAGUUGAAAUCUUUUCAGCAAAAUCAGUUGGGCAACGACUUAGAUGAUUUUGUGGACAUGUGUUGGCUUAUAUUUGAAGAUCCAUUUUGUGGAAUCAAUCUUUGAAGAUUAAAUCAAUUUGAAUCAAGCAAAUCGGAUCACUUAUUUUGUGGAGAUUGGCUUGACUUAUUUGAAAAUUUAUUUUCGAAAUCUUUGAUUUAUUCUUGACUUUGAGGAUAUUUGUAAAGGUUUUUUUUACAAGGCUAUUUUUUGUGGGAUAUUGAUUCUAAUUGAUCUUUUAUCUUUGCAAACAUUAAAUUCUUAUAUAUUAGAGGCUUGUGUAAGUUAAAAAAAGAUAGAGUUUUUAUAGCACUUAUUUUUUUCAUUGAGGAACUUGUAUUUGAUAGUGCAUUAAGAGUGUAAAAUAAGUUUGCUGCUUGGUUUUACAACCAAAAUUCUCAAGGGAAGAACUUAGUGGUGAGUGAUUUGGAUAUUUAGAUACAAAAGUGAGGUUGCUAUACCGAGUUGUGAUAGGACUUUAAUAACUUGUUGUCUUGGGAUUAAAAAUAAUGGAUUUACUCACUAAGUUAAGUUCCGUAGACAUAGAAAAAUCGAUAUGCAUAAACAAUCAUUUGUGUUCUAUUUUUUGUUGUUGUGUUCAUCAUAGUGGCAUCAAAGGUUGCCACUACAACCAUCACUUUGGUCAUCAAUUACGCACUUUAUUUUAGCAAUUAUCAACUUUAUGCGCCAAGAGAAUGCUUGUUUCUAGUACUAUUGGUCAAUUUUGUAGGAAGCAUAAUGACAAAAAAGAAAAUGAUUACAAUCAACCCCUUCUAACAACUCUAUUUGUAUCUUUGCAUAUUAUAAAAAGGUGGUUGUUAUAAAAAGAUAAUUAUUGUAAACCUAAAAUAGAAUUUAUAUUGUGAAUUACUAUCAAAUCAAGAAAGUGGAAAUUAUAUUAAAAAAAGGAAAGUAGAAAUCAAAUCAACAAAAUUAAAAUAUGCAUGCAUUAUUACCUUUAUAUUUUAUUUUACAUUUUUCACAUGAUUAAUUAUGAAAUUCAUCAAUCUAACAAAUAAUUAAUCGAUAUGAGUUUAAAUUAAAUUAAAUUAAUUAAUUUAUCAUAUGUUAUUAAAUUCAAGUAAUUAAUUUAUAAGAUUAUGAUGUUCUAAAUUCAUAGUAGAAUAUUUAAUUAGAGAACUUAAUAGUUUAUUGAAUUGAUAUCUUUAAUUCCACGAAGAUUUUUUCAUGUGAAAUUUAAACAUUUUAUUAAAAUAAUAUUUUAAUUAAGAUCAUUUUUAUUUAAUAAAUUAUAAUUAAUAGGCUUGUAUAUCGGUCCAGUGUAAUUAAUAGACUUGCUUAAAUGAGUUUUAAAAUAUAUUUUUAAAUUUGAAUCUGAAUUUAAAAUUCUAUUAUUUGUUUUCAGUUUUUUUGAAUAAUGAAUUGUUACCUGCUUAAUUUAUGAAAUAUCUUUAUUGACUUAUUUGAUUGAUAGUUUAUAUUUAUGUCCGUAUUUAGUAUUUUAAAAUUUUAUAUAUAUAAUAUUUUAAAAAAAUAAUAAUAAAUCUAAAAUCACACAUCGAAACAGCUGAAUUUUGGUACAUGCGAAUACCAAUAAAAAAAAUCAACAUCCACCGAUUUACCCAUUACUUUUUGGUAUUAGGUAGUGGGAGAAUUGGUUUUUGCUUUUGUUUUUGAGAUGUUGAUAUCUUUCACAUCAUCCAUAAGAUGGGCUCUACCUGACCUUUUGUUUGUCUGUUUCCCAUGCUUUCCCAUUUCUUCUACCAUAAAAAUCACUAAAAGAAUGGGCUAAAAUGUCAAAUAAAGGCUAUUUUACCAAAAAACACUUUUUUUUUAAUAUUUACUGAAAUGGGCCGAUUUUUUUAAUUAUUUACUGGAAUUGGUCAUUUUCCGCCAAAUCGCGUCCACGUCAGCGCGAUGUUAGGGUACGCGUCAGAAAAUCGCGUCCACGUCAACGCGAUUUGCUUACGUGGACACAAAUCGCGCCUACGAGGACGCGAUUUGCUGACGUGGCAUGAACAGUUUAUGUUUCUAAGCUUGGAAAACUUUGAAAGGCCAUAACUUUUGGCUCGAUUGUCCGAUUGAGACGAUUUUUUUAUUUCGAAUAACUUUUCGAGAUCUACGCGCUGACAAACAGCCGAAGGCGGUUUGCAGCAGUUUUCAUCGAAAAAGAUCCUUUUUUGCCCCUAAAUUUUGAUUUUUUCAGUUUAAAAUUGAAUUUUGAAACAUUCAAAUCAUUAUUUCUCUUAUUUAUUUGAAGUAAACACCGGAUCUUUUUUUACAGAAUUGUCUUAUAUCAUCCUGUUAUAGGUAUAAGUAAGCUCAUUCCACUUUUGAGAAGUUCCCUAAAAUUUUUCAUUUUAUUCAAUUUAGUCCCUAAAACCUAAAUAGUCAUAUUUUCAAAUAUAAGCUUCGUUUUUCAAUUCAAAUUCAAUUUCGUCCUUCCAUAACAUCCAAAUAUUCUUAAAUACAAAAAUUUCAUGUUAAUUUUGAAAUAAUUACACUUUAGUCCCUAUACUCGUAACUAACAAAUUAUACUUUACAAAUUAGUCCCUAUUCAUCUCUAACCAGUUUGUCAGCGCGUAGAUCUCGAAAAUUUAUUCGAAAUAAAAAAAAUCGUCUCAAUCGGACAAUCGAGCCAAAAGUUAUGGCCUUUCAAAGUUUUCUAAGCUUAAAAACAUAAACUGUUCAUGCCACGUCAGCAAAUCGCGUCCUCUUAGGCGUGAUUUGUGUCCACGUAAGCAAAUCGCGCUGACGUGGAUGCGAUUUUCUGACGCGUACCCUGACAUCGCGCUGACGUGGACACGAUUUCGUGGAAAAUGACCCAUUCCGGUAAAUAAUCAAAAAAUCGGCCCAUUUCGGUAAAUUUUGAAAAAAAAGGGCUUUUUUUGGUCAUUUGCCUUCAAAUAAACUCUUCAAAAAUAAUUUUUUAAAAAAUUAAUUAAGUCCCUUAUAAUAAAGUGCACCAAAUUGAGCUUUUUAAAUCACAAUUUGCACUUAAUUAAUCCCCUUGAAUUCAUUUUCCCAUUGAAUCCCUUUACGGUCAGGUAACUGCUGACGGGGCAGGUGAUGUGGAAAAAUGAUGGUGUGUUAGUUUAUAUGGCAAGCUAACAUGGAGGGCUUAAAUGAUUUUUUAUUAUUUUACAAGGGUUUAAUUAAUUAUUUACAUAAAAAAUUAUUAAAAUUUUAAAAAUCUAAUUUUAAAAUAUAAAUUAUAAAAAUCAUAAAAAAUAUUUUAAAAAUAUUAAAAAUGAUAGAAAUUUUUUAAAUGUUAUAAAAAGUUUAUAAAAAUACAGGAAAUACAUUAUUAUAAAAAUAGCAUAAAAUUUUAGAAAUUAUUAAAAAAUACAAAGAAAUACGAAUAAGUUAGAGAAAAUUAUUAAAAAUACAAAAAAUAUUAAAAAUUAGUAGUAACUUUUAUAAAAAUUAUUAAAAUGUUAUAAAAAUUAUAGAUUUUUUUAUUGGUUUGGAGUGUUUGGCAUUUUUAAUUUUAUUUUUUUGGACCUCAUACCAAAUGCCUCCGUUUCCACUAAAGACCCUACUUACAAAAAGGGAGAGAAACAAUGAAGCACGAGACAGAGUCGAGCGUCCUUAAUCACCCACUAGAAGACACUGUAAGAGAGCAGAGGUUCAGAGCCACCUUAGACAAAUCAAAAUUAACCACCAGCGACAUUCCCAAAACAAUACUCAAACAAUGACUAAAUCGUUAAAGGUUUUGGAUCUGACAAAUAAACAGAAAAAUAAGAAAAGUAGCAUAUGGAGGCUUUAGGCACCACCACCCAUCCACCAUCUGGGAGUAGCAGUAAAACACUCACAAAAAAAGGAACACUAGCGUCAAAACACAUCAGUCCUCCUCAACAAUGGUUUGCUUGUGAGAAGAGAAAAAAAAAUAUAUAAAUAAAAGAGCCACGAAAGCUCAAACAAGGCCCCCAAAAAGGGUUUUUAAAUUGAGAGAAGGAUAUCAAAAAAUAGAGCAGAAGACAAGACCCCAAAAGAGAUUAUUAAAUCGAGAGGAUGACAUUAAAAAAUAGAGCAAAACAAGGAGGACGACGACCAAUAUCCGACAACAAGUGUUUGGCCAUCUAAAUCGAGAAACAAAAAUAUGACCUGGAGCAACAGGCAACCAAAGCAAGAGAAACAGGAAAUUGAGAAUACAAUGAUACAAAGCAACAUAGCCUCUAAUCCCUUGCUCCAUUAGCUUAAAACAAGGUCCCAAUAACACGAAAUAAACCAUUAAAACGUGGGAAUCCACAUUCUCUUGACUUUUUACAACAUGAAAAUUAGGGGUGAGUAUUCGAUCUAGUCGAGUCAAAAAAUUUUGAGUUGGUCGAGUUGAUGAACCCUAUUUUAGCAACCGAACUCAAUUUGAAUUUUUUCGAUUCGAAUCGAGUCAACAAAUUUGGAGUCAAGUUAACGAAUCCUAUUAUUUAUGCUCAAUAUUGUGUUUAUAUGGACCUAUUAUUUAACUAGUAGACGAAAUAUAAGAUUAUUUAACUAUGUAAACAAUAUAAUAGUUUUGCCUUUUAACCUAAUGAGUAAACAUUUAUCAAAAUGACAUAGCCUUAUCUUUUCUUAUUCGGAUUUUCGAAUAAUUCGAAUAUGAAUUACACAAUUCAUAUUUAAGUUAAACCGAAAAACUUAAUUUUUUUAUUUGAGUUUAUCCCAAUAAUUUGAUAAACUCAAAUAACUUGAAUCAUUAAUAACUAUUAUUUAAUGACUGAAAUCUUAAUUUUUUCUAUUUAAAAACAAUACUUGAAGUCCUCAUCUCACGUUAUGUUAUUGACAAAAAUAUUUAAAAAGUUUUAAGUCCAAAACCUAGUUUGAAUUACAAUCAUUUAAUAAUUAUUAUCAUAUUUAAAAUUAGUAGUAACUUUUAUAAAAAUUAUUAAAAUGUUAUAAAAAUUAUAAAUUUUUUUAUUGGUUUGGAGUGUUAGGCAUUUUUAAUUUUAUUUUAUUUGGACAUUAGAGUCUUUGUUUUAGUAAUAAGGAAAUGGGGAGAUUGAAGUGCGAUGAUCAAACUUGUGAGGGGUUUGAGAAACCAUGGGUUUAGUACUUGAUGGCUUAAAGUGAGCGAUCAAUAGAGGUGUUCAUGGACCUAUACUGUUCAAAAAAUAAAAAAAUGUUAAAAAAAGUUUUUCUAAAUAUUAUAUAUAUAUUAUAAUUAAAUUAAAAAUAUAUUUUUAUUAUUUUUAAAAUGGUGAAACGAAUCAUUUUGGCGAGCUAAGUCUAGUUGGGCUCAAGUCUAAAAAGUUUUAUGAAAUUAAGCUUAAGUUAUACUCAACCCAUGAACACAUCUAGUGAUAAAUAAUGAUGUUGUAUUUGAGGAAAGAUGAUGCAAAAGACAUUGAUAAGGAAGGGUUGAUAUAUGAUGUAUGACAAUGCGUGAGAGAAAACAAAAAUGUGUAAAAAUUUUAAAUUUUUUUAUAACUUUUUCUUUAAUUUUAUAUUUCUUUAUAGUAUUUGAAUAGUUUUAAUAAAUUUUAUAUAUUUUUUCUAAAAAAAUUUAUAACAUUUUAUAUUUUUCUAUAUUUUUAAUGUCUUAUAAUUGUUUAUAAAUUUAUAAUAAUUUUUAUGAAUUUUUAAUUUAUAUUUAAAAACUAGAUUUUUUUAGAAUUUAAAAAUCGAAACAAUUGAAUAGGUGGAAUCGCUUCUUUAAAAAAUAUUUUUUUAUAUUUUUAUAAUCUUUAAUUAUUUAUUUGAUCGUUGUUAGUUUAGUUGUCGAACCGAUUGAAUUAACUGGUUCAUCAAAAAGUGUCACAUCAUCAAAUUUUUAUAUUUCUCAAGUGUUUGUAUCAAAAUAGAUUAAAUUGCUAAGUUUAAGAGGCAAAAGUUAUAUUAUCCGAAAAAAUAUAGAUUAAAUUAAAAAUAAAUAUGUGUCUUUCUAUAUGUCGUUAAUAUGCUGCAACGGUAAAGAUUAAGGUAUUCUGUUUUGUAAUAUUUGUCAAUUACUACUUGGAAGACAAGGCUGAAAAUUACUUAAACAAUCACUAAAUAAUUAUUUCAGUCCUCCUCAUUAAUUGUAAGGCGGCUUAUAAUAAUAUGUUAAUUUUGAAGGCUUCAGAAAGAAAGACGACAGUCAUUUCUAUUAAAUUAUCACUUAACUCCAAAUUUAAAGUAAAACAAAAGCUGCAGAAUGGAUUCAAUAAUGGGGAACUUUUUUCAAUUUUAGAAGUAAAACCUAUCCAAUGCAUAAUAGAUUUUUUAGAAUCAGAAUUAAAUUGACACAGUAUAUAAAUAUUAAGGAUUAAAGUUGCUAUUAUAUAAAUUUUAAAAGUUGUUAUUGUUAGCCAAUCGGUGAUUAAAAAGAUAAAAUUAAAUAAUUGGGUGAUCAAAAAAAAAUUUAUUAAUAAUUGGAUGAUUACUAAUGUAGUUUACCCUAACAUUAAAAUGUAUAAAAAUAUUAAAAUAAAAUUUUGAUUCAACUGAUAAAUUUAAUAUAUUUAUCAUUUCAAUUAAAACUUUAUUAUUUUUAAUACUUUUAUUGUAUAUAUUUGUUUCAACCGCAUAAUAUAAUAUAAUAUUAAUUUAAAUUUAAAUUAAAAAAUAAAUAUCUUAAAGCCGACCCACCUGGUAAAGUUCCUCAUCAUAAUGUUUCAGGACUGCAAUCGGACAAAGGUUAUUUGCCCAAUUUUUUACUUGUCACAAUCAACGUGUUACAAGCGAAGUGAUUGUAUUUUGGCAAUAAUACUUAAAUAAUCACUGCAUAAUUACGACAUAAAAAAAUAAUAUUUAAUAUCUACAUCUUUCAUUAAUUUAAUUAAUUUUUUUAAUUUUAAAAAAUUAGUUUAUUUGUUGGAUAUGGAAAUUAUAAUAUAUAAAUACAAAUGAAAUAUCUGGAUUCAGUGGUAAGAGAAGAAAACAAGAGUGGCUUGAUGGAGCUUGUAAUUCUUGUCCCAUGGUGUUUCUUCCUCAUAGCUUUAACAAAGUUCCUUUAUCAUUACCUGUGGGUACCUCUUCGCAUACAGCAUAUGAUGAAUUCACAGGGAAUCAAAGGACCUCCUUACAGAUUCAUCCAUGGCAACAACAAAGAAGUUACCAAAAUGAGAAAGGAAGCAUUAAGCAAAGCUGUGGGCUUGACAGAUGAUUUAUUUCCCAGAUUACAACCGCAUAUUUAUUCCUGGAUCAAUACAUAUGGUGAAGUGGAUGCUUGUUUUUUCACCAUGAUUUAUUAUAACUUCUGCUUAUCUAGCUUUAAGAAAAAGAUGGACACUUUUUGUUUUUUGUUGUGUGAUUAGGGAAGAAUUUUGUCUAUUGGAAUGGCGUUCGAGCUGAAGUGGUGAUUUCAGAACCUGAAUUGAUCAAAGAGGUUAUGAAAAAUAGUGAGAACAUUUUUCAGAAAAGGAAGCUUACGGAUGUUGGUGCGAAGCUACUGGGAAAUGGGCUUGUGUUCAUUGAGGGAGAAAAAUGGGCAAAGCAUCGAAAGCUGGCCAAUCAUGCUUUUCAUGGGGAAAGCCUAAAGGUAAAUCCUCCAAAUCUAUAAAUUAGUUGUAAUUAAUUUAUAAGAAUUAUACAUAGAUUUCGUCAUUAAUCUUUAUCAUAUGUAGAAGCCCAAUUUCGCCCGGGCCCAUUUACAAAAUAAACAAACCAUUCAGACCCAAAAAUAACUAAACCCCAAACAGCCCAAAUACAAGCCCAAUUACCCAAACCCAUUUCCAGCAGCCCAAAACAAACAAAACAAAAAAUCAGAAAACCCUACCCCUAGGUGCGCCGCACCUAGGGUCUUCUGACCCUUCUGUCCACCUGCCGCCACCUGCACCGCCGCUGCCUCCAACCACCACCUGCAAAAUCAAAAAGCAAGAAGUGACAGCAUAUAGAAUAGAUUAAAAAAAUAUGUAAAAAUCGGUUAUAAAGACCGAAAAAUGAAACCUUUGUAGCUUCUUCACAAACAGUUAAUAAAAAACAACAAUAGUGAAUACAAAAAGCAGAUCAAAAGAAAAAGGUUAACUACAUCAUCUUCUUCUUCCUUUUUUUUACGUUUUUUAUUUCAUUUUUUUUAUUUUCUACAAACCUUUUUAAACAAAAACAAAAACCUUACCUACGCCGCGCCGGAGAGAGGGGAAGGUGAGCGGAUACCUCCUUUUCUUUUCGGUUUUGGCUCAACUUUCAAAGGAUUUGGCUUUGAAUACGAGUUCUAGGGGAGUUUGGCUUCAAACGGGGCUAAAAAGAGGUCUAUUUUGCACCUCCGGCCGCCGCUUGCGGCGGGGAUACGGCGGAGGUGUGCUAGCUCCUUUUGCCAGACCUAGGCCGGAGCUCAGAGGGCUGGGGAGCCUAGGAGUAUUCUCAGUUUUUUUUAGAAGCUGUUAAAAAAAUGAACUUUUAGGGGUUUUUUUUUAGGUUUUAUAAGUAUUUUAAAACGGCGCCGUUUUGAUAUUAAGGGUCAGGUGUCGUUUUGGCCCUGACUCGCGCGGUGACCCGACCCUGGGGGAGGAUCCGCGCGUUUUCACCUGGGGGGCUAUUUGUGCAAUAGAUCCCUCCACCUUUGCGGUUUGCUUCAAUGCGGUCUUUUGUUUUUUUUAUUAUUUUGGCCUGAGAAUUUUACUUCUAUUUCGAUUUGGUCCUUAGACCAUGUGCUGCCCCUAGUUGAAGCUCAGCGUUUCAGGACUGGGAAAUAUUUCCCCACAAGUCCCUCACGCUUUAAUCGCAUUUUACUUCAGUCCUGCACUAUUCCUUUUGUUUAUUUACAUAUUUAAACCCGAAGUUCGUUUGAAGUUUUAAUUUAGUCCUUUUGUAUUUUUUUAAUUUCUUAUUAAGUAAUAAAUUUGAUGUUAUACUGUUAUUAUUAAUUAUUAUUGCUGUUAUUUGCUCAUUUAUACCUUUAAAAUUUUAAAUUUUAUCAUAUAUAUAUGUAUAUACUUAUUUUUAUUUUUUAUAUUAUAUAAUUUAUAUCUAUAUAUCUAUAUACAUAUUUUUAUUCCUAAAAAUACAUACACAUACCUAUAUGUUUUUAUGUUUUCAUAUAGUUUUUAUAUACAUACAUAUUCUUAUAUACACAUACAUAUAUUUUUAUACUUUAUAAUUCUAACAUACAUAUAUAUAUAUUAUAAUUUUAUUCAUUACUAUUGUUUCAUUUGGUGUUUAUUUAUUUAUUUACAUGCUCAUUAUUAUUAUUAUUUACUUAAGUGUUUUAGUUUUUAUUUGUUUAUUUACUUUUAUUUGUGUAUACAUUGUUGAUUUCUUUUUAUUAUAUAUUUGUCAUCUUAUAUUUAUUUAUCUUUUCUUAUUUUGCUUGUAUUAUUUUAUUUGCAUUAUCAUCAUUAUUAUUAUUUUACAUUCAUUUUUUACUCGGAUUCGUCAAAAUACAGAAAAUUUUAAAAUAAAAAUCAUAUUUGAUAUUUAGGAUCCUUUAGAGAAUCGAGCCUUAACGUAUUAGGUUUUGAUUUCCUUCGUUGAAUCUAAAUAAUCAAAACUAUUUUUUUAAAACAUCUCUAAAAGCUCGUUAUUGGGAAUUCAAUAUGUCGUGUUCUAAUACAUUGAAUAUGACACGUUUUCUCGAGACGAUGAUUUUUCUUAUAAAUAUAAUAUUCAAUGUUUAAUAUUUUGAGAAAUUGUAUCCUAACGUAUUGGUUUGUAAUUUUUUCACAUGACUUAAACAAUUGAAUACCAUUUUAAAUUUUAUUCUGUAAGUUUUUAGAUAAGUUCAUUUCGGAAGAGGUAAAAUAUCGUGCCUUAACUCAUUUGGUGUGACAUUUUUUCUUUCUGAAACGAGAGGGUCUUAAUGAGUAACUUGAUCUAUAUAAGUUUUUUUUAAAUAAUAAUAAAUAAAAGAUCCUAUUUUGGAUCUCUUUAAAUUAUUUAAUUUUCGACAUUAAGAUAUUAAUUAAUUAACUAGGUAUUAAUUUUUUGAGCAUUACGAGAGUGUUAAUCCUUUGCCGUACGUAAUUGGCUUCCGAAUUUGUUUUUUUGAAUUUCGUGGACUAAAAUCGUUGUUUUAAUAAAAUCAAAUUAUUUAUUAAAAACAAUCACUUUUCGAGGUGAUUUAAUCACACUUCAUUAAAAAAGAUUGGUGGCAAUUCUUGUUUUCGUUUUCGUUUUUUUAAAAAAAAAUUUAAGUUGAUCCUGUUUUCAUUCAAAAAUGGUGUAAACAUCCUAUUAAUUAAAUUUGUUGAUUGCUCUUUUAAAGAAAAGUCAAAUCACUUUUUUAAAUUAGGAUACUAAUAAAAAACCUUAAAUUUCUUUUAGAGAUGCUGGCAUGAUAACUCAUGUGACAGUUUACAUAUAUUUCAUACUAACAUAACGUUAUUUGUUUUAUAUGUUACACUAACAAAUAAUUUAAAAGUUAUAAAAAUAUUUAAAAUUCAAAAAAUAUAUGAUAAAAAAAUUCAUAAAUAUUCAAAAAAUUAACAUGGAGUACCUAUAAAUUGUUUACAGGGUUGCAAUAUAUAAAAAUUUAACAUUUCAAUUAGUAUUUUAAUUAAAAAAACAACAAUUCAAUUUUUUUUUAAAUGUUAAAAGAUCAAAUUCGACUUUUUUUUUUAAAAAAAUUGAAGCCUAAAUUAGCUUUUUUAUGAUUUUACUACUUAAAUAUUGUUGACUAAAUCUUAUGUUGCUACUACUUAAUUUUGGAGGGUUGUUUGGGCAGAACAUGACUCCAGCAAUAAUUGUUAGUGUUGAAACAAUGCUAGAAAGGUGGAAAGGCCAAGAAGGCAAAGAGAUUGAAGUGUAUAAUGAAUUUAGAUUAUUGACUUCGGAAGUGAUUUCAAGAACAGCUUUUGGUAGCAAUUACUUGGAAGGGGAGAAGAUUUUUGCCAUGUUGAGCAAGUUGACAAUACUCGUGAGUCAAAAUAUUUCCAAGACUAAGAUUCCUUUCAUCAAGUAUGUUCCCUCUAACCUUAGUUAAUCCCUAUGGCUUUAAUUUUUUUUUUUUUUAUAUAGAGAGCUGACCUUUGUUUGCUUAUACAGCAAGUUAUGGAAAUCUGCUGAAAUGCUAGAGUCUGAAAAACUCGAAAAAGGAAUACAAGAUUAUGUGAUGGAGAUGAUUAAGAAAAGAGAAGAUAAAGUCGUGAGUGGAGAAGCUGAUAGCUUUGGCAAUGAUUUUCUGGGAUUACUAGUAAAUGCUUAUAAUGAUUUGGACGAUAAAAACAGGGUUUCAUUGGAAGACUUGGUAGGUGAAUGCAAAACAAUCUACUUUGCUGGACAAGAAACUGUCAAUUCAUUGCUUGCAUGGAUAGUCUUGCAUUUGGCAAUCCAUGGAGAUUGGCAAGAGAAAGCAAGGAGAGAGGUGAUUGACAUAUUUGGUAACCAAAAUCCGCAUCUCGAAGGCAUUGCCAAACUCAAAAUAGUAAGCAAACUAUCUAACUGGAAAUUCAAAUUGCCAUCAACAUGAUGUAAUCUGACAUGUUUUUCUAUUUUCCAAACAGAUGACCAUGAUCAUCAAUGAAACUCUAAGAUUGUAUGGUCCGUCAAAUGGCCUGCCAAGAACAGUCGCAAGAGAAGUACAGUUGGGAAAGUUAGUCUUGCCUGCUAAUAUAGAUGUUCUGUCUUUAAAUAUUGGACUUCACCGUGACCCUCACUUGUGGGGGGAUGAUGUGCAUCUUUUUAAACCAGAGAGAUUCGCCGAAGGGAUUGCCAAAGCUACCAAUUACACCGCAGCUGCAUUUUUCCCCUUUGGAUUCGGACCUCGAUCUUGUGUUGGUAUGACCCUUGCAACCAUAGAAACCAAAAUUGCUCUGUCCAUGAUUCUACAACGUUACACCAUCACCAUUUCCCCUGCCUAUGUCCACUCUCCAAUACCUAUUCUCACCAUUCGACC